rnacentral:lncRNA from 1 species
CCAAAUCACCCCCAAAUUCGUCCAUUAUCAAAAUUGGGCUAUCUUGCACAAUUGUCCCCUCAAAAUCAAUUAACCCCCAACCCAAAUACCAUUAACCACCCCUAGCCCAUGACCUGUGACCCAAACUCCCUCUGGAUCCACCCAUUUCCUCCUCCAUAUAAAAACCUUGUUAUAACAUUUUCCCCCAAAUUCCCUAACCCUAGAAACCAAAAUCAGAGGCGGCUCUUCUACUGUUCUUCUUCUUUAGUGAACUCGCCUCAACUCGCAUGAGUUUUGAGCGAGUUCACUCAUUGGUCGCCCCCUUCACGUCACCUCAUCCUCAACGGAUUUGUCAGAGGAGUACGAUAUUCUCUCAAAAUGCACGAUUUCGGAAUCAAAAGGACAAUUGUUAGACGAAUGGGAGCCGUGGAUAGAUGUGAAUCAAUCCACUCCCUCCAUUUGUCCCGAAAUUGUUCAAUAAAUCUGAAGAUUUUCGGAUUCUAGGCAGAAGCUUCGAGAUAUUUUUGAGGUUUAUAUAUAAGGUAAGUUCUUUUCUUGUUAAGGAGGAAAAAAUUUUCAGAAAAAGGGUAGAGUAAAAUUUCUAGGGUUCUUGAGCUUUUUUCUUUUAUUCCUCAAGCUUUGGUAUGCUUUUCUUCAGAAAACGAAAAAAAAUUAGAAAAUGGUCUAAGUUUGUGUUGUUCGUUAAAAUUUUGUUUCCAAAGAAACCAGAAGAUUCUACGGCUUUUGUUGUUGUCCUGUUACUGUGAAGCUUCAUCUUCAGCUUUCUUCUUCUUUAAACUUUGUCGAGGAAAGGAAGAGGAACUCGCCGGAUUUCGGAUCCUACAAUUAUAGUUAUUUUCUGUGUUUUGCUCAUAUAUCCGAGAUCUUUUUGUUCAAACAGGUUUUCUCUCAGUUCCUCCUCGUCUCGUUAUUUUUUUUUUCUCUCUGCCUUGGAUUAUGUUUUAAUUUCAGUAAACGGAUGGUUUGAGUUAUUGUAUUUAAACAUUAAUCUAAUUAUGGUGGCCAAAAGAAGCCUAGGAUUAUGAAACCUUGAAAAAUCCUCUGUUUAGCUUAAUGCACUAUUGCUCUUCUUUCUCUUUCUUUCAUUUGCUUGUAUAUUUAAUUUAAUCUUUUUCUUGGGAUGGAAAGUUAGAGAGAUGGUUAAAAGUCAGUGCAUCAUUUGCCUAUUUUUGAAGCAUAGGUAGCUUUAAUUGUUCAAAGUUGGAACGUGUAUUUUGUCUACCAUAUAAUAUCCCGUGUUGAAUUUUUCCAGAUCUUGUCCAGUGCUAAAAAAGUGCAAAGAAAGUUUAUUAAGGUUUAGCAGCAUUAAAUACAAGAUAACUUGACAUGUUCUUCGAAAAGUUUAUAAACUUUCCGUGUUGACAGGUACUAUAUAUACAUGUCAACACGGAAGUUGACAUGUACUAUAAACUUCUUGGAACAUGUCAACUCAUAUACAAAAUGUAUAGUACAUGUUCUUCGAAAAGUUUGACGCGAAAUUUCUUGAUACAAAAUGUAGAAGUAUUAAUUUUGGCUUUAGGAUCAACGUUGGUAGUGGUGCAAGAAAUGGUCAAAAGAACAAUAGAAGAUUUAUUUGUCGUAUAUUGUUUGCUUUUCCUAGGUAUCGGCUCAUGUGUUUAUUCUAAGGAUAAUUUUGACGUUACUGGUAUUUUACUCGAUUAUGUUGAAUAAAUUAAUAAAAAAAAAUUUUAAAAAAACUUGAUUUUUCGCACUUAUUUGAAAUUAAAUUAAAAUCAUUAUCUAGCUUUUGACCUCUUUUAGUUUUCCUGUGGUUUCCUUUUGGUCAUUUUCAGGGGCGUAAUUGUUUUAAAAAAAAUAACAUUCCAAAGUUGCUAUAUUUUUAUGCCAGUAGUAUUUCAUGAUAUAGUCAAUAUAUAUUAGCAUGUCUUUAACCUAGAGAAAAGGUGAAUAUACCAUAGACCCAAAAGCCCAAUAACUUGAGGUGUGCCACAUUUUAAAUCUAUAACCUAUGGCCCUCACAAAUUUAGAUCAAAUAAAUUGGGAUGUGCCACAUAUAAAUAAAAAUUUAAUUGAUGGCCCUCAAAGUUUAGUUUUGGGGCUUUCUCUCUAAAAUUGGAAUCGAUGUGUGUCGUGCCAAUUAAAAUCCCAAAAUACAUGACCCUUGUAUUAGUUUCAUAAUUUAGAUCUAAAAAAUAUCAAAUACUCGUAGUUUGCUUUAGGCUCGAUUUAGAUUAGUAUUGCGAUUAUGUAUACGUUCGCGUAACAUAAUUGCAAAUUUAUUUCUAAAAAUGACUUGAGGGAUGCGUUCGCGCUACUUNNNNNNNNNNNNNNNNNNNNNNNNNNNNNNNNNNNNNNNNNNNNNNNNNNNNNNNNNNNNNNNNUUUAAUAGUAAGGUAAAAAAAUAAAUGCACAUAGGUCCUAAAAAUGAGUAGUCAAACAAUUUAAGCCAAGUAUAAUUUACUAAGCGACCGUGCUAGAACCACGGAACCCGGGAAUGCCUAACACCUUCUCCCAGGUUAACAGAAUUCCUUACUUAGAAUUUCUGGUUCGCAGAAUUCAAAAGGAAAGUCGAAAUUUUCUCGAUUUGGGAUUUAAAUAAACCGGUGGCUUGGGACACCAAUUAAAAUAUUCCAAGUGGCGACUCUGAAAAAUAAAUAAAUAAUCCUUAUCGAAAAAUGUCACUUAAAUUGGAAACUCCCUUAUAUACCUCUCGGGGUGUGUAAAAAGGAGGUGUGACAGCUCUGGCGACUCUGCUGGGGAUCGAACCCAGAAUCUCUGGUUCAAGGUUCAAGAAUUCGAGCUUGUUAAAGUAAUUUUUAUUUGGCUUUAUUGUUGAUAUUACUGCAUUUUGUGGAUUUAAUGUGCUAAUUGUCAUUUAUCGCUUUGAUAUUACUUGAAUUGUAUUUAAAUGUCUUCUUACGCCACCCAUCUGAGUCUUCUGAAAAUGGUACACACGUUUGCGUGACCCGCUUUUUCUGUAGAAAUUAUAAAAUAAGAUAAGGUUGGGCAAGCAACAAGACCGGGCAGACUUUCGUGCUCCCGGUACGUUGCCCCCUCCUCAAACCCAGUUGUCCGCUCGGGUAACCCAAGUCUAGACCAUAAACCAGGUUUUUAAACCUAGAAUAACGCAACCUCAUGUCGGAUCCCUAGUAGGAAUGAUUAUUUUCAUCACGUGCAUUUGACCUUGGGGACUCAACACAGGGGUUGGGUCCGUCUAGGAUAGGUAUACCCAAAAUAAAGACCAUCCUGAUGCAUCCUACGUUCUAUGUGAAUAUUUAUUUGUUUCGGCUUGCAUGUUGACCGGCUAAGAAAGGAAAUAAAAAGAAAAACCAAAAGUGAGGUAGGAGAGAAAAUUUACUCGAUUUCUAAAAUCCCAGUAUUUGAAAAUAUCCUGAAACUCUGCCGAAUUUAAAAAAAAAGAAAAAAAAGUGAAAAUAUAUUUCAAAAGAGUGAGUCAAAUAUCAUGUUUUUGUAUCAAAACUGUCUGAACUAUGCAAGUCUGAUUCUCACCAGAUGUGGGAUACGUAGGCAACCCACAUAAGGUUCGGCCUCAUUUUUACCAAAUAAUAAAAUAAAAAGAUGUUUCAGGGCUUUGGUCAAAACAAUAUGUCGACCCAGCUUCGGUUGUAUUUAAGUCAUUUCUCCUCGGAAUAGCUUUAGAUUGCAUUCCAAUUGUCGAAAGGCUAUUUUCGAGAGGAACAGACAAAAGGUGUCUUUUCCAAUAAAAUACCUACCCCCGGCCUCAAAAUUCAUUUGGAAUUUUGAAGGGUGCCACGUUUGCAAAAACGACCAUUUUGCUAACAUAGCAAUAAAAGGGGUCCUUGUCCGUUGAUUUUUUAAAAAAAAAACUUAUUUUGCAAAAAGAGUCCACAAGAGUCAACCCUAACCUUAACCCCCCACAGGUACAAAUGAAUACCGUCUAGGAAUCAUCGCAACCUGUCAUAGAAAGGGCUCGGAUGCAGCUACAUAAGUGGUGGGGUGAUUUAGAUGAAGAUGGCCAACUUUCGGUAAAAGAGCAUUUGGGCUCCCUAGUAGACAUCAUGCACGUGAAACCACAGGAGGAUUUAAUUAAGGCUUUGGUGACCUUUUGGGAUCCCGUUCACAAUGUGUUCCGUUUCUCGGAUUUCGAACUCACACCCACUCUGGAAGAAAUAGUCGGGUACAUCAAUUUCGGUCAAGAGUUAAGAAAGCAGCAACUAAUAUUCCCGAGGGCUCCCUCAGUACACAAAUUCUUCGAUCUUUUGAAAAUUAGCAAACAAAUGAGCAAGGGCCGUGUAAGCAAAGGGAGUUGUUCGUUCUACUUCCUGUAUUUCAGGUUUGGACACUCGGCCGGGUUUGAAACACAUGAGAAGGGGUUGAAUAACAAACAGGACUAGAGGAUAUGGCAAAUUCAUCGAUGGUUUGCUUUCAUCGUGGCAUUUCUAGGAAUCAUGGUAUUUCCGAAUUCUGAGGGUACAAUAGACCUUCGUAUGGCCAAAAUCGCACAGGUCCUCGUCGACAAAAAAGAUCACACAUUUGUCCCAUUAUUGCUGGCGGACAUUUACCGGGCAUUAACAUUGUGCAAAUCUGGGGGUCAAUUUUUCGAAGGCUACGAUAUUCUUCUUCAGAUGUGGAUGACCGAACACUUUCGCCGUCAUCCUAAGUUCAUGAGAUAUACUCCAGACGGGAACAAUUUCAUCAAAAAGUAUGAGGAAAGGGUGGAAGAUUACAAACCACCGGAAGGGUUUGAAGCAUGGGUGUCCUAUUUGAGGAAAUUGAGAGCAGAUCAAAUUGAAUGGACCAUAGGAUGGCUCCCAGUAAUAGAAAUCAUCUACAUGACCUCUUCAAAGGGCUACUUGAUGAUAAUGGGUGCGAGAAGUAUACAACCAUAUGCACCACAAAGAGUUCUGAGACAACUGGGAAGAUAUCAGGUGAUACCCGAAGAGGCAGACCUAAGCACUCAAGUUAUUGAACUAUACCCAGAAGCAAUGAUACCCGAGGCUUUAGUUCAAAGAGACUGGAAUUGUUGUCGGUAUCUAAAAAGUAACACCCAAGUGCCAGACCCAGCUAAGGGCGAAGCUGAUCCCAAUUAUGCGACUUGGUUUGAAAGGAGUUUUUAUAUGUACAAUGAGCCCGAGCCCAAACCUGUGAGGCCCGCCAAAAGGCCCCAUGUUCAAGCUUUUGAUGACAAAAUUCAGGAAAGGUUAGCUUGGGGAGAAAAGGAAAAGGAAUAUCAGGCCACCAUCCAUGAUCUGCGAGAAGAGUUGAGAAAUGUCACCUUCAACAAUGAUUUACAGGCACAAGAGGCCGAGGGUGAGAGGAGAAGAUUGGUUUGAGAAAAUGAAGCUCUCAGGGCCCAGGUUCGACAGCUGAAAAUAGCAGCCGAGAAUCCGGGCCAAAGCAGGAAAGAUGAAAGGCUUAUUUAUAACCUUACUCAAAAGGUGCGUGACUAUGAAAAUGACCUGCAAAAAGCUGAGUCUGAACUAGCAAAAGCACGAACGAGGUUGGCUAAAAAUGUCGAAGGGCGUGCAGCUUUCGUUCAAUAGAUGAAAGAAAGAUAUGAAAGAGAGGUCACAGGUUGGGAAAAGCGAUUCGCAACCUCGAAGGUGAAAUGGCUAAACAAGCCAAAAAUUUUAAGGCCGAGAGAGAACAUUGUUACGCCUUAAUGGCACGGUUAGAAGAGGACUUACAGCACUUGCAAGAGCAAAAUCACGCUGCCACCCAAGUCUUAGAGGCUAGAUCCCGUCAGAUUGGCCGUUUGUUGCAAGAGAAGGGCAUCAUAAGAGAGAGGGUUCGAAGGAUUGCUGACUACAUCACCAUGAAAUGCAGUGCGUGUGAGGACAUGACAAGAUCCAUGUUUUUUUCCACUGUAAUGAUCUUCAUCCGUCAGAUAAUGGAAGAACUCUUCGGCUCCAAGAUGACAUGGCAAGUAGGCCCGCUACAAGACCAGUUGGUGUUCCUAAGGCAGGGUUGGAGGCACUGAUGUUUUCUUGAUUGUAUUUUCUUCCUUUUUCCGAGUCUGUAUUUUUCAUAUUUCGAGACUAUUUUCAGUUCGUAGAAAAGGCAUGUCCAGAGUCUUAAAGUUCUAGAAAAGGUAUGUUUUGAGUCUUUUGUAAUUCAGUAAAGUUGUGCUAAUGAAAAAUUGAAAAAAAAAAAGAAAAAAAAACCCACAAAAAUUGUUCUUUUCUUUUUCGCAUUUACUUCUUGAACUACGUUAUGAUCUGAUUUAUGCGGCGUCGUGAUACGUAGGCAAUCCUUAUCGGAUCCGGUCAUGCUUUUUGUAAACAAUUUAAAUAAAAGAGGAAAGAUCCGAAAGAAAAACCCAAAAGAAGGAAAAGAAGGAAAAUCAAAGGAAAAGAAAAAAAAGAGGCAAAGAAAGAGAUGAAAAGAGAGAGAGUGGAAUUGGAAAGAAGGAAAAAAAAUAAUAAGAAUAAGAAUAAGUAAAGCCGGGAUGAAGCAUGCGACCGUUGCAAAACAUGUAGAAACACAUUUAACUGUAUAGAUGCAUCACACCCCAACAUGCGAUUACCUAUCUGUUAUUUGUUUCAAACUAACUGUUUGUUGCUGUUAUCCCAAGUUCAGGUUCUAUAGUAAGGUGGUUUUUUUGUGGUAGUCUGGCUUCCCAUCCAUAUUUCACGAGGUCGAAAGGUAGCGUUGAAAUGUCUUCAGAAAUCACUCUGCCAACAGUUCCUAUCAUGUAAGAGAGUCCGACUUCGGAGUCGGCAGCUGCCGAGGAAAACAGGUUACUGCGUCUCCGCAUGAUGGAAAUGUGGGAUGCCUGGUCAAACGGAAGAGAGCCACCAAGUGUAAUCCCCGGAUUUCCCGAGCUUUUCCCUAGGGUAGGUGGAACCUCCAAUAUCCCGAUCAGUCACCCCAAUACCCCACUCGGACAUCCUACCAUCUCGGCCUACUUUGUUGGAACACCUUCUGAGGUUCGCCCCCAGGUGUUAGCUUCAGGAGUGGUUCCAAAUAUUUUCACUACUCCUCCUUGCUCAGCUAUUACACAGCCUACGCUGCCCAGACCCAACUUUGACCCAUCAAUCUUCACCUUCCAAACACCAUCUUUUCCACUGGAACCUGCACAGUUUCCCACCUAUACUUACUCUCAACCACCCCGAUAUGAGUUCACUGUGGGCAAGAAAAGACUACCAAAAUUCCUGAGCAAGAAGAGAUUGCGAGGAAGAUGAGGAGUAUAGAACAGAGUCUCAAAAGCAUACAAGGCUUAAGUGGACAGAAAAAUGUAUCCUAUACUGACUUAUGCAUGUUCCAUCAUGUGCAUCUGCCAUUGGGAUUCAAAACCCCGAAAUUUGAGAAGAACAAUGGGCACGGUGAUCCUAUUGCUCGUCUCAAAAAAUAUUGCAAUCAAUUGCGAGGGGCCGGUGGAAAGGAAGAACUACUCAUGGCCUAUUUCGGAGAAAGUCUGGUUGGCAUCGCUUCUGAGUGGUACAUGGACCAGGAUAUAUCCCGCUGGCACAUCUGGGAUGAUCUGCUAGAGAUUUCGUCAGGCAGUUCCAGUACAACAUUGAUAUUGCUCCAGAUAGGAACUCGUUGACGAACUUGAAAAAGAAGUCCUCGAAAGGCUUCCGGGAGUAUGCGGUUAAAUGGAGAGAGCAAGCAUCUAGGGUAAAACCUCCGAUGGAUGAGGUUGAAAUGGUCACGGUUUUUUACAAGAUCAGGAAGCCGACUACUUCCAAAAUAUGAUAUCUACUAUGGGUAAACCAUUUGCCGAAACAAUCAAGAUUGGCGAAAUGGUUGAAAACGGGUCGAAUUCUAAGCCAAUCCGCUAUCAGAGCUACUUCCCAAGCCAUUCAGGGUGGGUAUGGAGGAAUAGUGAAAGGCAAGAAGAAGGAAGAAACGUCCAUGGCAGCGUCGGGCGCAAGAAAAUACCGUACUCCCAGAUCCCUUUUCCCAGAAAGGACCCCGCAACACUAUUACCCCCACCAAUACAUGGCCUAUGCUCCUCAUCCAUACACGGUCAUGAAUGCUCAAUCUUAUGUCCGCCCACAGCAACAAGCCCACUAUAACCAAGCUACAUUUCCUAGAAGUCAACCUCCUUACCAAAACCACUACAACCCUGGUCUUCCGCAAACCAAUUUUCCCCCUCGUGAACUACCUAAAAGGCCAAAUUUUACACCAAUCGGCGAAUACUACUCCAGCCUUUUCCCAAAGCUUGUCCAAAUGGGUCUGCUACAGCCGGUUCCUCAAACUAGGCAAAACCCAACAUCUUCCGCUUACAGAGCUAGUGCCCGAUGCGCCUAUCACUCAGGGGGCAGAAGGGCACGACACUGAUGAUUACUGGACUCUGAAGAGAGCAGUGGAGAAUUUGAUAGAACAAAGGAAGAUAGUGCUAAGGGAUGAGGAUGUCCCCAAUGUGACUAAUAACCCACUGUCAGCCCACAACAACGGGCCGGUAAUCGGGAUGAUUUGUAAGGAUAAAGAAUUUAACCCAGCAUUGAAUGCCAUCAUUGCCAUUGCUGACCCAGAAAAGAAACCAAAAGCUUCCCCGAAGCAAGACAAAGGGGAGGAAAAGAACAAAAUCACCCCUCCAAAAUUAGAAAAGAAAGUCGAAGCGGGAAUUGGGGCAACACCUUCCAAAGAUGUUGUUCUCUAUGUUCCUCGGGGUCGCAAAGAAAAACAGAUGACUUUGAGUCCUCCUAGAAGAUUCGAGCUAAACAAGGCAACCCAAAUGUAUGUGCCCAAGGGAGCUUGUGUGAUGCGGGGGCCAAUUAAUCCUCCAAGGCUGAGUGAGCCCGUGGUUAUUGGCCGCACACCGCAAAAGCCCAUGACGGAUCCUACCGUUAUGCCCUGGAAUUACAACAAAAUGGUGGUGACCUAUAAGGGCAAAGAAAUCUCAGGAGAAGUCCAAGAAAAUAACCCCGUUGAAAAGUAUUCUAACUUGGAAGAGGUGAACAAUGCCACUCGAAAACGCUUCCUAUCUAAGAAGCCCGUGAGCGCCGAAGAAGCGGAGACUUUCUUUCAAAAGAUGAAAAUGGCAGAUUAUGAGGUGAUUGACCAGCUUCGAAAAUUUCUUGAACAAGUCUCCUUGUUGGCUUUGCUGAUGAACUCCCCCAAAAAUCAGAAGGUAUUGAUCAAGACCCUUAACGAAGCAUAUGUUCCUAUUGAAACUUCUAUAGAACAGUUGGAAAGGAUGGCAGAAAGGUAUUCCUCAAUUAACCAGAUUUCCUUCAGCAAAAAUGACUUGCCUCCAGAAGGGGCCGCGCAUAACAAAGCCCUGCACCUUACAAUCAAAUGCGAAGGGUACUAUGUGAAAAAGGUUAUGUUGGACAGAGGCUCUAGGGUAGACAUCUGCCCACUCUUGACUCUACUGCGCAUGGAAAUUGGGACUGAAAGAAUUCAACCCAAUAAUGUCUGUGUACGGGCUUUCAAUGGUAUAAAAAGGGACACGAUUGGAGAGAUUGGUCUGAUUCUGACCAUCGGCCCAGUAGACUUUGAAGUAACCUUCCAGGUGUUGGACAUGGACACAUCCUACAAUUUUCUUUUGGGGAGGCCAUGGAUUCAUGCAGCAGGGGUUGUACCCUCUACCCUCCAUCAGAUGGUAAAAUUUGAGCAUGAAGAUCAAGAGAUUGUGGUCCACGGGGAAGACGAGCAAUCAAUUUAUCGCGACCCAUCAGUCCCAUGUCUUGAAGCAAGAGAGGGGAGUGAGUACAUAGUUUAUCAAGCCUUUGAAAUUGUGGUCGCAGACCAGUACGAAGAGGGAAACCCUUGCCCUCAACCCUUUCUUUCUAAUGCAUCAAUCAUGGUGGCCAAAGAAAUGAUCAGACAUGGUUUCAAAUUAGGGAAGGGGCUUGGUAAAUUAUUGCAAGGAAUAACUGAACCUGUUACCCUGACAACCAAUGAAAAGUUCUUCAGGAUAGGCUUCCUACCCACUCCAGAUGAUGUAAAAUGGGCAAAUGAUAGAAAGAAUGAUGGUUGGGUCUUGCCUCAGCCGGUGCCGCAUCUGUACAGAACAUUUGUCAAGCCAAAAUACCAUGAGGAGGAAGAAAAUGAGGCCUUCACAGCCGAAGAGACUGAAGAUAUAUGUGGGGCAAUGAGGAAGAUACUGUAUGAAGCCCACAUGGUUCAACUAGGGGAAGGCUCGAGCACUGCUGAGGUGCUGUAUAUAGGACCUAAUGCCAAGCUACAGAAUUGGAAGGCUACGCCAUUCCUGAUCAGGCGGGAGUCCCGGUAGACCUGUCCUGCCACAUUUUCUACAUCACGAGUUAUUUCAGGGUGUAACUCGGAUGUUUUCUUUAGUUUCUUGUCUUUUAAUUUUCCAAUGUAAACCCUGUUAUCUCCAAAUUCCAAGAAAUGAAACCAAUAUUUCAUUGUUCAUCUUUCUUUAUUCUUUCUGAUUUUGUUAUUUUUUUUAUUUCUUAUUUCAGUUCUAAUAAUGCGGCUUUAAGUAACAUGACAUGCUUGCAGACUUCAUGCCUAGAUCCAAACAUGCUGUCUAAUUGCGAAAUAAUGAACCAAGAACCGGAAUACGAUGAAGAGGAGGCUUUAAGGGAAAUAAAUCGAGAAUUGGAACAAUUUGAGAAUAAACCUAAGCCGAACUAAAUGAUACUGAAUCGGUUAAUUUGGGUAGUUCUGAAGAAGUUAGAGAAACUAAGAUAAGCAUUUUCACAGGCAAAAAAACUCGAGACGCAUUAAUCCAACUCCUGUUUGAGUUCAAAGAUGUGUUUGCUUGGUCAUACGAUGACAUGCCAGGGCUGAGUGUUGAUUUGGUUGUUCACAAGUUGCCAACAUACCCCGAUUGUCCCCCAGUCCAACAAAAGCAAAGAAAAUUCAAAACUGAUGUUAGUGACAAGAUCAAAGAAGAGGUCACGAAGCAGUUGAAAGCGGGGGUGAUCCGAGUGGUCCGGUACACCACCUUGUUAGCUAAUGUAGUUCCAGUUCCAAAGAAAGACGGGAAGACCCGGGUGUGUGUGGAUUACAGAGAUUUAAACAAGGCAAGUCCCAAAGAUAACUUCCCUUUGCCAAACAUCCACAUCCUUGUUGAUAACUGUGCCAAGCAUGAGAUACAAUCCUUCAUGGAUUGUUAUGCAGGAUAUCAUCAGGUGUUGAUGGAUGAAGAAGAUGUAAAGAAGAUAGCUUUUACCACACCGUGGGGUACAUACUGUUGCAGAGUCAUGCCGUUUGGUCUCAAGAACAUCGGGGCAACCUAUAUGAGAGCUAUGACAGCCAUGUUUCACGAUAUGAUGCACCAAGAGAUAGAGGUGUAUGUAGACGAUGUAAUCAUCAAAUCCAAAACCCAGGACGACCACGUUCGGGACUUGAGAAAUUUUUUUGAGCGGAUGCGCAAAUAUGAUUUAAAACUGAACCCAGCCAAAUGUGCAUUUGGGGUACCAUCCGGCAAACUCUUGGGAUUCAUCGUCAGUCGGAGGGGCAUCGAGUUAGACCCAACAAAGAUAAAGUCUAUUCGAGAUUUGCCUCCUCCAAAAACCAAGAAGGAUGUUAUGAGUCUGUUGGGUAGAUUGAACUACAUCAGUCGAUUCAUUGCCCAACUGACAUCCACAUGUGAACCCAUAUUCAAACUGCUAAAGAAAGACGCAACACUCAAGUGGACAGAUGAAUGUCAAAGAGCUUUUGAUAAAAUUAAGGAAUAUUUGUCGAAUCCGCCGGUCUUGGUCCCACCUAAUCCAGGGAGGCCUUUGUUCUUGUACCUGACAGUCUUGGAAAAUUCUUUCGGUUGCGUCCUCAUGCAACACGAUGUGACCGGAAAGAGAGAGCAUGCUAUUUACUAUCUGAGCAAGAAGUUCACUAGUUAUGAAGCCAAGUACACUAUGUUGGAAAGGACCCGCUGCGCUUUGACUUGGGUCGCUCAGAAGCUGAGGCAUUACUUGCAAGCCUACACCACUUACCUCAUAACCAGGUUGGAUCCUUUAAAAUACAUAUUCUAGAAGCCGAUGCCCACUAGGAGGCUAGAAAAGUGGCAGAUCCUGCUUACGGAAUUCGACAUAGUAUAUGUCACUCGCACGGCAAUGAAAGCCCAGGCGUUACAGACCAUUUGGCUGAAAAUCCGGUCAAUGAUGAAUACCAACCUUUGAAUACUUACUUCCCAGAUGAAGAGGUAAACUCGGUUGAGGCAAUAUCCGAAGAUAUCAAUGCUUAGAAAACGUUUUUUGAUGGAGCGGUAAACGCAAAAGGUGUUGGAAUUGGGGCAAUCCUGAUCUCGCCCGCCGGCCAACAUUAUCCGGCCACAGCUAGGCUCCGGUUUUUCUGCACAAACAACACUGCUGAGUACGAAGCUUGCAUUAUAGGUAUGAACAUGGCAAUCGACCAAGAUGUCGAAGAACUGGUAAUCAUGGAAGACUCAGAUUUGAUUAUCCAACAAGCUCAAGGAGAAUGGGAAACCCGAGACGUCAAGCUUAUUCCUUAUAGGAAACAUGUGGAAGAACUUGGCAAACGAUUCAAGUCAAUAGUGUUCAGGUACAUUUCUCGCUGCCACAAUGAAUUAGCUGAUGCACUUGCCACCUUAGCCUCAAUGCUGCCAUACCCAGGCAAUGCCCGCAUUGAUCCCUUGGAAAUCCAAAUUCAGGAAAGGCAUGGUUAUUGUAAUACGGUUGAAAUGGCGACAAACACCUAGCCAUGGUAUCAUGACAUUAAAAGGUUUUUGAAAACACAAGAAUACCCUGAGCAAGCCAGUGGAGACCAGAAGAGAACCAUUAGGCGGCACGCGAGUGGUUUCUUUUUGAGUGGUGACAUCUUGUACAAAAGAACUCCGGACCUCAACUUGUUAAGAUGUGUUGACGCAGAGGAGGCUGGAAGAAUCAUGCAUGAGGUACAUGCGGGAGUAUGCGGACCCCACAUGAAUGGGUAUGUUUUAGCAAAUAAAAUCUUUCGAGCAGGCUAUUACUGGAUAACCAUGGAAAAGGACUACUUCAGUUUUGUCCGAAAGUGUCAUCAGUGUCAGGUGCACGAUGAUUUGAUUCAUGCACCUCCCACAGAACUGCAUCCCAUAUCAGCACCUUGGCCAUUUAUUGCUUGGGGUAUGAAUGUCAUCGGGCCAAUCGAGCCGAAAGCCUUGAAUAGGCACCGAUUAAUACUAGUUACCAUUGACUACUUCACGAAGUGGGUUGAAGCCAUCACUCUCAAAUCCGUCACCAAGAAAGCUGUGGUAGAUUUCGUGCACUCCAAUCUUAUCUGCCAUUUUGGCAUUCCUGCAACUAUUAUCACAGACAAUGCUGCAAACUUGAAUAGUCAUUUGAUGGGAGAGAUAUGCGAACAAUUCAAGAUAACGCAUUGGAAUUCUACUCCUUAUCGACCCAAAGCCAAUGGUGCUGUCGAAGCAGCAAACAAAAACAUCAAAAAGAUUUUGAGAAAGAUGAUUCAGAGUUCCAAGCAGUGGCAUGAAAAGUUAUCGUUUGCAUUGUUGGGAUAUCGCACUACUGUGCGCACGUCAAUUGGAGCCACCCCGUAUCUUUUGGUUUAUGGCACUGAAGCCGUAAUACUCGCAGAGGUUGAAAUCCCCUCUAUCCGGAUCAUUGUUGAAGCAGAAAUUGAAGAGAGUGGGUGGGUCAAAACUCGGCUGGAACAGUUAACCUUGAUCGAUGAAAAACGAAUGGUCGCGGUCUGCCACGGGCAGUUGUACCAACAAAGAAUGGCCCGUGCCUACAACAAGAAAGUGCAGCCUAGAAAUUUCGAAGUGGAGCAGCUUGUUUUAAGGUGUAUCCUUCCCUAUCACCAGGAAUCGAAAGGAAAAUUUUCUCCUAAUUGGAAGGGCCCAUACAUCAUCAGAAAGAUAUUGCCGAAAGGGGCGUUGUAUCUGGGUGAUAUCGAAGGGAAUGAUCCUGAAGUAGUUGUGAAUGCGGAUGCAGUCAAAAGGUAUUAUGUUUAGCUUUUCUGCAUUGACAACCUUGUCCGAUUGGGAUGAUGAAGGCUUUCAUUCUCGCUACCCAAACACUCUCCACCCUUUGCAAAUCCAUUUGAGCCAGUUACUCUUCUUUGAUUACCCUCUUGGGAACCGUAAAGUGUUAAAAAAAAGAAGCAAAAACAACAAAACAAAAUGUUUUCCUGAACUACGUUCGACUUGAUUCCGAAAGGACACGUAGGGAGCCUCUCUAUGGGGUUCAGUCACACCAAAACAAAAAUCCAAUUUUCCCCAAAAGAGAAACUGGGGUAGAUGUUAUAAUGGUUCAACAAUGAGCCUACCUGAAUGGUUCCAAAGUUGUAAUUUCACCCGGAUUCUUUUUGCCCAAACCUUGUUCAAGUCCUUCUGAUCAAUCAGCAAAGGCGCCGGAAUUAGAAAACAUGACUGUUUGGAUCUGAUACAAUUAAAAUUAUAGAAAUAAAAUAAGAGAGUCUUGUCGGUGAAAACCUAGGGGCACCAUAAGGCGACGGUGAGCAGAGAAAUUGAAAAUGAGAGAGCCUGUUUAGUGAAAACUCGUAAAGAGCACUAUCAAGCGAUGGUAAGAAGAGAAAUGUGAGAGGUCGAUUGGCGAAAACCCGCAAAGGGCGCCGUUGAUCGAAGAGAAGAAACCCCUCACCACCAUUAGUAUUGAAAGAAUCCUGGCAAGUUUUCUCGAUUUUGAAACAUGGGGUGCAAUGGGUUUAUGAGAAGUCGGAUAGUUGUGCGGAUCGGUUGUCUAGUCCAAGAAGCAUGUCAUGUCUAUUUGAAGCAUGCAUGCACCCCAGAUAACUCUGUCUUUCCUCCCCGAAAGGGACACUUCUCCUUCAAAUUCAUUUUUCUUGUCCUUUGUUUACCUUUUCUUGAAUCCCUUUCGGUCUAACUCUGUUCUGAAACUAAUACAAAGAAAAGGUGGCAAGAUUGGUUUUCCAGGGUUCUGCUUAACAAAAGCCAAGUCCAAAUAAAAGUACCCAGCCUCAGCGGGUGCAUCAAGUCGAUCCUGACUGGCCGUGAUAACUGAUGCUUUGAAAUCAGAAUUUAUUGAAAAUGAAAAGAAAUCCCAAGUCAAAGCCCCUAGAGGCAGAAUAAAAUGAAAAGGGCCAAAGCCUAUGAGCCGUCAUGAGAAAUUUUGAAAAAAAGUUGAGCUCCUCGGUUUUAGGAUAGAGAUCAAUCUUCAGAAAAGCCAGCAAGCAGCAGAGGUUCCAACCAAAAGAGUUGAGCCAAGAUCAAGUGAUCAAAAACGAUGAAGGCCACAAAACCAACCACCGUUUCAAAACUAACAAUUGUUCUUUGUUCGAAAAGAUUGAAACAGCUGCAACCCAGGGCAACUGUGCAAAAGCAGGUGCAGCCGAAGAAAAGCCGCGCAAGAGCUAGAAACAGCUUCGCAGUAACAAUCAACCCAAAAGGGAAGUUUUUCUCCAAAAUUCUUUCCUGCAUCUUAUUGAAAUAAAAUGAAAUGGGAAAGAAAAGAAAAAAAAAAGAAAUCCAAACAAAAUGAUAGCUAAGAUUCCCAACCUCAAUUUGUUACUCUUUUGCCAACAUUAGGGGUCCAACCCUGAGUUGAGCUUUUAGACAUAAGGCCUCCAUUCCCUAGUCUCCUUUUGCCAACAUUAGGGCUCCAAUCUCUGAGUUGAGCUUUUAGACAUAGGGCCUCCAUUCCCUAGUCGCCUUUUGCCAACAUUAGGGCUCCAAUCCCUGAGUUGAGUUUUUAGACAUAGGGCCUCCAUUCCCUAGUCCCCUUUUGCCAACAUUAGGGCUCCAAUCCCUGAGUUGAGUUUUUAGACAUAGGGCCUCCAUUUCCUAGUACCCUUUUGCCANNNNNNNNNNNNNNNNNNNNNNNNNNNNNNNNNNNNNNNNNNNNNNNNNNNNNNNNNNNNNNNNNNNNNNNNNNNNNNNNNNNNNNNNNNNNNNNNNNNNNNNNNNNNNNNNNNNNNNNNNNNNNNNNNNNNNNNNNNNNNNNNNNNNNNNNNNNNNNNNNNNNNNNNNNNNNNNNNNNNNNNNNNNNNNNNNNNNNNNNNNNNNNNNNNNNNNNNNNNNNNNNNNNNNNNNNNNNNNNNNNNNNNNNNNNNNNNNNNNNNNNNNNNNNNNNNNNNNNNNNNNNNNNNNNNNNNNNNNNNNNNNNNNNNNNNNNNNNNNNNNNNNNNNNNUUUUGCCAACAUUAGGGCUCCAAUCCCUGAGUUGAGCUUUUAGACAUAGGGCAUCCAUUCCCUAGUCGUCUUUUGCCAACAUUAGGGCUCCAAUCCCUGAGUUGAGUUUUUAGACAUAGGGCCUCCAUUCCCUAGUCCCCUUUUGCCAACAUUAGAGCUCCAAUCCCUGUGUUGAGCUUUUAGACAUAGGGCCUCCAUUCCCUAGUCUCCUUUUGCCAAUAUUAGGACUCCAAUCCCUGAGUUGAACUUUUAGACAUAGGGCCUCCAUUCCCUAGUCGCCUUUUGCCAACAUUAGGGCUCCAAUCCCUGAGUUGAGCUUUUAGAUAUAAGGCUCCAUUCCGUAAUCGUUCCUCUUAAAUACACAAUCCUUAUUUUAUUGCUUUCAAUAGAGAAAUAAGGUAGAUUUUAGUUGCAAAUAACUCACGAAAUUUUCCCACUGAAAACUGGGGCAGGAAAAUUUCGUUCGUUUGUUUGUUUGUUUUGGGUGACUGGGCAGGUUUUGCCUCGAGGCACAGUAUUGGAGAUGACCAAAAGAAUGAGUCUCAAUCCAGAAUAAAGAAAAGAAGGAAAAGAGCAAAAGAAGUGGAUUCAAAAGGUUAAAGUGGAGAAAGAUGCGGACUGCCCAAGAUAUGAUUGAAGUCACAAGCUUCGCAUGGCCCGCCUUGAUCCAAAGCUAAAGAAAGAACCAGUACCUACAGCUGACGAGCAUCAAGAUUCAGAUCGGAGUCCACAGCAAGAACCAUCCAAGACUCAAGAUCAAGCCUCAAGAGAUUUAUAGAUAGGAAUCUUGUAACUCGUAGUUGAUAGGCUUACCUAGUUUAGUUUUUUAUUUUUCAUUUUUGGUGUAAUAAGGAGUUCCGCAAGUAGAAAUCGCAGCAACAACAACGAAAUCACAGCUUCUCGGUAGUCCCAGCUACCAAAACUUUCAGAACUACACUGACCUGAUUCCUUUAUAGCCAAGGAUAUGUAGGCAACCUCCGAAGCAAGGUUCGGUCAGAUUUUUUUUUCAAAAAAUGCUUCUCAUGGAGUUUCAAAUGGGCAAAAAUCCCUCGAAAUUGCUCAUUUUAUCUUUGCCCGAAAACCCUUCGUGUCUCCGAGCAAAGAGGGGCAGCUGUGAGCACGUGAUUUUUGCUCUAUACGAAAUACUCCUAUACAAUCCCAAGAAAAUAGAUUUUUGUUAAUUAUUUGCCAUUUUAGGAAUUUUUGUAGAAUUUUAUUUAAUUGUUUGCAUUUUUUGUGCAUGUUUAAGUUUAUUUAAAUUAUAAAAAAUACCAAAAAACAUCACGCAUGGCAUUUAGGCUUUAUUUUUAUAUUUUUUGGGAUUAAUCAGUAAUUAUUUGUUUUAUAAAAUUUGAAAAAAUCACAAAAAAUAGCUCAUUUUACGUUUUUGUCUUUAAUUUUAAUUUAUUGAUUUUCCACUUUUAAUAUAGAUUUAAGUUAUGUUUACAAUUUCUAUAAUUAGUUAAUUAGUCUAAUUUCACAUUUUUAGAUAAUUUAGGAUUUUUCUUUUAAUUAGGAUUUUUAAUUAAAAAAAGAGAAAAGAAAAGAAUUGAAAAUUGGGCCAUUCUUAAUCUCGCAAAUCACCCCAAAAUUCGGCCAUCAUGCACAAUUGUCCCCUCAAAAUCAAUUAACCCCCAGCCCAAAUACCAUUAACCACCCCUAGCCCAUGACUUGUGACCCAAACUCCCUCUGGAUCCGCCCAUUUCCCCCUCCAUAUAAAAACCUUGUUAUAACAUUUUCCCCCAAAUUCCCUAACCCUAGAGACCAAAAUCAGAGGCGGCUCCUCUACUGUUCUUCUUCUUCAGUGAACUCGCCUCAACUCGCAUGAGUUUUGAGCGAGUUCACUCAUUGGUCCCCCCCCCUCCACGUCACCUCAUCCUCAACGGAUUUGUCAGAGGAGUACGAUAUUCUCUCAAAAUGCACGAUUUCGGAUUCAAAAGGACAAUUGUUGGACGAAUAGGAGCCGUGGAUAGAUGUGAAUCAAUCCACUCCCUCUAUUUGUCCCGAAAUUGUUCAAUAAAUCUGAAGAUUUUCGAAUUCUAGGCAGAAGUUUCGAGAUAUUUUUGAGGUUUAUAUAUAAGGUAAGUUCUUUUCUUGUUAAGGAGAGGAAAAUAUUUUCAGAAAAAGGGUAGAGUAAAAUUUCUAGGGUUCUUGAGCUUUUUUUCUUUUAUUUCUCAAGCUUUGGUCCGCUUUUCUUCAGAAAACGAAAAAAAAUAAAAAAUGGUCUAAGUUUGUGUUCUUCGUUCAAGUUUUAUUUCCAAAGAAACCAGAAGAUUCUACGACUUUUGUUGCUGUCCUGUUACUGUGAAGCUUCAUCUUAAGUUUUCUUCUUCUUUAAACUUUGUUGAGGAAAGGAAGAGGAACUCGCCGGAUUUCGGAUCCUACAAUUAUAGUUAUUUUCUGCGUUUUGCUCAUAUAUCCGAGAUCUUUUUGUUCAAACAGGUUUUCUCUCAGUUCCUCCCCGUCUCGUUAUUUGUUUUUCUCUCUGCCUUGGAUUAAGUUUUAAUUUCAGUAAACAGAUGGUUUGAGUUAUUAUAUUUAAACAUUAAUCUAAUUAUGGUGGCCAAAAGAAGCCUAGGAUUAUGAAACCUUGAAAAAUCCUCUGUUUAGCUUAAUGCCUUGUUGCUCUUCUUUCUCUUUCUUUCAUUUGCUUGUAUAUUUAAUUUAAUCUUUUUCUUGGGAUGGGAAGUUAGAGAGAUGGUUAAAAGCCAGUGCAUCAUUUGCCUAUUUUUGAAGCAUAGGUAGCUUUAAUUGUUCAAAGUUGGAACAUGUAUUUUGUCUACCAUAUAAUAUCCCGUGUUGAAUUUUUCCAGAUCUUGUCCAGUGCUGGGAUUUUUUAUUUUUUUUAAAAAAAAAGUGCAAAGAAAGUUUAUUAUGGUUUAGCAACAUUAAAUACAAGAUAACUUGACAUGUUCUUCGAAAAGUUUAUAAAGAUAGACCACUCAUAUUUUUUUUUUAAUUUGUUUGGACAACCAUCUGAUUCGUACCCCUUUUGACGCGAAAUAUCUUGAUAUAAAAUGUAGAAGUAUUAAUUUUGGCUUUAGGAUCAACGUUGGUAGUGGUUCAAGAAAUGGUCAAAAGAACAAUAGAAGAUUUAUUUGUCGUAUAUUGUUUGCUUUUCCUAGGUAUCGGCUCAUGUGUUUAUUCUGAGGAUAAUUUUGACGUUACUGGUAUUUUACUCGAUUAUGUUGAAUAAAUUAAUAAUAUUUUUUUUAAAAAAAAAUUUGAUUUUUCGCACUUGUUUGAAAUUAAAUUAAAAUCAUUAUCUAGCUUUUGACCUCUUUUAGUUUUCCUGUGGUUUCCUUUUGGUCAUUUUCAGGGGCGUAAUUGUUUUAAAAAAAAUAACAUUCCAAAGUUGCUAUAUUUUUAUGCCAGUAGUAUUUCAUGAUAUAGUCAAUAUAUAUUAGCAUGUCUUUAACCUAGAGAAAAGGUGAAUAUACCAUAGACCCAAAAGCCCAAUAACUUGAGGUGUGCCACAUUUUAAAUCUAUAACCUAUGGCCCUCACAAAUUUAGAUCAAAUAAAUUGGGAUGUGCCACAUAUAAAAAAAAUCUUUUAAUUGAUGGCCCUCAAAGUUUAGUUUUGGGGCUUUCCCUCUAAAAUUGGAAUCGAGGUGUGCCGUGCCAAUUAAAAUCCCAAAAUACAUGACCCUUGUAUUAGUUUUAUAAUUUAGAUCUAACAAAUAUCAAAUACUCGUAGUUUGCUUUAGGCUCGAUUUAGAUUAGUAUUGCGAUUAUGUAUACUUUCGCGUAACAUAAUUGCAAAUUUAUUUCUAAAAAUGACUUGAGGGAUGCGUUCGCGCAANACUUCAACCAAACUUUUUCUUAAUAAAAUAAACAAAGCGUUAUUAAUCGUGGACACGUUCGCGUGACAUGACUUUUGACGCGCCAAAGGAAAAGAGUAUACGUACGCGUAACUCAAUUCUUUAAUUACGAAUAAUCAAGUGAUUUAAAAGUGGUAAAAAAAAAUAAAUGCACAUAGGUCCUAAAAAUGAGUAGUCAGACAAUUUAAGCCAAGUAUAAAUUGCUAAGUGACCGUGCUAGAACCACGGAACCCGGGAAUGCCUAACACCUUCUCCCGGGUUAACAGAAUUCCUUACUUAGAAUUUUUGGUUCGCAGACUUCAAAAGGAAAGUCGAAAUUUUCUCGAUUUGGGAUUUAAAUAAACCGGUUACUUGGGACACCAAUUAAAAUAUUCCAAGUGGUAACUCUGAAAAAUAAAUAAAUAAUCUCAUAUCGAAUAAUGUCACUUAAAUUGGAAAACUCCCUUAUAUACUUCUCGGGGUGUGUUAAAAGGAGGUGCGACAAUAGGCUGAAGACUGUGCGACCGACUGGGACAACCCUGAUGAUCCUCCCCGAAAAGCUGAUCUUCCCUCACCUAGUGACUCACCCAUGUUGCCCGUAGACCGGGCCUUUCUGUUACCCUCUCUCUCACCAUCCUGUUCUUUAGUUUACAGUUCUCUGUGGCCUGAGCAAAUGCCACCAUCUUCCCAUAAUUCAUGUCAGAAUCCAAGGCAGCUAUAGAAGCUUCAUUAAUAGUCAAAGGAUUAAGGCCCUGAACAAAUCGCCGCACCCUGGCCUCCAUUAUGGGCAACAUGUGAAUAGCAUAUUUGGACAGGCGGGCAAACUCCAUGUGGUACUCCCACACACUUCUUCUACCUUGCUUUAGAUUCUCAAACUCUACUGCACGAGCUGCCCUUGUCUCAGCAGGUAGGAAAUGAUCUACAAAAGCAUCGGCAAACUCGCUCUACCUUACCGGAUGGCUCCCCUCCUCACGGGAAUCUUCCCACAACUCAAACCACGAGUAGGCCAUCCUUUUCAGACGGUAGGCGGCCAACUCUACUCCCUCUAUCUCAGUUGCACACAUAACCCUGAGGGUCUUGUGCAUCUCAUCAAUAAAAUCAUGGGGGUCCUCCUUUGAAUUGGCACCCGUAAACACUAGAGGGUCUAGCUGAAGAAAUUUGUUUACCAUAGAACUUGUGGAAUUCCCUUGCUGGAUAGAUGAACUGGGUGCGGCAUUUGACCUCUGGGCCUGAGAGGCCACUAGCUGGGUCAACAUCUGGAUAGCUCCCCUAAGAUCCCCAUCAGAAAUACCGAAACCGAAAGCUGGGGCUGGAUGCGGGACAAGAAUACAGGCGGGAGGGAUGGUGGUACCCUCCAUAGAUGUAGGAACUAAGGUAAUCUGCUCUGGAGUAGAAGAAUCAGGCAGUGUGAUAGUAGGGCGAUUAUCCUCACCCGCAGUAUCAAGUAGUGAAUCAUCAGCCACUCCUAAGGUGGCAUUGGCUUCUUGACUAAUUCUCGCUUUCUUCUUAGGUGCCAUGUACUGAAAAUUGAAGGAGUGCACUAGUUAGAAGAGGAAUGGUUUCACAAUUGCCGCACGAUCCAGAAUAUCAAAGAAGGGUGUUAUUCCUAAAUUCCCAAGUAGCCUCCAACUUAUAGAUGUGGUCGACUACACACCGAUAAGAAGGACUCAACUACACACGUCUCCCAGACAUCCUAGGACACUUUCAAACCUUAGGCUUUGAUACCAAGUUUCUCAUGCCCCAACCUCAGGAGGCGUGACCGACGCUCAAUCGAGUGAACUCAACUGAGCAAGCCUUUUUAAACACUUUCUACCCAACUCAAUAUGAUUAAGGGAACCAUGUUUUUGUUUAUUUUAACAAUAAGGGAGAUCGUACAUUCAAUAUUGUUAGUUCAUUUUAUAUCACAAACCUUAAACCUGUGGUCAUUUUCCCAAAACAUUAUGCAGUUACAGUUUAGAGGAAACAAGAGUUUACAAUUACAAAAUGAUCUAGUGACCCAUCCAACCCGAACAUAACCCGUAGAAACGUCUACGGAGCCUCUAAGGGUACAAAAGAUAGUUAUGAUAAUGCCGGCAACAAGGCCCCGACUAUACCUCAAAAGUGGAAAUUUACAUCAAAUGAUGUACAACAUCACCCCUUGAAGGAAAAAGCGCUCACCAAGACUUUGAGAGGAGGAUACUCUGCUCUGCACGAUCGGCACUAUCCACUAUAGCGCCACCUACAUUCAUUCAAAAAUGUAGCGCCCUAGCAAAAGGGACGUUAGUACCAUGGAAUAGUACUAAUAUGUAUAACUAAACACCAUCUCAUUAGAAAGAACAAAGAAAUUACAAGGAACAAUCAAAGGCUUUAAACGACCACCACAUCAUCAAAUAAAAGAAUCAUAAAACUUUCACAAAAAUUCCGUAGCUUUAGGUUGGGGCCUUUAAUACUGUUCAUCAUCAUUUAUAAUACCAACGCUUUCUUGAGCGGAAUCCGAUCACGGCCCGAUCGGCUAAGCUGCCUCAUUUGAGACAUAUACCUCAAUCACUAUUUCAUUCUCACUUUCCAGUUUCAAUCAUCAACACAAUACCACCAUGUGAGUAGCAUGGUGUCCAAUCACGGCCCGAUCGGCUAGGCCAUCUUACCAAGACGUUACACCUUUUUCCAUUAAUCAUCUCACUUCACUUUUUGGUUUCACAUACAUUAGUUCAUCGGCACUUGGGACCACAAUUACCACAUCAAUACUUGGCACUAGGCCACAUUCCAUAACUCAUAUUUCUUAUUAUUCCCAUUUUCAACAUUAACCUUGCCAUUUAAGAUCAUAGGCACAUACAAGAGCAAUUUAAGUUGUAAGCAUAAAGAGGAAUUCACCUAGUUCGGCAUAAUAAUCACAAUGUAACCUUGACUUGAAAUUUAGGCAUUUUAGCACAUAGUUCAUGUUCUUCACACACCCUCAAUUUUACAAAGAAUAGCACAAUAAACACAUGGAAAUGCACCUUCCACAUGUAUUCUCACCACACUAAUUCAUUUGAUAUAACAAGUACUACAUCAAUCAAAUUCCAGACCUACGACAUUUGCACGGACACCAUGGAAGCUCAAUUUCUAAGGAGAGGGGGUUUUAUCCAUACAUACCUCAAUAGAACUUUCCUUAAAUCCUUACAAUAAUUCCGUAACUUUCAAGCAACUUCGAUCUAUUUUAUGAGAAUUUUAAAUUGAACCAAGAAUUAGAGACAGGAUUAAGAUUCUAGCUCAUUUCAGUAUAUUAUCACGCACUAAGUGUGCAUUGUAAUUUUUGGACUCUUUUGUGAGAGAUUUUUUUACAUCUUACACUUCAAUUGCUAUCUUUUUAACUCACAAUCUCCCCAUACCCUAUUAUCAUUUAUGCAUGCAAGACAAUCAAUCCUUAUACCCCAUGAACCCACUUGUUAAUUACCUAUUCUAGUAUGAAUUUCGAAAUCAAAGGUUAGGACUCAAGUUCUUACCUCUUGGAGUAAAGGCCUAGUAGCUUUACUUGAUAAUCUUUAAGGGUUUAGGUAAGGUUUGAAUGGGGACUUAAUGAAGAUCACUCUCUCUCUAUAGCACAUUCUCUCACCUUAGAUGUAGUAGAAAAAUAGCAUAAAAGGGUCUAAUGGGGUGUUUUAAUGGAAUAGGGCCGGGUUUUAAAAGUUAGAAAAUAGGAGCCCCGACACAAUCUGCGAUCGCAUAACUGACAUGCGUCUCGCAAAAGGGACCGCAAAAAUGGCCCCCAAAACCUGAACAAACUGCCCAGGUAUGCGACAAGAAUGCGGUCCGCAUACCCGUUCUGUGGUUGCAUAAUGCACCGCAAAACUACCCCUCGCCAAAAUUCCAAGGAGAUUAUGUGAUGACUAGGCGGCCCGAAUGUCAAUUAUGCGAUCGCAUAAUUGGCCGCAUAGUUGACCUCAAAAUUAACCAGCACUUUGUCUGACUCUGCUGCAACUAUGCGGUCCGCAUAGCUAUAAUUCGACCGCAUAAUUGAUUGAAAAAAUGUAUUUUUCUGAAAAUAACUUUUCCAUGCACAGACCAAUCCAAAAAGGUCUGAACACAAUUUCUAACACAUAUCCCUGACUUGGCACUAUGAGAUUUUGGGUUUUGGAGUAAAAUUUCACGGGGCCUUACAGGUCGGGUGUGGCCAAUUUCAUGAUUUUUGAGUUAAUUUGAUAAUUUUCAUAUGGGUUUCAUUCCUUUAGCGUAUAUUGAUGAUAAUAUACUGAUUUUGGUUAGAUUCGGGGCAUUUGGAGGUCGAAUCGAGAUGCAAGGGCAUCGCGGCUAGAGUUUGGCUUUGCUUGAGGUAAGUAACGCUUCCAAACUUGGUUCUGAGGAUUCGAAACCCCGAACUAUGUGUUUUAUGAUUACUAUUGAUGUGACACAAAUGCCAAGUGAUGGGCGUGUGGACGUGCACCGUGAGAAUUAUGGCCUAUCUCAUUCCAUGGCACCGUUUAGUAACUCUUUCUUGUUGAUAUCCAUGUUUCUAUCAUGUGAUUAAGUAAAUGUGUUGUAAAAACAUGCUAGAUUUCCUGUUAGGGCUUCACGCUGAUACUGUUGAGAUCCGAGUUAUCAUUUCUUGUUGUCAUCUCAUUAAAUUUAUUGAUAUUCUGUACUCAGUCUUGCUCAUGCAUAUCAUAUCAUGUCUUAGUCUCAGUUAUUAUUAUUUGGUACAUCAUAUCAUUGUUUCGGGCUAGAUUCAUGAUAUUGUGAGCCCGUAUGUGUAAGACUUGAGAGUGAUGACUGAGUGAGCCCGACAGCCUAAUUGUGAGUGAUAGUUAUAGGAUGGGGCUGCACGCUGCAGUGAUUAUGUUGAUGUUUAUAAUAGCACUUGGGCUGUAAGAGCCCCUCCGGAGUCUGUAACACACCCCUAGUUAGCAUAGUUGAUUAUAUUCAGGAAUGGAUCUUCCCUUGCUAUGGAUAUAGAUCUUCUCCGUGAGGCUGGUUGGCGUGUUCCUCGGUACUAGAGACCGAUGGUCUGUGAUGUGUAUAUCUUCUGGGAUGGAUCUUCCCUAGGCCUUAUGUGCCAUAUACAGUACCGAGUGGUUGUGAGGUUGUUAUGAUUGUUACUAUCUGUAGAUGGAUCUUCUCCACAGGCUAGAUUGGCCUUCCUCAGUACUGAGUGACUUCUGUCAGAUAUGUAUAUAUUCCGGGAUGGAUCUUCCCUGGGCCGUAUGAUCCAUAUACAGUACUGAGUGGACGAGUAUUUGAGAUUGUGGGCACAUGAGGCACUCAGUAUGGUGCAUUCCAUAUAGCAUGUGCACUGACAUAUAGAUGUAGCAGAGUCUCAUUUCUUUACCAUGUUCAUAUCUGCUCUAUUCUCUGUUUUGAACUGUCUAUUUAGCUGAAAGCAUGCCUACGUUUCUAUACGUUGUUUAUGUUAUCUUUAAGGAGGUUUAGUUCGUUACUACCUCUUAGUCUAUUGUUUGGACUUGUUAAUUAUUGAGUUGGUGUACUCACGUUACCCCCUGCACCUUGUGUGUAGAUCCAGGAAUCUCAGGCCACGAUAGCGGUUAUUGAUUAUUUCAGUCAUGGGCUUUCAUUGGAGAUAGCGAAGUAGCUUCCUAGUGAUCGCAGUCCCGCCUUUCUCCUUCCUUAUCUUCCUCUUAGUGUAUUUGUUGGCUAUUAUCAGACUAUGUUAGUCUUGUUUUAUUUUGAGCAGUUGCAGUAUUUUGCUUAUGACUUAGUGGCACCCGAGGUCGAGCUUGUAAUCUUUUGCUUCGUUUGAUUUUUACUUUAUAUCUUUCAUUGGAUUUCAGUUGAAACAUGGUUUUACUUAUGUUUUAAAUGAAAUAUGGAUUUUUUGGAAAUGAGUUGGCUGGCCUAGUUUCACGAUAGGCUCCAUCACGACCGGGUCAGUUUUGGGGUCAUGAAACAUCAUUAUCAGAAGAGACCAAUGUUUUAGCUUCACCUUCAAGCUUUUUUGCAUUUUUGAUCUCGGUAACGAGAUCAAAGCCACGAGCAUGGAUCUCCUCGAGAGUUUCCCUUCGAGACUGGCACUUGGCAAGUUCGGCGACCCAGUAUGCUCGAGUCUGAGUAGUAUCAGCAAAUUCCUUUGCUCGAACUUGAGCGGCUUUGGCGUCGGAUCAGUAGACGGCCACGAUUGCCUUAGCAUUGGCCGUAGAUGUUUCAACUUCGGAUUUCGCCACUACAAGUUCCGUGACCAGUCGGGCAUGGAGCUUCUCAAUUUUCUUUGCUUGUGCCAAGUUUUUUAUCUUUCAUACCUUGGGACUGGCUUUCAGUCGAGGAUAACUGAGCUCAAACAAUCUCUUUCUUUGAGGAAAGACGGUACAUAUUUUUCUUCCAUGCUAUGGUUUCCGCCUUCACCACAUCUACCUCUCCAUGGAGUUACCUAAUCAUUUCGUGUAGUUGCUGGACUUAUGAGAUUGAAUUGUUAGCCACUAGUCCCAAACUGAGGCGGUGAGCUUCUAAGACUUUAUUUACCUGCUCGGUCAGUUCACUCUGUUCUUUCUGAGUCAUAGCCAGUUCAACUCAGAGGACCUUGAUUUCUUCUUCUUCUUGCCCACUGGAAAGUUUAAAGGCAUUCUUCUCAUCGGUAAUCCCCUGGAUAUCAGCCUUAUAAAGGCCUAGUUCCCCUCAGAAUCGGAGGAAAGCUUCGUGAUGAAGUACUGAAGCCUGUAAGCAUAGAAGGGAAAAAUUAUACUAAGGGAGAAAAACCCAAGUACAAAAAUGGAUAGAAGAAUCAGAGAUUACCCAGUUUAAAGCUUGUUGGGCUUCAUUGAAAGGACAAGGUGCUCCUACCAUGUUCAUCUAAGCUCUAUCCUCCUCUGUGACCAAACCUUGGAGGUAGCUGGAAACCCCUAUUGGGGAACCAAGAACACAAGCAUCUUCCGGGACCGAGAUCACGAUAAUUCGUUUUCGUGCAGGAUCAAUAGUGGGAGCCAGAAAUUGAUCAGUCAGAUUGAAACUCAAGGAAUCCUCACCCGAUCUUUUUCUCGAAACCUCAAAAAACCAGUGACGUCUUCUAUCCCGGUAAAUAAACCAUGGAAGAGAUCUUCCUCUCUAUGAGUUUCUUCCCCAUGACAAGUUUCCACGUCUUGAGGGUCGUGUAUUAAAGAAUCGGAGACUGAAGAAAACAAGGAGGAAUCCCAAUCUCUAUUGCCCCCGAGGAUAUCUUGAGGAUCUACCUCCAUCUUGGGGAGCCUCGAGCUCAUUCCUCCUACGGGACCACCUUUGAUUCCUUUCGGCUCGAGGACUUGGUUCGAAGUCUCCUUCCCGACAUCAUCAAGCCCAGGCCGAUUAGCAUCAAUCUCCACUUGUUCCAAAGCUUUUCGAGCCCCGGUGCUAGUUCAUGCAUGGGCUAUCAACCCAGAAUCAUCUUCAUCUUCUUCUUCUUGCUCACCCUCUUCGGGCUCCUCUCGUAGCCUGAGGACUGAGUCCAUAGUCAAAGGGAUGACAUUCCCCCUACGGGACUGCCUCUAUUUGGGCUUUUUCUCGUCCAACAUCGUGGAUAUCAAAAUCUCCUUCCUUUUCCGCUCUUUUUUCUGUUUUCGAACAGACGGCUGCGGAAGAUUUUCUUCAUCACCUGAUGGGGGCCUAAUCGGCACAUCCUUCAAGAUACUUGCAAAAGAAAGACAAGUAAAAUCGAUAGAAAAUACGGAUAAUGAUAAUAGUUGUAGAGACAAGCAAAAACUUACUGUGGUUUCGGGAAUCCCAUCGACCCUUCGACAACUCACGCCAUGCGUGUUCAACAUGUUUCGAUGUCAAUACUAGGAUCCUGAACCAGUUCUCAAGAUGGGGAGUUGCACACGGCAUCCAGGCAACGACUGCACCAAAUGAAACGCCAGUAAGGAAGGAAGAAAAAACGAAGAUAAUAAGCAGGAGUUAAAAAAUAGAAUUAUACUCGUGUUUCAUGUUCCAUUUCUCUAGAAAUGGCAUGCUUUUGGUCUGGAACAGGUCCGAGAUCUUUACUCGAACAAAUCGUCCCACCCAAUCAUGGUCCUUGUCCUUAUCCAUGCUUGUGAAAACAGACUUAGAGGACCAACGUUGAAGCUUUAUGAGCCUCCCUCGAUAAAAUCGGGGCUGUAUAAGCGUAUGAGAUGAUCGAUGGUAAAGGGAAGCCCGUCGACCUGACCCACAAAGAAGCGGAGCAGUAUUACUAUCCUCCAAAAAGAAGGAUGAAUUUGGCCGAGGGUGACCUCGUACUUCUUGUAGAAGUCCACGAUAAUUAGAUCUAGAGGACCCAUUGUGAAAGGGUAGGUCUAAACACACAGAAACCCCUUCACAUGCGUAGUGAUUGACUCUUCGGGCUCGGGCACCACCACGUUUUUGUCUAUCCAGUUGCAAUCCUUUUUAACUUGCUUUAAAAGGCCAUUGGUGAUUGUGCAUAUGUACCUUGACAUUGGUUCACAUCGGCCAGGAAUUGAGGAGGUCUUUUCAACUUUGAAAUCGGUGUCAAGGACACACAACAUAGGAAAGAAUUCUUCAUGGAGUGGCUCCGCCGUUGGUUGCUCACCGGCCGUCUUAGACGAAGAAGCUUUUUCUUUCUACGGCACAAAUUUUGACGUUUUCGCCAUUUUUUGUUUGAGUUUGAAGAAAGAAGAAGAAAAUAAGACUUGGUGUUUUGAGAAGGUUGACAACAAAAUCGGAAGAUUUUGCAGAACGGAAAAACUUGAAAGAUGUAAAAAGCGUUGGAGAUUAGAAGAAAUUGAAAGUAAAGUUUGAAUCAAUGAGAAAAAGGUCUAUUUAUGGAUUUCAUGGUAACGAUUAAAAACCACUAGUGGCCGACCAUCAACUGGCACACAUUUAAUGCCUUGGGAACUGCACCUAUGGGAUAUUUCAAUCACAUCUACCGCUUACGUUAUGGGAAUGACGUCAUCAUAGGUCAAGGAUCGAAGGCUCAAUUCGUUUCUUGUCGUUACACUCUAAAAACGAGGGGACUAUCUGUAUACGUAUAAAAUCGGGCCCACCCAAUUUUAGUAAUUUAUCAAGACCAGUGUGAGGAUCGAAGAUCGAUACCGUAAUAGAUCGGACUGAGGCACGAGGACAAAGUACCGAGUUCGAGAUUCGGGGUAUCUAUCAAGAUCGAGGCCGGUGGUGAUUGAGAUCAAAUGAGAUAGACAUCGAGCGAGACCGACGGUAGCAUAAUAAUAUAAAGGCGAGAUAUUCGUGACUGCUCGAAGAUCAUGGCGGAAAUCUCGGAACGGAUCAAAUCAAGGACAGUUAAUUAGAUAAUCGUAGGAUUUCCUUCUAUAAUUAGAAUUAUACCAUACUUACAAUUCAUCUACUAUAUAAAUAGGAGUUCCAAUCAUUUGUAAGACACUUGGUUCACAGAUAUCGAAGCAAUAUAACACUUUCUCUUUCGUUUAUAUUCUCGUUCAUCAGCUAGUUAAAUUAUUAACUGUUCUUGCACCAAUUAGUUCGAGGGUAUUCAAGCUCGAGGGCUGAAUUUCAGUCAAACACUGAUUUGGUUAUCUUAUUGUUAAUUUCUAUUACUAAUCUUCAUAUUCAUCAAUUGGUAUUAGGUGAAAUCAUGUAUCCUUAAAACCACAUUAUAAAUUUAAUUGUUAUUCAAUUUUUAGGAUAAACACUACUUUUUCUCCUUUUGUCCAUUUGUUUUUUGUUAACCCAUAGCAUACAGUAACAGGUACGAAAGAGAUAUACUUCAUGUGCAAGUCGUUCAAAGAGAAAAAGUUGUGAUAUAUGAAAACAUACUUAGAAAUAGAAUUAUUACGGGAAAUCACUUCGUUUAAUAUUUCUCCCCUUUUAUCCUUGAUUGAUUUUACAAUUAUAUCCCUAAAUUCUAUAAAUAUUUUAAGGUGUAAAAGUCGAUCAACGUUUUACGGAUAUUUUUAUCAUUCAACAUUUAAUCUAAAAUAUUUGUGCUUUUAUAAAAUAUAUACUAAUUUUAAUAAAUGUACGUUGCACGUCGUAUAAUAAUUCUUAAGGGUUUAGUCAAUUAUAUAUAUGAAGGAGCAACAAAGUUAAUUUAUGAGAAUAUAUAUACACACACAUAAUAAUAUACUUUUGUUAAGCCUCAAUAAUUCAUGUUUAUCGAAGUAAUUUCUCAAGAUUUAAGAUACAUUAAUAACGGAGAACAAAAUAAAAGUUUUUUUUUGUGUGUUGUGGAACUUUAAGAGUGGUCGGUCUUGACGCUUUGUACCUUAAUCAGACUGUAAUCGCUUUCAAGGCAAUGGCUUGCUAUAACGGCGCGUUUAAUACGAUAAGUUAUUUCUAAUUUCCUUGAUUCUUGGUUAAUAUUGUCAGUUAUUUUUCAACAUACACAAAAUAGUAAAACUUAUCUUGACAUAUUAUGUCAUUCAAAACCCAAGCACAAUUAAUAAGCUUCUAACCAUAAAAUAUAUAAUAUUCUGUACAAAAUAUUAAACUAAAGUGUAUAAAAGGAUUUACACUCUUAAACGCAGAAUAUGAUUUGAAUAAAAUCCGGAGGAUAGAGUCAAAUCAAAAGUUGUAUACUAAUAAAUUCAAGCAAUGAUCUCACCUUUCAAACCUUCUCGGAAUGUGGUGCCAGGAUUACAACACCGAAGGUUUCACCCUUCGACAUUUAGGGUUAAGAUUAUCGAAUUGAAACUUUAAUUGCACUUAUUCAAUUAGUCUUUACAAUCGGUGAACGAAAGAAAUACCGCUUUAUGGUCUACAAAUUAAUAUACCAUUCUUAAACAUAAUAUAAAGUACCAAAUUUUAUCCAAGUCUCAUACAACAAGAACAAAAAAUAGAAUAUUAUCAAAAUAACACAAUUUAAAAAGUGAGAGUAAAUUUUUUACCAUUAUGCUGAUCGAGCACCCCUUACCAUAAUGCUAUCUUCGACAUUGGCGUAGGUAGUGUGAUAACAAUGGGUUCAAUUGAAUCGACGCAAACUAAAAAAUUUAUAUAUAAAAAUUCGUUAAAAUUGCAAAAAUAAUAUAUAUGAAUCCAUAACUUUAAAAAUAUAAUGGGCUCAAUACUAAAAUGUCACGACCCUAAACACGGACCCGAUCGUGAUGACGUCUCUCGUGACGACAAGGCCAGCUGACACAUACCCAAUUCAUUUUAAGUAGUUAAAAUAAUACAAAAUAAAGUCGUUAACAUAAUAAUAAUAAUACCAAAGUAAAAGAGAAUAAGACAAUUUAUGGAAUAGACAUAGCCUGACAUCGGGGUGUUACCAGUCAUGAGCAUCUAUCAUAAACUACAAGUCUGAAAGAGUCUACACAAACGAUUACAUAACUAGGACAAGGGAAAUAAAUAAUGAUAAGAGGGAGAGACACUGGACUGCGAACGCCGAGCAGCUACCUAGUGUACUCUAAAGUCUGCUGGAAGCUCUCAACCCUCGCAAGCAGGACCUGAAGCGCGUGAAUCUGUACACGGGGUGCAGGGAGUAAAGUGAGUACUCAAAUUCAGUGAGUAAUAAUAAUAAAUGAAGACUGAGCGAUAAGAAAUUACGUAAAAGCACAUCAACAUGCUAUAAAAGAAGCAAUAUAAAACCAGUAAAAGCAAUGAAAUAGUGAAAACAUAUAAAGACACCUUAGUUUAGAAGAAGCUUCUUUAAAACACCUUUUAACAGUUAAACAAUUAAACGAAAAGCAGUUAGAAUAGAUAAACACAUAAAAUCUGCCCUCGGGCACAAUGUCAACAGACCCUCGGGCAAUAUCAUGGAACAACACCAGCCCCUCAGGCUAUAUCUUAUAUCACAAUGGUACCCGCACUCACUAGGGGUGUACAGACUACGGGAGGGGCCCCUUACGGCCCAAGCGCAAUAUCAAGCUAUCUCAUGGCAUAAUCAGUAGGCUCUCGGCCUCAUAUCAAUAAGCCACCUCGUGGCGUACAAUCUCAGGCCCUCGGCCUCAUAAUCAUAAAUCAGUGUAUCCUCACAACACAGGCCCUCAGCCUUACUCAGUCAAAAUCUCAUAAGCCACCCGGGCAACAGUAAUAUAUGAAUGCUCAGCUCAAAUUAUCAUUUAGAAUAUCAUUUAAUGUGUUAAAAUAGAGUAAACAUGGUUGAGUUAUAAAAACAGUAGAAUAUAGCAUGACUGAGUACAAGUAUAAAGUCAAAACAAUGAGAAAAUAUCAGUAAAAAUCCCUUAAGGGUCCAAAUAGUUGGUACGGGGCACAAAUAUGGCAUUCAACCCAAAAUAUGGUGAUAGCAAAUAGUUUUCAAUCAAAUACGUGGUAAAACAGUCAUUCAGGAUACACUAAGUCACAAUCCCUAACGGUGCACGAUCCUAAGCUCGACAUCUAGCGUGUGCGUCACCUCAAUAUAGCACAACGAUGUGAAAUCUGGGGUUUCAUACCCUCAGGACAGCAUUUACAAUCAUUACUCACCUCAAUCCGGUCCAAACUCUAGCUCGCGGCGCCUUUGCCCCUCAAAUCAGCCUCUACUCGCGUCGAAUCUAUCCAAAAUCAGAAUCACGAGGUCAAAAUAUGCUAAGGGAAUGAAGCCCAUGAGAAAAUAAUCAAUUUACAGCAUAAAUCCCGAAAUUAACCAAAACCCGACCCCUGGGCCCACGUCUCGAAUUUCGAUAAAUUUUACAUCAAUAGAUUCCUUAUCUCCCCCACGAGUUCAUACAUAUCAAAAAGGCCCAAAUCCCGACCAUAAAUGGCCCCUCAAAUCCUCAAGUUAAGGUCUCCAAUACCAGCCCUAGUUUCCCCAAUUUUAACCCUUAAUUUUCAUAAUUACAGCUCUAAUCCGUAAAAUAAUACCAUAGAAAUGAGUUUUAGGUUCAACAAUCUUACCUCAAUGAAGCUCCCUUGAAUUGCCUCUUCAAAAUCUCCCAGAAAGCUCCAAAACCGACAUAGAAAUGGUGGAAUAACCCAAAAAUUCGCGAAGGAAAUAAUUUUUACCUUCUGGCCCAGGCUUUUCGCACCUGCGGCCCUUUUACCGCUUCUGCGGUCUAGACUACCGCACCUGCGGUUUCCACUUACUUGACCACUUCCGCAUCUGCGGUUAAAAUAUCGCACCUAUGCCACCGCAGAUGCGCCCUCUUGAUCGCUUAUGCAGUUCCAGCAAACCUUCCACUUGGCCGCAUCUGUGGCUCCUUUUUCGCUUCUGCGAGACCGCACCUGCGGUUCCCUAGCUGUAAGUGUGGUUAUGACAGCAAUGGAACAUCUUCAGCUGCCAAAACCAACUUCCAAACUUUCGCCAACCAUCUGAAAUCACCCCGAGGCCCCCAGAACCUCAACGAAAAGCACCAACACAUCAUAUACCACUACCCAAACUUGUACCAAUCUUCAAAAUAUCUCAAACAACAUCGAAUCAAACAAAUCACAUCGAAAUCAAGCCUAAGAUUUCAAUAUCUUCCGAAUUUCGCUUUUGAUCAAAAAGUCUACCAAGCUACGUCUAAAUGACCUGAAAUUUUUCACACACAUCCUAAAUGACACAACGGAACUACUGCAACUCCUGGAAUUCCAUUCCGACUCCUAUAUCAAAAUCUCACCUAUCAACCGAAAAACACCAAAAUUCCAAUUUCACCAAUUCAAGCCCAAAUCUACUCUGGACCUCCAAAACGCUUUCCGAUCACGCUCCUAAGUCUCAAAUCACCUCCUGAAGCUAUCCGAACCAUUGGAAUUCACAUCCGAACCCCCUAACAUAUAAGUCAAUAUCAAGUUGACUUUUCCAACUUAUGCUUCCUCAAAAGAGACUAGGUGUCUCAAACCUUACCAAAACCUUUCCGAACCCGAGCCAACCAACCCGAUCACACAUAGAACCGACAAACAAAGCAAUAAGAAGCAGUAAUGGGGGAAAUAGAGUGGUAACUCAUGAAAUGACCGGCCGGGUCAUUACAUCCUCCCCCUCUUAAAUCCUCGAACGAGUCGAGAAACAUACCUAAAGCCUCAAACAGGUGAGGUUAUCUAAUCCGCAUCUCCCGCUUGGUCUCCCAGGUAGCCUCCUCUACGGGCUGACCUCUCCACUUCACUUUCACUGAAGAUAUAUCCUUUGAUCUAAACUUUCAAACCUGUCGCUCCAAAAUAGUUAUUGGAUCCACAUCAUAAGUCAAAAUCACCAUCUAACUGCAUCGUGCUGAAAUCCAGAACAUGAACGAUCCCCAAUAUACUUCUGGAGCAUAGAAACAUGAAAUACCGGAUGCACACUCGACAAGCUGGGUGUCAAAGCAAGCUCAUAAGCCACCUCCCCAAUCCUCCGAAGCACCUCAAAAGGCCCAACUAACCGAGGACUCAAUUUACCCAUCUUCCAAAAUCUCAUAACACCCUUCAUGGGCGAAACCUUCAACAGAACCUUCUCACAAACCAUGUAGGACACAUCUCGAACCUUCUUAUCAGCAUAACUCUUUUGUCUCGACUAUGCUGUAAGAAGCCGCUCCUGAAUUACCUUCACCUUUUCCAAAGCAUCCUACACCAAGUCUGUCCCCAAUAGCCUAGCCUCACACAGCUCAAACCAACCAACUAGAGAUCUACACCGCCUCCCAUACAAAGCCUCAUAUGGACCCAUCUGAAUACUCGACUGGUAGCUGUUGUUAUAAGCAAACUCUGCAAGCGGUAUAAAUUGAUCCCAUGACCCUCCGAAAUCAAUGACACAAGCACGCAACAUGUCCUCCAGUAUUUGAAUAGUGCGCUCGGACUGCCCGUCCAUCUGAGGGUGAAAAGUUGUGCUCAACUCAACCUCAGUACCCAACUCUCGCUGCAUAGACCUCCAAAACUGCAAAGUGAACUGAGUGCCCCUAUCUGAAAUGAUGGAAACUGGGACACCACGCAAGCGAACAAUCUCCCGGAUAUAGAUCUCUGCCAACCACUCUGAAGAAUAGGUAGUACACAUAGGAAUGAAGUGCACAGACUUGGUUAGCCGAUCCACAAUCACCCAAAUAUCAUCGAAUUUCCUUAAAGUCCGUGGGAGCCCAACUACAAAGUCCAUGGUGAUUCGCUCCCACUUCCACUCUGGAAUAUCCAUCUGCUGAAGCAAGCCACCCAGUCUCUAAUGCUCGUAUUUCACCUGCUGACAGUUGAGACACCGAGCUACAAAUCCCACAAUGUCCUUCUUUAUUCUCCUCCACCAAUAAUGUUGUCUCAAAUCCUGAUACAUCUUUGCGGCACCCAGAUUAAUGGAAUACUGCGAGCUAUGGGCCUUCUCCAGAAUCAACUCCCGAAGCCCAUUUAUAUUGGGCACACAUAUCCGUCCCUACAUCCUCAACACCCUAUCAUCACCAAUAGUCACAUCUAUGGCAUUAUCAUGCUGAACUCUAUCCUUAAGGACAAGCAAAUGCGGGUCAUCAUACUGGCGCUCUCUGAUGCGAUCAUAUAAGGAAGACCAAGAAAUCACACAAGCCAAAACAUGACUGGGCUCCAAAAUAUCCAACCUCACAAACCAAUUGGCCAGGGACUGAACAUCAAAUGCAAGAGGUCUUUCCCCGACUGGAAUACAUGACAAAAUCCCCAUACUCACCGCCUUUUGGCUCAAAGCAUCGGCCACCACAUUGGCCUUCCCCGGAUGGUACAAUAUAGUAAUAUCAUAAAUCUUUAGCAACUCCAACCAUCUCCGNNNNNNNNNNNNNNNNNNNNNNNNNNNNNNNNNNNNNNNNNNNNNNNNNNNNNNNNNNNNNNNNNNNNNNNNNNNNNNNNNNNNNNNNNNNNNNNNNNNNNNNNNNNNNNNNNNNNNNNNNNNNNNNNNNNNNNNNNNNNNNNNNNNNNNNNNNNNNNNNNNNNNNNNNNNNNNNNNNNNNNNNNNNNNNNNNNNNNNNNNNNNNNNNNNNNNNNNNNNNNNNNNNNNNNNNNNNNNNNNNNNNNNNNNNNNNNNNNNNNNNNNNNNNNNNNNNNNNNNNNNNNNNNNNNNNNNNNNNNNNNNNNNNNNNNNNNNNNNNNNNNNNNNNNNNNNNNNNNNNNNNNNNNNNNNNNNNNNNNNNNNNNNNNNNNCACCCAAUACCAACUCUCGAAGUAUCACAAUACACGAUAUAUGAACCUGAAGCUGAUGGCAAAACUAACACUAGAGUUGUGGUUAAAGAAAUCUUGAUCUUCUGAAAGCUUUCCUCACACUCAUCCAACCAUACAAAUGAAGCACCCUUCUGAGUCAACUUGGUUAAGAGUGAUGCGAUAGAUGAAAAUCCCUGAACAAACCGGCGAUAAUAGCCUACCAAACCAAGAAAGCUGCGAAUUCUAUGGUUGAGAACGGUCUGGGACAACUCUGAACCACCUCUAUCUUCUUCGGAUCAACCUGAAUACCCUCACUGGACACCACGUGCCCUAAGAAAGCCACUGAACUGAGCCAAAACUCACACUUAGAUAAUUUUGCAUAAAGCUUCUCCUCCCUCAAUCUCUGCAACACAACUCUCAAAUGCUCCGCGUGCUCCUUCUGACUACGCGAGUACACUAGAAUAUCAUUAAGAAAACUAUGACAAAUGAGUCGAGAUAAGGCCGAAACACGCUGUUCAUCAAAUGCAUGAACGCUGUUGGGGCAUUGGUCAGCCCAAAAGACAUCACCAAGAACACAUAAUCACCAUAUCUGGUCCUGAAGGCUAUCUUAAGAAUAUCCGAGUCCCUGAUCUUCAACUGGUAAUAACCUGAAUGGAGAUCAAUCUUGCAGAACACUCUCGCUCCCUGAAGUUGGUCGAGUAAAUCAAUAAUGCGAGGCAAAGGAUACUUGUUCUUAACUAUUACUUUGUUCAACUGCCUAUAAUCAAUGCACAUCCUCAUAGUGCCAUCCUUCUUCUACACAAAUAGAACCGGCAUACCCUAAGGUGACACACUAGGCCAAAUGAACCUCUUAUCAAGGAGUUUCUGAAGCUACUCCUUUAACUCCUUCAACUCCGUUGGUGCCAUACGAUGUGGCGGAAUAGAAAUGGGCUGAGUGCCCGGCACUAGGUCAAUACCAAAAUCAAUAUCGUUGUCCGGUGGCAUGACCGACAGGUCUGUAGGAAACACAUAGGGAAAAUCCCUCACAACUGGAACAGAAUCAAUACUAGGAGUCUCUGCACCGACAUCCCUCAAAAAGGCCAGAUAUGAAAAACAACCCUUUCCAACCAUACGUUGGGCCUUCAAGAAUGAAAUUACCCUACUAGGAACAUAAUUAGUCAAACCUCGCCACUCAAUUCGUGGCACACCCGGUAUAGCUAAUGUGACUGUCUUAGCAUGACAGUCCAGAAUAGCAUGACAUGGAGAUAGCCAAUCCAUGCCCAAAAUGACAUCGAAAUCCACCAUACAUAACAACAAAAAAUCCACUUGGGUCUCCAAAACCCCAAUAGUCACCAUAUAUGACUGGUACACACGGUCUACAACAAUAGUGUCGCCCAUUGGAGUAGAUACAUGAAUAGAUGAAACAAAAGACUCACGGGGCUUAUCCAAAUAACAAGCAAAGUAUGAUGACACAUAAGAAUAAGUGGAACCGGGAUCAAAUAAUACAGAGGCAUCUUUAUGGAAGACAGAAACAUUACCUGUAAUAACAACAUCGGAAGCAAUAACAUUAGGUCUAGCUGGAAGUGCAUAGAAACGGGUCUGACCGCCACCUGAUCGACCUCCCCCUCUAAGGCGACCCCUAAAUGAUCUGACCUUCACUGCUAGCUGGCUGGGCGGGUGGUGGUGAAGUAACUGGUGCUGAAGCCGAUGACUGACUCCUUUGCUGAGAUGAACCUGCAAGACGAUGAGGACACUACCUCCACAUAUGACCCAUCUCUCCACACUCAUAGCAACUCCCGGGUGCUGGAGAUGAGGAGUGAAGGGAACCCCUAGCACCAGAAUGACUAGCAAAUGCACCUGGCAUAGAAGAGCCCUAAACUAAUAGAGCACGGGACGAACUCUGAGCUGGAAAGGCACUAAGUGAUGACUGGCCCUGAUGAGAACUGGGAGAACCAUGACUUGAUGACGCCCCACGAUAACCUAGGCGAGCUGGCUGAGCAUGCCUGAAUGAACGGCCUCUACUGUGCUGAAACUGACCUCUCGAAGGAGCACCACCAUAACUACCAGAUCCUCGAGGCCUCUCGGCCUCCCUCUCAUCUCGCUCCUGGCGAUGAACUGACUCAAUCUCACGAGCAAUGUAUACAACCUCCUCAAAAGUAGCACUAGACACACUCUCCCUGGUCAUGAGAAUAUGAAGCUGAUAAGUGAGGCCAUCCACAAACCCCCUAAUUCUCUCUCUAUCUAUCGGAACCAACCAAAUAGCAUGAUGAGCUAACUCGGAGAACCUCAUCUCAUACUGCGUCAGUCAUCUCUCCCUGAUGCAACCUCUCAAACUACAUGCGCAGCUCCUCUAUGCGAGACUACGACACAUACUACUCCAGAAAGAGAAUGGAGAACUACUGCAAGGUAAGGGGUGCUGGACCAAUAGGCCUACGCCUCUCAAAAGCCUCCCACCAAGUAAAGGCAACUCCAAAAAACUAAAAAGUAGUGAAAGCGACCCCACUGGUCUCUAGAAUACCCGCUGUGCGAAGAAUCCGCUAACACUUGUCCAAGAAACCCUGGGCAUCCUCGCCCUCUGCACCACUGAAAGUCCGAGGAUAAAUUCUACCAAACCUCUUCAACCUACGUUGCUCGUCCUCUGGCAUGGUAGGAGCUACAUAGUCUUGAGUAGCUGCAACCGGCUGGGCUGGAUGUACCCCUGGUGUUUGAAGUCCCUAUACGACCUGCUCAGGUGUGCGAGUGGCGGGAGUUAGAGUUCCUCCCCCGGCCUGAGAAGUAGCUGCGGCUGUAGUAACUGAGACUGCCUGAGCUAGGCCAGUGCAUACUGAUAGAAUUUGAGCCAACGCUUCCUGAAGACUCGGAAUCACAAUGGGCAUAGUUGGUGCCUGAGCUGGUGUUGCUGGAGCGUCCACAACUGGGACCUGAUCUUAAACUGGGGCGAUUGGGGGAUUUGAAGGAGCUUCCCUAGUUGCUGUGCGGGCCACAACCCUACCCCUAUCGCGACCACGACCGCGUCCUCGGCCUCUAGUGGCCACAGCUGGUGGUACUGGUGGUCGUCUAUCCUGAUCGCUAGCGUGUGUCCUCACCAUCGCUGAAAGAAUAGAAUAAUAGAAGUUUAGUACUCGGAUCAAAAGAUUCGUACGACAAGAAUUUCAAGAAUAUGAAGUUUUUCCUAAAGGUUCUGCAGCCUCUCGAGGAUAAAUACAGACGUCUCUAUACCGAUUUGCGAGACUCUACUAAACUUGCUCAUGACUCCUGAGACAUAUGUAAUCUAGGCUCUGAUUCCAACUUGUCACGACCCUAAACCUGGACCCGGUCGUGAUAGAGCCUCUCGUGAAGACAAGGCCAGCCGACACACACCCAAUUUAUUUUAAGCAGUUAAAAUAAUACAUAAUUAAGUCCUUACAUAAUAAUAAUAAUACCAAAGUAAAGGUGAAUAAGACAAUUUGCGGAAUAGACAUAGCCCGACAUCGAGGUAUCACCAGUCAUGAGCAUCUAUCAUAAACUACAAGUCUGAAAGAAUCUACACAAACUAUUACAUAACUAGGACAAGGGAAAGAAAUAAUGAACGAGGGAGAGCCAUUGGGCUGCGAACGCCGAGCAGCUACCUAGUGAACUCCGAAGUCUAUUGGAAGCUCUCAACCCUCGCAAGCAGGACCUGAAGCACAUCAAUCUGCACACGGGGUGUAGGGAGUAAAGUGAAUACUCCAAAUCAGUGAGUAAUAAUAAUAAAUGACGACUGAGCGAUAAGAAAUCACGUAAAAGCACAUCGACAUGCUAUAAAGAAGUAGUAUAAAACCAUUAAAAGCAAUGAAACAGUGAAAAUAUAUAGACACUUCAGUUUAGAAGAAGCUUCUUUAAAACACCUUUUUAACAGUUAAAACAAUUAAAUGAAAAACAGCUAGAACAAAUAAACACAUAAAAUCCGCCCCUCGGGCACAAUGUUAAUAGAAUCCGCCUCUUGGGCAAUAUCAUGGAAUAACACAAGCUCCUUGGGCUAUAUCUCAUAUCACAAUGGGUACCUGCGCUCACUAGGGGCGUACAGACUCCGGGAGGGGCCCCUUACAGCCCAAGCACAAUAUCAAGCCAUCUCGUGGCAUAAUUAGUAGGCUCUCGGCGUCAUAUCAACAAGCCACCUCGUGGCAUACAAUCUCAGGCCCUCAGCCUCAUAAUCAUAAAUCAGUGUAUCCUCACAACACAGGCUCUCGCCCUUACUCAGUCAGAAUCUCAUAAGCCACUCGGAAAACAGUAAGACAUGAAUGCUCAACUCAAAUUAUCAUUUAGAAUAUCAUUUAAUGUGUUAAAACAGAGUAAACAUGGCUGAGUUAUGAAAACAGUAGAAUAUAGGCUGACUGAGUACAAAUAUAAGUCAAAACAGUGAGAAAAUAUCAGUAAAAAUCCUCCAAGGGUCCAAAUAGUAGGCACGAGGCCCAAAUAUGGCAUUCUGCCCAAAACAUGAUGAUAGCAAAUAGUUUUCAAUCAAAUAUGCAGUAAAAUAAUCAUUCGGGAUGCACUAAAUCACAAUCCCUAACGGUGCACGACCCCACGCUCAUCAUCUAGCGUGUGUGUCACCUCAAUAUAGCACAACGAUGUGAAAUUCGGGGUUUUAUACCCUUAGAACAACAUUUACAAUCAUUACUCACCUCAAUCCGGUCCAAACUCUAGCCCGCGACGCCUUUGCCCCUCGAAUCGGCCUCCACUCGCGUCAAAUUUAUCCAAAAUCAGAAUCACGAUGUCAAAAUAUGCUAAGGGAAUGAAGCCCAUACAAAAAUAAUUAAUUUACAGCAUAAAUCCCGAAAUUAACCAAAACCCGACCCCCCGGGCCCACAUCUCCGAAUUCGAUAAAAUUUACAUCAAUAGAUUCCUUAUCUCCCCACGAGUUCAUACGUAUCAAAAAGGCCCAAAAUCUAACCACAAGUGGCCCCUCAAAUCCUCAAGUUAAGGUCUCCAACACCAAGCCAUAGUAUCCCCAAUUUUAACCCUUAAUUUCCAUACUUACAACUCUAAUAUUUAAAAUAAUACCAUAGAAACGAGUUUUAGAUUCAACAAUCUUACCUCAACGAAGCUCCCUUGAAUUCUCUCUUUAAAAGCUCCCAAAAAGCUCCAAAACCGACUUAGAAGUGGUGGAAUAACCCAAAAAUUCGCGAAAGAAAAUAAUUUAUACCUUCUGGCCCAGGCUUUUCGCACCUGCGGCCCUUUUACUGCUUCUGCGGUCUAGACCACCGCACUUGCGGUUUCCAUUUACUUGACCACUUCCGCAUCUGCGGUUAAAAAAUCGCACCUGCGCCACCGCAGGUGCGCCCUUUCGAUCGCUUAUGCGGUUACAAAAAACAUUCCACUUGGCUGCAUUUGCGGCUCCCUUUUCGCUUCUGCGAGACCGCACCUGUGGUCCCCUAGCCGCAGGUGCGGUUAUGACAGCAAUGGAACAUCUUCAACUGCCAAAACCAACUUUCAAACUUUCCGCCAACCAUUCGAAAUCACCCCGGAACCCCCGGGACCUCAACCAAAAGCACCAACAUAUCAUAUACCACUAUCCAAACUUGUGCUAAUCUUCAAAACAUCUCAAACAACAUCGAAUCAACCAAAUCAUAUCGAAAUCAAGCCUAAGAUUCCAAAAUCUUCCGAAUUUUGCUUUUGAUCAAAAAGUCUACCAAACCACGUCCGAAUGACCUGAUAUUUUGCACACACAUACCAAAUGGCACAACGGAACUACUGCAGCUCCUGCAAUUCCAUUCUGACUCUUAUAUCAAAAUCUCACCUAUCAACCGGAAAAUGCUAAAAUUUAAAUUUCGCCAAUUCAAGCCUAAANNNNNNNNNNNNNNNNNNNNNNNNNNNNNNNNNNNNNNNNNNNNNNNNNNNNNNNNNNNNNNNNNNNNNNNNNNNNNNNNNNNNNNNNNNNNNNNNNNNNNNNNNNNNNNNNNNNNNNNNNNNNNNNNNNNNNNNNNNNNNNNNNNNNNNNNNNNNNNNNNNNNNNNNNNNNNNNNNNNNNNNNNNNNNNNNNNNNNNNNNNNNNNNNNNNNNNNNNNNNNNNNNNNNNNNNNNNNNNNNNNNNNNNNNNNNNNNNNNNNNNNNNNNNNNNNNNAAUCACCUCCCGAAGCUAUCCGAACCAGCAGAACUCACAUCCAAACCCCCUAACACAUAAGUCAACAUCCGGUUGACUUUUCCAACUUCAACUUCUUCAAAAGAGACUAAGUGUCUCAAACCUUACCAAAACCUUUCUGAACCCGAGCCAACCAACCCGAUCACACAUAGAACCGAUAAACAAAACAAUAAGAAGCAGAAAUGGGUGAAACAGAGCAGUAACUCACGAAACGACCGGCCGGAUCGUUACAUAAAAAAAAUUAAAAGUUGAACCCACAAAGCUAAAGUUCUAGAUCCGCCUCUAAUCUUAGAGCACCUCCGACAACAUGAUGAUUCUCAUUAUCAACAUGAAACAUAAUAAAAAAUUUAAAAAAAAAUAAAAACUUGGCAAAAAAUUGCAAAAGUCAAUGGUCGUAUAAUUUGAAUUACUGAAAAAACUUAUAAUUUAUUUAAUAAAAGAUUGCUCAGUCUAAAUACCUGAGUGUAUAUAUAUUACUUUAAGAAAAGUAUAUAUAUUACUUUAUUCACUUAAAUCUAAACAUGUGCAUUUUCUAUAAAACUAUUAAUGUGGCAGAAAUCCUUCAACAUUGAGAUUAUUAGUAUCCCAAAAGGAAUCAAUCAUUUGAGUUUGAAGAAAAGUUUCAGUGGUGUCGUAGCUGCGGAAAAAAGUUGAUGUACACUUCCUUGAAAAUCUAAGUUUAUAAAAAGAUAUUUAAGCCAUGACUUUGGAAUUGAUCUUCUAUACCGGAUUUAUAUCCCCCAGUGUAGUAAAAUGAGGACUUUUCAGUCUCCUUGUAUAAAUAUAUACGGAGCGUUUAGUUUACCUAAGACUAGGACUCUACGACCAAAGACAUACUUUUAAGUUUUUGGACAUUAAUUUUGAAGACAUAAGUUAAAUAUAAUGGUAUAAAAGUCGAUUAAUAUUUCAACAAUAUUUUAGUCGUUCAAUAUUUAGCGUGAAACUAUAUAUAUAUAUAUAUAUAUAUAUAUAUAUAUAAUUUUGAAGACAUAAGGGUAUAAAAGUCGAUUAAUAUUUCACAAUAUUUUAGUCGUUCAAUAUUAGCGUUAAUAAUAGCAUAUGACGAUUUAAAUAUUUAUUUAUAUGAAGGAUCAUCUGAUUUGAUAUAUUUGCGACAGUUAUUUUAGUUAUUUGGAUUUUACUCAUAUGAUGAAUUUAAAAAAUAAUUUAAUGUAGUCCAAAAUAAAUAUUUAAAAUAAUUAACAUAGAAGUUAUUGUAGUCCAUAUAAAUUAUUACAGUUAUAUCCUUUUCCUAUGAGUUCUUCAGUUUAAUAUUUUAGGGCUAUUUUGGUCUACCAAUAUUAUAUUCGUGCUUCUAUAAUAAUAUAGGCUCUCCUGUUUUAAAAUGGAUUUGGCAAUAUAAUACGUUUUCAAAUUAAAUUAAUAAUAGAAUUUUUUUAAGAAGUAUAUCCUAAAAAUACUAGGAUUACAAGGCUAAUAUCUAUGCCCGAAAAUAAUUAUACUAAUAGGAUUCCUAAAGGUAAUCAUGUAGGAUUCCUAACGUGUAGUAUUCUGUCUUAAAACUAAGAGGAUUACAAGGCUAAUAUCUUGAAUUCCGAUUAUGUCCUUUUAUUAUGAAUUAUUAUGCAUAAUAUUAAAAGGUUAUUUUUGUAAUCCAAUACUUUAUUCAUGCUUUUAUAAUAAUAUUGUAUAUAUAUAUAUAUAUCUCAUUUCCUCAUUAUAAUUACGAAUGCGAGCUUUGUCACCCUAAAAUCGAAUAACCAUUUGAAUUUAUACGUGGUUUUAAAGAUACUUGAUAUAACUUAGUACAAAUUAAGAAGAAUAAAUUAAUAUUGAUAUUGACGAUGAAAGAAUAAAUGCAAACCACACAAAUUGAACAGACUUGGUCCUCGAGCUCAGUCACCCUUGAGUCAAAUAUGUUUCAACUGGCUUAUGAACAUAAUAACAAGAUAAUGAAAGCAGAAAAUGACAGUAUAUUGCUUUGUAUUGCGUGAAUAUGAUGAUGUUUACAAAUGAUCAGACCCCUUUAUAUAGUAGGGGAGUCCUACUCUUGUUACAAUACUAUAUAAGGUAAGAAAUCGCAUGGUUAUCUAAUUAAUUUGCCUCUUCGUGAUACAUGCCGGGAUUCUAGCUGUGAUCCUCGCCUGAUUGCGGAUAUUUCGGCUUACCGUUAUUUAUCUCGGUAAGCUUCCUUCGAUCUCGCUCGAUCUAUAUCUUGCUCGGUCUCAAUCUUGGUCGAUCUCGAUCUUGACCGGGCUCUGGGUCACGAGCUCGGCAACCUUACUUUGCAUCAUGGUUCGAUAUAACACGAGGCUGAACCUUGGCCUAUCAUGUUCUAGUCUCGAUGAGUCAUUUAAAAAGGGCAAACCCGAUUUUAACGGUAUACAUAUAGUCCUCUCGUUUCUCGGAGAGAAGAUGACGAGAAACGUAAGCGACAAACGUCAUUGACAUACUGUUGAUACAUAAUUUUGCCCUCAUAUUUUUCCAAAUAGUAUAUAUGCUUUCAAAUAUCAUUGUGCAUCAUCAUUUAGUUUACAAAAUCUAUACAAGCAUUUUCUAUACAUUUCUAUACUUUUUAAAGCUUUAAAAUGAUUUUCUUGUAUUUAAAUUACUUGAAUAUUUAUUAAUUAUUCCUUCAAAUUAUUUUGUGAUGAUUUAAUCAUCUAAACCUAUUAUUUGCAUCCAUAUACAUGUUUCAAAUGUUUUUUUACUUCAUUUAAUAUAAUUAUAUUAGUAUUUUAUGGUAUUUUCACAAUCUUGCAAUAAUGGCCUAUAUUUCGCAAUUUUUUUUUACCAAAUAUACCACUAAGUUGGAUGCCUAGUGGCUAAUAUAUAAAUAAAUUCUUAAAUGGGUCCAAAGUUUACAAGAUGUCCAAACCAAAAUAGAAGUUGCAUGAAGCUACUAGCAACUAAAAAGAUAGAAAAGCUAAAGUCUAAGGAACUAUCUAUUAUAACAUUGUCCGUUGAAUGCUUCCUUCUCCUGUCAGUGUAUGUGAAUCCAAUUACCAGUGACAAAUACCAAGCAACACCUAUCAAGCUCUCACCAGUCGCCAGCGUAUGUAGUCCAUAGGCUAAAAAUAAUUCCAAACAUCUCCACCACAGAGAAGCCAGCAGAGUCUUCCAAUCAUUAGAGUUGCUAUAAUAUGAUCUUCAUAAGUAGUGUACUGACUCUAUCCAAGUAUAAAUCAUGUUGUCGAUCAUCGAUAUUAUCAUGUAAAAGAGCCUGGCUACACCUAUCUUGAAGCUGGCUUUAAGCAGGCUUUGCAAGGCAAAAGUCAGGCUGGGGCUGGCUUUAGGCAUGCUUUGCAAGGCAAAAGCCAGGCUUGGGCUGUCUUUAAACAGGCUUUACAAGGCAAAAGCCAGGUUGGGGAUGGCUUUAGGCCGGCUUUGCAAGGAAAAAUCCAGGCCAAGGCUGGCCAUAAGCUGGCGAUGCCAGGUUAACGUCGGGUUAUCAUCAGGCUUUAGCUGGCGGCACCAGGCCUGUGGAGCCGGGUGAUUUUAUGAUCUUCUGUAAUGACCUGGACGGUCAUUUCUUGAGUUACCACUUUGUUUUCCCCACUUUUACUUCUUUAUGUGUUGUUCAGCUGUAUUUUAUCAUAUCGUGAUGGUUGUUUUGGGUUCAGGGUGGUUUUGUAGAGGAAUGAGACACUUAGUCUCUUUUGAGUAAGCUUGAGUUGGAAAAGUUAAUCGGAUGUUGGCUUAUGUGUAGAAGAUCCCGGAUGUGAAUUCUGAUGGUUUGGAUAGCUUUGCUAGGUGAUUUGGGACUUAAGAGCAUGAUCAGAGUGUAUUUUUGAGGUCUGUGGAAGAUUUUGGCUUGAAUUGGCAAAAAUGAAAUUUUGGCAUUUUCCGGUCAGCAUUGGAAAUCUUGAUAUCGCGGUCGGAAUGGAAUUUUGGAAAUUAGAGUAGGUCUGUUGUGUCAUUUUUGAUGUGUGUGCAAUAUUUUAGGUCAUUCGGAGGAGGUUUGAUAGGUUUUUGGAUCGGUUGCGAAAUUCGGAAAUUCUUAGGCUUGAAUCCGAGGGUGAUUUGAUGUUUUGAUGUUGUUUUGUGUGUUUCGAAGAUUGGAAUAAGUUUGAAUAAAGAUAUGGGAUUUGUUGGCGUGUUUGGUUGAGGUCCCGAGGGCCUCGGGAUGGAUUUGGGUGGUUGACGGAAGGUUGGAGUGGAUUUUGGAGUUGCAGAAUUUUUUUUGCUUCUAUUGUUUAUGCACCUGCGGAUUGGGGACCGCAGGUGCGAUGAUCGCAGAAGUGGGAAGAGACCACCAAUGCAACUUUUGGCAUCACAGAAGCGGAAGGCAAGUCGCACUUGCGAGCCCGCAGGUGCGGUGGUUUUAUUGCAGGUGCGGAUGGAUAUUUUAAGUGAAGUCUGCAGAUUCGGACAUUAUGUCGCAGGUGAGGGGGUGUAGGUAUGGAGGCGCAAGUGCGGUAUUUGGACCGCAGAUGUGGAACCCCUGGGCAGAACAUAUAAAUUCUAGCCUUCGCGAAAUUUGGUCAUUUUCCACCAUUUGUGUUCGGCCUUGGAGCUUUUUAGAGAGUUUUGAAGAGGGAAUCAAGGGGGUUUUUAUUGAGGUACGUUUCUUGAACCGAAAACUCAAUUCUAUGGUGAUUUUCAGUUGAUUAAGCAUGAAAUUUGUGGGAUUUAAAGGGGAAAAAUUUGAGAAAUUAGGGCUUGAAAUUGGAGAGUUUAAAUUGGUGAUUUGAGGGGCCAUUUGAGGUCCGAUUUUGAUGUUCUUGAUAUAUAUAGACUCGUGGGAGAAUAAGGAUUCUAGUGAUGUGAUUUUUAUCGGAUUCGAAGAGGUGGGUACGGGGUCGGGUUUGGCCAAUUUCAGGAUUUUUGAGUUGAUUUGAUAUUUUUGCUUGGGCUUCGUUCCUUUAGCGUGUAUUAAUGAUAUAAUACUGAUUUUGGUUAGAUUAAGAGCAUUUAGAGGCCGAUUUCAGAGACAAAGGCAUCGCAUGCUAGAGUUUGGACCGAUUUGAGAUAAGUAAUGAUUGUAAAUAUUGUCCUGAGGGUAUAAAACUACGAAUUUCAUAUCGUUGUGCUACUUUGAGGUGACACACACGCUAGAUGACGGGCGUGGGGGCGUGCAUCGUUAGGGAUUAUGACUUGGUCCGUCCUGUAUGACUAUUACGUCGCGUAUUUGAUUGAAAAAUAUUUGAUAGUAUUGUGUUUUUGGAAAGUAUUACUAUGUUUUGGGCUGAAUGCAUAUUUGGGCCUUGUGCCAACAGUUUGGACCCUUAGGGGAUUUUUACUAUUAUUCCUUACUCUUUUGACAUAAUAUCUACACUCAGUUAUGAUGUGUUUUACCGAUUUUAAAACUCAGCCAUAUUUACUCUGUUUUGAGACUUUAAAUGAUAUUUUGGGCUGAGCAUCCUGUUUUACUGUUGCCCGAGUGACUUGAGAGGUUUCUGACUGAGAGAAGUCGAGGGCUUGUGUUGUGAGGAUAUCAUGGGAUCGGGUUGUGCACCUCAGCAUAUUGUACUGAUUUGUGAUAUACGAGAGGCUGUGGGCCUGAUUUAUUAUGUCACGAGAUGGCUUGUGAUAGCGCUUGGGCUGUAAGAUCCCCUCCGGAGUCUGAACACCCCCAGUGAGCGUGGGUACCCAGUGUGAGUGAUGUGAUACUGCCCGAGGGGCUGUUAUUGAUUCAUGUUGUUGCCCGAGGGGCUAAUUACAAGUGAUUGUGAGGUGGCUCGAGGGCUGGUUCUAUUGAUAUUUUGCCCAAGAGGCGGUUUAUGGUACAGGUUUUGCCCAAGAGGCUGUUUACAUUUCUAUCAUUUUGACUCACUGUUAUUUCACUUAUUUGAAACUAUUGAAAGAUGUUUUAAAAUAAAAAGUUUUACUGAAAUUGAGUUUGUUUUACGAGAUAAUUGAGUUUUGUACUAUUUUGGAAAUGUACUUAUUUAUUGUAGUGCCAUGACAUGGAAUUAUCUAUUUUUGUACUACUCAACUUUCAUUUACUUUUGUUACUUAUUGAGUUGGCAUACUCACAUCACUCCCUUCUCAUUGUGUGCAGAUCAAGGAGUUGCGGGUCACGAUAGUGAGCAUUGAUCGUCCAUUUAGCAGGAUUUUGGAGUCGACAAGGUAGCUGCAUAACAUUCGCAGCCCUGUUCUUCUCCCUUAUAUCUUCCCUAGAUUUAUUUAGUAUUGUCUUCCAAACUUUGUUAGACUUUAUUGUACUGAGACAGAGUUAUAGUUGCUCGUGACAUGUGACACCCCGAUGUCAGGCUUGUGUAUUCAUUACGCACUGGUUAAUUAGACUUAUGUUAUUAGAUUUCUUGUUAAUUAAUGGCUUAAAAAUGACUUUUAUAGAAAUAUGGUUCGAUUUGAGAAUUGUGUCUGCUGAUCUAGUUUCACGAUAGGCGCCAUCACAGCCGGGUCGGUUUUAGGGUCGUGACAAGUUGGUAUCAGAGCCUAGGUUACAUAGGUCUCACGAGUCAUGAGAUGUUUUAGUAGUGUCCUGCGGAUCGGUAUGGAGACGUCUGUCGUGCCCCUUUUUUCCCUUUUUGAUGGGGCAGUCCAGGUUUUGACAUUCAUGGGGGAAAUAACUCGUUUCCUUUUGGGAAUUGGAUAUUUGAAGUGUCGCCACCUAACAGAUUAUGGUGCGUUAGGGCACCUAGCGCGAUUAUCUCUUAUACUAAUUUUCAUUACCAAAGAUUAGGUAAGGGCUCGAAAUAACCUUUAGGGGAAGAUGUUAGGCACCCCUCGCGGUCCACAACGGUGGGUCCCAACCGAACUUAAACUAUGUGAAUUAGUCAUUUAAAGAGAUAAACAGUUUUAACAUGUACUUGCAAGUAAGGGCAUUCUAAGCACAUAUAUGAUUCAAGUAAUGGAACAAAGGAAAAGGUUUGAACAAGUUGCACAUAUAUAAAGAAAAGUAAAUUUAUUUAAAUAACAGUAGUUGGGAAAGAGGGGUCUUAGGUUGGUUAGCCUAUAGGAUCAUACCCACACAAUUCCUGAUAAACACUCCUCAACGAGGGGCUACACGUGGCAUUAGCGCAUAAUCAUCAUAUUCCUUACUACCCAAUUCCCUCCCCUUGGUCAUAGCCUAAAACGUUCUAGCAACCUUGAAAGAUAUCCUAUGCAUGCACUAUCCGUCCCUUCCUCGUGGCCCUGGAGGUAUUUAGGGCCUCUAAUUUAGGUAGUUCUAGACCAUCCUAAGGUUUUUAAAGGAUAAAAGUCUAGGCGUCAAUCAAAAACAAUUAGGACUGCAUUUAAAGAGAACAAUUAAAGGCUCACAUUCACCUCCACAAACAUAACAAGUAUUGAAGUCUCACAUUCACCUCCACAAACAUAACAACAGUUUCAAGCAGUUAAGAGAAAACCUUAGAACAUGAUAUCUAGGUGAGCGGAGAUUAUGCAGUAUUGAAUUAGGACCAAAGUAUCAAAGAGCUGAAUCCUACUUGCCUAUUGAUUCUUUUAAACCUAUCAAGUGUGGGCAGUCUCAAAUAACAAGGCGCAGAUUUAUAGUUUGCAGAAUUUUAAUCGCCCUAUAGGCUUGCCUAGGCACAUAACAGUGAUGUCCAAUGAGCAUGAUAUCUAUAUUGUUUAGGAAUGUAAUAAAAUAGUAAAGCGAUUUUAAACGGCAAUUUGGAUCCUAUAGGCAUGAUUUCUAGCAAUGUUACUUAAAGCAGCGUUGAAGACUUGUUAAAGAAACAGAAAAACUAGCUAACUAAACCAAUUCAGAAUGUAUAAACAUGAAUUACACCGACUUUCUAACUGAACUAUUUUAAGUCUUAUGGGCACGAUUUCUAAUUAAGCUGGGCAAAACAAACAACAUUCAUUCAACCAAAGUGAAACCCCUAUAGGCAUGAUUUUUAUAUAGCAGAUUUUAACCCUAUAGGCAUGAUCUCUAUUAUUAAAACCGGUUUAGACACUAUAGGCAUGGUUUCUAACUGUGUGGAAGUAAAGCAAACAUAACAAACACAUUUGAAUCAACAUGGACCCUAUAGGCAUGUCAUCUACCCAAUUUUACCCAUAAUAUAUAACUACCCUCCUUUUUUCACUAAUCACCCCACUGUUUGUUCACAAAAAAUUAUUACAGACCAAUGAAUUGAAUAAAAAAUUACAUAAAUAAAAUAGAAAUUAAUCUAUAGGGAGCCUGAAGUAGGCCCUAAAUGACUUCCAAGCCUCUAGUAGUCUCAAAUGCCAAAGUUCAAAGCUAAUUCCAUGUCUAGGUGUGUCAGAGUUCCCUAAGGACCUCAAAGAUCUAGGGCAGUGCUCACACCUAGACCUUUCUCAAAUAAUAACUGAUUUAGGUGCAGUGUGGAAAGGCCAGCCCUGACAUACCAGAGUUCAGAGAGAUCUCAAGGAUCUCAAGGCAGUACACAUAUCAAAGAGGCAGGACCUAAUAUUCUAAGAGUAAGUGGAAGUGCAUGAAAGUUUGAAAGAGUUUAAUAGAAAGGUUUUAGGACUGAAAAGAACUUCUGAAAACCAUUUGUGAUAAAACAGUUUGAGGGAAAGUGUAAAGAAACAAUUUUGCAAUCAGAACACAAGACAGAGAAUAAACAAACUUUAGAAAGUAACUUUGGCAAGCAUAUUUCACACAAAGGGAAGAGGGAUUGGGAACAUAGAUAGUACACCUUAAUGAAGCAUUUAGACAAUAGGAUAUAUAGAGUUUGAGGGGGUUCUAUAGAACUAGUAGGUAGAAUGCAGGUCAUGCAACAAAGAUCACAACAGAAAUAUGUUGAAGCCAUUUUAGGGAGAGUAAUUAACUUAGCAGGAGUGAGGCAGAACAUGCAAAGACAGGUGAGGGCAUGCUAAUUACACAAAGGCAGAGUCUAAGCUUGCUAUAUAAACAGAAGUCAGUCAAACAUGCCAGUUACAUAUGUAGACAUGUCAAACAAAAUAACAAACAAACAAUUAGAGUGGAAACACGCUGGUCACAGAUUUGAAUAGGCAGUAUUAGGCAUGCUGGGUAAGCAGUAAACAGGAGAAAGAAUAAACUCAUGCCAUAUGAACUAAAGUAGUAAGUAAACACAUAGGUUUUGAUUCUUAAAAAUUAAUCAGAGGCAUACCUAGUUAAAUAAAGAAAACACAACAUUGUGAGCAAGGUAUUGUGCAGUUUCCAGCCUCGGCUUGCAGCCGGCUAGAAUAGUAGGGAUCACAAGCAGCAAAGAGAGUAGAAAGAGAGCCUUUUAGGGUGUAAAAGUAGUAGUUUUGAAUUAUGUUCGUUGUCCAGAAGUUAAAAUAAGAGGGAGUUUAUAUAGUAAUCAAAAGCUUAACAAAAUAAUGUAAGGGAUCAAUUAAGUAGCAAUUAGAGAAAUUCAUGGAAUCAAUCACAUGUAAAAUCAGUAAGUCUUCCCUUUAAUCAAGGGAUAAUUAAUCAAUGGUAAAAGCAGGAUAGAUAUUUAAGGAAGGAAAUCGAGUACGACUUAAGUACAUAGUAGGUAAUUAGGGGUGAAUGAAUAAGAGUUUCAGUUAAGGAAACAAUCAGUAAGAAUCAGUAAAAUAAUAAAUAAGGCAAGGAAAAACUAAUUAAUGCAAGAAGUUCAAUCAAACCGAGUAGAGAAGUAAGGAUCACAAGUUUUGUGAAGAAAAAGAGUUCAAAUCAAACUAGGAAGAACUUCAAAAUAAUAAUGGAUUCAAUCAAAGAGAAAAUCACGUAAAGAGUCAGCAAGUUUCGCAGACAAAAUAAGGUAAGAAAUGAAUAGUCAGGAUUCGACACGAAACAAAUUGGUAAAUCAAGAAAACGACACUGAUUUAAGGAGAAAGAUAUAGGUCUUAACAUGAAUAGUAAAAAUGAACACAAACAUAUAGAAUCAGUAAAAGAGUUGAACUAAGAAACUCAGUAGAGGCAUAUUAGGAUAAGAAAACCACGAGACAUUCAAAUGGCUGAAGAGAAAUCACAAGAACCAAGGCAAGAACAUAAUCAAUACACCAGUACUCAGAAACCAAACAAAGAAUGUCAAAAAUUAGGGCUUUUAGUAUAAACGAGUUAAGGUUGUAGCAAACUUACGAAAUCAAUCAAAACACAUAAGAAGCAGAAGAUCAAACACUUAAAAUCAACAAACAUUUUGGAAAAGAAAUUUCCAAAAACCCUAGUUUAGAAAAAAUGAAAAGUCAUUCGAAAAUCACAUGAUUCUUGUAAAACCAAAGGCUCUUGUAAAACUCAUAUGAAAUAGGUCUAAACCAUCUCAGAUCUAUACAGAUCUAAGAAGUUCAGAAGAGAGAAAUUAGGGUUUCGAGAAGAACAUUCACAGAGAUGAAGAAUCAAACCUAGAAACCCAUAGAUAUAGGAAUACCUCACUCGGAAUCAAACCAGGAUAGACUGAAACAGACGAAAAAUGGCCAUAGAUGUAAGCAAACUAACCCUGGUCCCUUGAGGACCCUGAAGAUGGUGAUACCAGUACAAGAGAGGCUACUAGAGGCCUGGGGGUGGUAAGGAACUACCAUAGAUGAGUGAUGGCGAGGUCCGAUUAGGGUUAGGUUUGAGAGCAUUUGAGAGAGGAUGGGGAUUUCAGGGGGGCGAACGGUGGGAAAUGAAAGGAUUUGGGGGGUCGUUUUGGACUAAAAAGGAAGGGGCUGAUUGUGGCCGUUGAUCUCUAUGAUCAACGGUCGAGAUUAAAAGGGUUUGGGGGCCGGAUCGGGUAUUAGGGUUUGGGAUGGGUAAGUUUAAAUUGAAAUUGGGCUGGUGUUGGGUUGAAGUAGGACCAAAAUUGAAAUAAAAAUAGGCCAGAUUUUAAAUAGCCACUUUUAAUAACUACAUAAUAUAUAAAAACUAAUAAAUGAGUUCCAAAAAAUAUUUCGCGUAGUAAAAUGAUUUUAAAAAUAGUUAUUUAAUAUUUUAAAAAUAUAAAGACCAUUUUAUGCAUCAAUAAUGUAAUUAUGCAUCAAUAAUGUAAUUAUGCAUUAAUAUGGGCUAUUAUUGCAAAGAUGUGCAAUUUAGCUUAAAAAAUACAAAUAUAAUUACGAAAUAUGUAAAAAAAUAUUUAAACACUAUGUUGGCAUAAAUAAUGAAUUUAAAUGGAUAAAUCACCAUAAAAGUAAUUUGAUGGAUAAUUAUUGGAUAUUUAUAUCAAUAAAAAGAGAAGAAAUUAAUUGAUUUGGAGCUUUUGACAUUAUAGAAAAAUUAUAAAAAUACUUAUGCAUGCUUAUAACUGCAUAUGUGCUAUUUUGAAGGUAUAUAUAUGUAUUAAAAAUAUAUGAGAAAUAAUUGGGUAUCAAUAACGUCUGUACCUAUCCUCGUGAGGGUGCAGAACCUUCAGGAAAAAUUUCACAUUCUUGAAUUCCCAUCGUGCAAAUCUGUUGAUUUUGGUAACUAAACUUAUGUUAUUCUAUUCUCUCACAUAUGGUGAGAACACGUGCUACCGAUCAGGAUGGACGACCACCAAUACCACCAGUUAGGGUCACUAGAGGUCGAGGACGCGGCCGAGGCUGUGGUAGGAGCAGGGGUGCAGCCCACACAGUAGCUAAGGCACAACUGUAGAUCCACCAGCCAACCUAGUUCAAGAUCAGGUCCCAGUUGCAGACGCUCCAGCAGUACCAGCUCAGGCACCGGGUGUGCCUAUUGUUAUCCCUGGCCUUCAGGAGGCCCUGGCCUAGAUUCUAUUAGUGUGCACUGGCCUAGCUCAGGCGGUCUCAGUACUACAGCCGCAGCUAUUUCUUAGGCCGGGGGAGGCACUCAGAUUCCCGUCGCUCGCACACCUAAGCAGGUUGUGCAGGGACUUCAGACAUCGGGGGCACAUCCAACCCAGCCGAUUGCAGCUGCUCAGGACUAUGUAGCUCCAGUUAUGCCAGAGGAUGAACAGUGCAGAUUGGAGAGGUUUGGGAGACUUUAGCCUCCAACUUUCAGUGGUGCAGAGGGCGAAGAUGCCCAGGGUUUCUUGUACAAGUGUCAGAGGAUACUUCAGACCGCAGGUAUUUUGGAGACCAGUGGGGUCUCAUUCACUGCUUUCUAGUUCUCCAGGGCUGCACUUAGUUGGUGGGAGGCUUAUGAGAGGCGUAGGCCGGUUGGCGUAGCGCCCCUUUCUUGGCAACAAUUCUCCGUUCUCUUUCUUGAGAAGUUUUUACCUGAGUCUCGCCGAGAGGAGCUACACAGGCAGUUCGAGAAGCUUCGUUAGGGGGACAAAUCUGUUAUACAGUAUGAGAUGCGGUUCUCUGAGUUGGCUCGUCAUGCGAUUUGGUUGGUUCCCACAAACCGAGAGAUUAUUAGGAGGUUUAUAGAUGGCCUCAGUUUUCAGCUUCGGUUGCUUAUGACUAGAGAGAGAGUAUUUGGUGCUACCUUUGAUGAGGUUAUUGACAUAGCUCAACAGAUCGAGAUGGUUUGUGGUCAGGAGAGGGUUGAGAGGGAGGCUAAGAGGUCUCGUGGUCAGGAUGGAUUUAGUUGUAUUCCUCAUGGGAGUUAGUUUCAGCACGUCAGAGGCCGUCCAUUCAGACAUGCUCAGUUAGCUCACCCAGGUUAUCGUGGGGCAUCAUCGGGCCAUAGUUCUCACAGCUCUCAUCAGGUCCAUUCAUCAUUUAGUGCCCUUUCAGCCCAGAGUUCGUCCGGUGCUCCAUCAGUUCAGGGCUCUUCUAUGCUAGGUUCUUCUGCUAGCUAUCUCAGUGCUAAGGGUUCCCUUCAGUCCCCGUCUACAACACCAGGGGGUUGUUAUGAGUGUGGAGAGUUGGGGAAUAUAUGGAGACAAUGUCCUCGUCGUCUUGGGGGUUCGUCUCAAUAGAGGAGUCAACCAUCGACUUGAGCACCAAUUACUUCACCACCCACCCACCCAUCUAGGGGUGGAGGAAAGUCAGCUAGGGGACGCCCUAGAGGAGGAGGCCGAUCAGGUGGUGGUCAGGCCCGUUUCUAUGUACUCCCAGCUAGACCCGAUGUUAUUGCUUUAGAUAAUGUGAUUACAGGUUUUGUCUCAGUUUGUCACAGAGAUGCCUCUAUGUUAUUUGAUCAUAGUUCCACUUUUUUGUGUGUGUCAUCAUAUUUUUCUUGUGUAUCUACUCCGGUGGGUGACACCGUUGUUGUGUACCACGUAUAUCGGUCGUAUAUGGUGACUAUUAGGGGUUUGGAGACCCGAGUGGACCUUCUGUUGCUUUGUAUAGUUGAUUUUGAUGUGAUAUUGGGCAUGGAUUGAUUAUCUCUUUGUCGUGCUAUUUUGGACUAUCAUGCUAAGACAAUGACUUUGGCUAUGUCAGGUGUGCCAUGGAUCGAGUGGUAAGGUUCGACUAAUUUUGUUCCCAGUAGGGUGAUUUCAUUUCUUAAGGCCCAGCAGAUGGUUGGGAAAGGUUGUCUUUCAUACUUAGCCUUCGUGAGGGAUGUCAGUGCAGAGACUCCUACCAUAGAUUUAGUCCCGGUAGUGAGGGACUUCCCGAAUGUGUUUCUUGUAGGCUUGUCGGGCAUGCCACCGGAUAGGGAUAUUGAUUUUGGUAUUGAUUGGGUGUCGGGCACUCCGCCCAUUUCUAUUCCACUGUAUCGUAUGACACCGAUGAAGUUGAAGGAGCAUCUUCAGGAACUCCUUGAUAAGGGGCUUAUUCAUCCUAGUGUGUCGCUGUUGGGUGAGCCUAUUCUAUUCAUGAACAAGAAGGAUAACACUAUAAGGAUGUGCAUUGAUUACAGGCAGUUGGACAAGGUCACCAUCAAGAACAAGUAUCCUUUACCUCAUAUUGAUGAUUUAUUUGACCAGCUUCAGGGUGCGAGGGUGUUCUCCAAGAUUGAUCUCCAGUCAUGGUAUCACCAAUUGAAGAUCAGGGACUCGGACAUUCUUAAGACAACUUUCAAGACCUGAUAUAGUCAUUAUGAGUUCCUUGUGAUGUCUUUUGGGCUGACUAAUGCUCCAGCAACAUUCAUGCAUUUGAUGAAUAGCGUGUUUCGGGCUUAUUUUGACUCGUUUGUCAUUAUGUUCAUUAAUGAUAUUCUGGUGUACUCGCAUAGUUAGGAGGAGCACGCGGAGCAUUAGAGAGUGGUAUUGCAGCGGUUGAGGGAGAAGAAGAUUUAUGCAAAGUUCUCCAAGUGUGAGUUUUGGCUCAGUUUAGUGGCUUUCUUAGGGUACGUGGUCUCCAGUGAGGGUAGUCAGGUUGAUCCGAAGAAGAUAGAGACGGUUUAGAGUUGGCCAAGACCGUCCUCAGUCACAAAGAUUCACAACUUUCUUGGUUUGGCAGGUUAUUACCGUCGGUUCGUUCAGGGAUUUUCAUCUAUUGCAUNNNNNNNNNNNNNNNNNNNNNNNNNNNNNNNNNNNNNNNNNNNNNNNNNNNNNNNNNNNNNNNNNNNNNNNNNNNNNNNNNNNNNNNNNNNNNNNNNNNNNNNNNNNNNNNNNNNNNNNNNNNNNNNNNNNNNNNNNNNNNNNNNNNNNNNNNNNNNNNNNNNNNNNNNNNNNNNNNNNNNNNNNNNNAUUAGCUUUAGGUUCAUAUACAGUGUAUUGUGAUGCUUCGAGAGUUGGUAUUGGGUGUGUGUUGAUGUAGGAGAGUAGAGUGAUUUCUUAUGCUUCUCGUCAGUUGAAGCCCCAUGAGAAGAACUACCCUGUUGAUGAUCUAGAGUUAGCUGCCACUGUUCACGCAUUGAAGAUUUGAAGACAUUACCUGUAUGGUGUGUCUUGUGAGGUGUUUACUGAUCAUCUUAGCCUCCAGCACUUGUUCAAGUAGAAGGAUCUCAAUUUGAGGCAGCGGAGAUGGUUGGAGCUGCUAAAGGACUAUGAUAUCACUAUCUUGUACCAUCCGGGGAAGGACAAUGUAGUGGCCGAUGCUUUGAUUAGGAAGGCGGUGAGUAUGGGCAGUUUGGCAUAUAUUCCUGUUAGGGAGAGACCUCUUGUAGUUUAUGUUCAGGCCUUGGUCAAUCGGUUCGUGAGGUUGGAUAUUUCGGACCCAGUCAGGUCUUCGCUUGUGUGGUUUCUCGGUCUUUAUUGUUUGAUUGCAUCAAAGAGCACUAUUAUGAUGAUCCUCAUUUGCUUGUCCUUAAGGACAUAGUUCAGCACGACGAUGCUAGAGAUGUGACUAUUGGCGAUGAUGUGGUAUUGAGGAUGCAGGGCUGGAUAUGUGUGCCCAGUGUAGAUGGGCUUCGGGAGUUGAUUCUGGGAGAGGCCCAUAGCUUACGGUAUUCCAUUCAUCCGGGCAUUGCAAAAAUGUAUCAGGAUUUGAGAUAACAUUAUUGGUGGAGAAGAAUGAAGAAAGAUAUUGUGGAAUUUGUAUCUUGGUGUCUCAAUUGUCAGCAGGUGAAAUAUGAGCAUCAGAGAUCGGGUGGCUUGCUUUAGCAAAUAGAUUUUCUAGAGUGGAAGUGGGAGCGGAUCACCAUGGAUUUUGUAGUUGGACUCCCAGGGACUUUGAAGAAGUUCGACGCUAUUGGGGUGAUUGUGGAUCGGCUGACCAAGUCCGCGCACUUCAUUCCUAUGUGUACUACCUAUUCUUUAGAGUAGUUAGCAAAGAUUUAUAGCUGGGAGAUUGUUCGUUUGCAUGGUGUCCCAGUUUCCAUCAUUUCAGAUAGAGGUACUCAGUUUACUUCACAGUUUUGGAGAGCCGUGCAACGAGAGUUGGGUACUCAGGUUGAGUUGAGCACAACUUUGCACCCUUAGACGGACGGGCAGUCCGAGCGCACUAUUGAGAUAUUGGAGGACAUGUUGCGCGCUUGUGUUAUUGAUUUUGGUGGUUCAUGGGAUCAGUUUCUACCGCUCGCAAAAUUUGCAUAUAACAACAGUUAUCAGUCGAGUAUUCAAAUGGCUCCAUAUGAGGCUUUAUAUGGGAGGCGGUGUAGAUCUCCAGUAAGUUGGUUUGAACCGGGUGAGUCUAGACUUUUGGGUACAGACUUGGUACAGGAUGCUUUGAACAAGGUGAAAGUGAUUCAGGAGCAGCUUCGUACAGCGCAAUCGAGACAAAAGAUUUAUGCUGAUAGGAAGGUUCGUAAUGUGUCCUACAUGGUUAGAGAGAAGGUUCUAUUGAAGGUUUCACCCAUGAAGGGUGUUAUAAGAUUUGGGAAGAAGGGUAAAUUAAGUCCUCGGUUCUUUGGGACUUUUGAGGUGCUUCGGAGGAUUAGGGAGGUGGUUUAUGAGCUGGCUUUGCAACCUAGCUUGUCGAGUGUGCAUCCGGUAUUUCAAGUUUCUAUGCUCCGGAAGUAUAUUGGCGAUCCGUAUCAUGUUUUGGAUUUCAGCAUAGUUCAGUUAGACAGUGAUUUGACUUAUGAUGUGGAACCAGUGGCUAUUUUAGAGCGGCAUGUCCGAAAGUUAAGAUCAAAUAAUAUAGAUUCAGUGAAAGUGCAAUGGAGAGGUUGGCCCAUGGAGGAUGCUACUUGGUAGACCGAGCGGGAGAUGCGGAGCAGAUAUCCUCACCUAUUUGAGGUUUCAGGUAUGUUUUUUGACUUGUUCGAGGAUGAAUAUUUAUUUAAGAGGGGCAGGAUGUAAUGACCCGGCCAGUCGUUUCAUGAGUUACCGCUUUGUUUUCCCCAUUUUUGCUUCUUUAUUGUAUCAUGUUAUUUAGCUGUAUUUCAUCGUAUCGUGUUAGUUGGUUUGGGUUUAGAGUGGUUUUGUAGAGGAAUGAGACACUUAGUCUCUUUGGAGUAAGCUUAAGUUGAAAAAGUCAACUGGAUGUUGACAUAUGUGUAGAAGGUCUCGGAUGUGAAUUCUAAUGGUUUGGAUAGCUUUGUUAGGUUAUUGGGGACUUAGCAGCAUGAUCAGAGUGUAUUUUGGAGGUCCGUGGACAAUUUAGGCUUAAAUUGGCGAAAUUGGAAUUUUGGCAUUUUUUGGUCGGCAGUGGAAAUGUUGAUAGCGGGGUCGUAAUGGAAUUCUGGAAAUUGGAGUAGGUGUGUUGUUUCAUUUUUGACGUGUGUGCGAAAUUUGAGGUCAUUCGAAAGAGGUUUGAUAGGUUUUUGGAUCGGUUGCGGAAUUCGAAAGUUUGGAAAUUCUAAGGCUUGAAUCCGAGGUUAUGUUGAUGUUUUGAUGUUGUUUCGAGUGUUCUGAAGGCUGGAAUUAGUUUGAAUGAUGAUAUGGGACUUGUUGGCAUGUAUGGUUGAGGUCUCGAGGGCCUCAGGAUGGAUUUGGGUGGUUGACAGAAGGUUGGAGUGGAUUUGGAGUUGCAGAAAUUUUUCUACUUCUGUUGUUUCCGCACAUGUGGAUUAGGGACCGCAUGUGCAAUGAUCACAGAAGCGGGAAGAAACCGCAGAUGCCGUUUUUGGCAUUGCAGAAGCGGAAGGCAAGUCACACCUACGAGCCCACAGGUGCAGUGGUUUGAUCACAGGUGCGGAUGGAGAUUUUAAGUGAAGUCCGCAGAUGCGGGCGUUUUGUCAAGGUGCAAGGCCGCAGGUGCGGUAUUUGGACUGCAGAUGCGGUACCCCUAGGCAGAACAUAUAAAUUCUUGCGUUCACGAAAUUUGGUCAUUUUCCCAUCAUUUGUAUUCGGCCUUGGAGUUUUUUGGAGGGUUUUUAAGAGGGAAUCAAGGAAAAAUCGAUUGUAUGGUGAUUUUCAGUUGAUUAAGCAUGAAAUUUGUGCGAUUUAUGGGUGAAAAUUUUGAGAAAUUAGUGCUUGAAAUUGGAGAGUUUAAAUUGGUGAUUUGAGGGGCCAUAUGAUGUCCGAUUUUGAUGUUCUUGGUACCAAUAGACUCGUGGGAGGAUAAGGAUUCUAGUGAUGUAAUUUUUAUCGGAUUUCGAGAUGUGGGCCUGAGGGUUGGGUUUGGCCAAUUUUGGGAUUUUUGAGUUAAUUUGAUUAUUUUCACUUGGGCUUUGUUCGUUUAGAGUGUAUUAAUGAUAUAAUACUGAUUUUGGUUAGAUUCGGAGCAUUUAAAGGCCGAUUCGAGAGGCAAAGGCAUCGUAGGCUAGAGUUUGGACUAGUUUGAGGUACGUAAUGAUUGUAAAUAUUGUGCUGAGGGUAUGAGACCCGGGAUUUCAUAUCGUUGUGCUACUUUGAGGUGGCGCACACGCUAGAUGACGAGCAUGGGGGUGUGCACCAUUGAGGAUUGUGACUUGGUCUGUCUCGUACAACUAUUAAGUCGCAUAUUUGAAUUAAAACUAUUUGAUACUAUUGUAUUUUUUGAAAUUACUAUUAUGUUUUGGGAUGAAUGCUAUAUUUGGGCCUCGUGCUAAUUAUUUGGACCCUUAGGGGCUUUGUUACUACUAUUCCUCACUAUUUUGACUUAAUAUUUGUACUCAGUUAUGUUGUUUUUUACUGAUUUCUCAACUCAGCUGUAUUUACUCUAUUUUGAUACUUUAAAUGAUAUUUUGGGCUGAGCAUCCUAUUUUACUGUUGCCCGAGUGGCUUGAGAGGUUUCUAACUGAGUGAGGCCGAGGGCCUGUGUUGUGAGGAUAUCAUGGGAUCGGGUUCCGUGCUGCAUCAUGUUGUACUAAUUUGUGAUAUACGAGAGGAGGCCUGAUUUAUUAUGCCACGAGAUGGCUUGUGAUAGAGCUUGGGCUGUAGAAGCCCCUACGGAGUCUGAACACCCCCAACGAGCGUGGGUAUCUAGUGUGAGUGAUGGGAUGCUGCCCGAAUGGCUGUUAUUGAUUCGUGUUGUUGCCCAAAGGGCUGAUUACGAGUGAUUGUGAGGUGGCCCGCAGGGCUGGUUGUGUUACAAUUGUCUGAUUUCUCUAAAUCUUUUGAAAUUGAGUGUGAUGCUUCAGGCAAAGGAAUAGGUCCUAUUUUGAUGCAAGAUUCUAAACCUUUUGCCUACAUUAGUGAGAAGUUGAUGGAGCCCCAUUAAACUAUUCCACUUAUGACAAAGAGCUAUAUGAUUUGGUAAGGGCUUUAACCACAUGGUAACAUUACUUGUGGCCAAAGAGAGUUUGUCAUUAAAACUGACCAUGAAUCCUUGAAGUACUUGAACAGUCAAGGUAAGCUUAGUAGGAGCCAUGCUAAGUGGGUUGAAUUUAUUGAAACUUUUCCUUAUGUAAUUUCUUACAAAUAAGGGAUAGAUAUUGUUGUUGCUAAUGCACUUUCAAGAAGGUAUGUCUUAGUUACUACUCUGACUUCGAAAUUGAUGGGUUUUGAUCAAAUCAAGGGACUUUAUGCUAAUGAUAUUGAUUUUGGCAAGAUUUUUGUAGAUUAUAAGUUGGGUCCUUUUGAGAGGUUUAAUCUUUAAGAUUGGUUUCUUUUUAGGGAAAAUAAGUUGUGUUACGUGAAGUAUUUGUAAGGGAAGCACAUUGUGGAGGCCUUAUGGGUCACUUUGGAGUCCCAAAGACACUAGACAUACUUGCUGAAAGUUACUUUUGGCCUAGCAUGAGAAAAGAUGUUGAAAGAGUGUGCGCACAAUGUUUGGAAUGUAAACAAGCUAAAUCUAAAGUGUUACCACAUGGUCUUUACACGCCAUUACCUAUUCCUACUUCACUUUGGAUUGAUAUUUCUAUGGAUUUUGUUUCAGGUUUUCCGAGAACAAGGUAUGGUAAGGAUAGUAUAUUUGUUAUGGCAGAUAGGUUCUCCAAAAUGGCUCAUUUUAUUCCUUGUUUAAAGACUAAUGAUGCUUCACAUGUUGCUGAUCUAUUUGUAAAAGAAUUUAAAUUGCAUGGUAUACCUUGAACUAUUGUUAGUGAUAGGGAUGCUAAGUUUUUGAGCCACGUUUGGCGUGUAUUUUGGGAGAAGUUAGGCACUAAAUUGUUGUUUUUUACUUAUUGUUACCCACAAACUGAAGUAGUUAAUAGAACCUUAGGAAACACGUUGAGGGCUGUUUUUAAAGGUAAAUUAACUUCUUGGGAAGAUCACUUACCUAUGAUUGAAUUUGCUUACAAUAGAACAAUCCAUUCUUCUACAGGUAUGUCUCCUUUUGAGGUUGUUUAUUGUUUUUAUCCCUUUACUCUCCUUGAUUUAUUACCAUUACCUACUAAUGAUAUUGCUAAUCUUAAUGGUAGGACAAAGAUUGAAAUGAUGAAAAAAAAUCAUAAGCAAACAAGGCUUGCAAUUGAGAAGAAAAAUGAGCAAACUACCUUGAGAAAGAAUCAGGGUCGAAAACAAGUUGUUUUUCAAACUAGAGAUUUAGUUUGGGUUCACUUUAGGAAGGAGAGAUUUCCUUCCAAAAGGAAGUCAAAGUUGCAUCCUAGAGGAGAUGGACCAUUUCAAGUCCUUGAAAGGAUAGGAGACAAUGUAGGAUCGAAUUCGGGGACGAAUUCUUUUCAAGAAGAGGGGAAUGAUAGUAUAAGGACAAUGAUAGAGUUUUGGAAGCUCCAAGAGGGCCAUUUACAAAAUCUCAAGCUAAAUAAUUACGGACUAAGGUUGUUGGACUUCAAUUGCAAAUAAAGAAGCUUUUAAUUGUAGAGGAAGAGCUCAAGCCCAAAGGAGAUGAAUUGUCCAAGUUUUACAAUUAUUUGGUGGCCCAAAUUAAAGUCCAAGAAGAGGAAGAUUGGGUCCCAACAUCAGCCCUUGAAGUCCACCAAAAAGGCACUUAGAAGAGCUUAAAAUGAGCUUAAAAGAGGUCCAAAAGGGGGUGUUUCAAAAGAAGCCCAAUUGGAGUCCAACCCAAUGGCCCAAACUAGUAGUUUUAAGGCCCAAAUCUGCCUCUAAGGGAUUUGGCCGCCCACUGUAUUAUUUUUAUUAGUCUUUAUUAGGUUUUCUAGUAUUUAGCUUAGCCUCCAAGUUAGGGUUUGCCUUGACAGCCACCCUACCUAGUUUUAAGGAUUUUUUUACUCCUAUAAAUAGGAGUUCUUUUCAUUCAUUGUGGCACUUCAUUAUUGAUUAAUAAUAUCAUACUUGAGAGUUUUUUGAACCUUUGUUACUUAUGCUUUGAGAUUUAUCUUUCAACCUUUACUAGUUCAUAGUUCAAGGUAGUACGAUAAUUUCUUUAUUGUGAUAUCAUUGAUUCCUUUGUGGUAUUCUUAGAAGGCGAUUAAUACUAGUUAUUAAUUGUUGUCUCAAGUUACUCGUAAAGCAGUCAAGAUCCGAAUCUAUUGUGUUUGAUUUGUUCUUAAGUAAAGGCAUUUGAUUUCUUCAAUAAAUCUAAAUGUUGUUGCUUGGAUCUUGUCUAAGGCUAUAGAACUUGCGUUCUUGGAAGUUCUUGGAAUUCAUUCCCUGAAUUUUCCCAUAUCCUUUAUUUUCUGCACUUUAAUUCUAGUCGUUGAAUUUCUUAUUGUUGUUGCUUCCAUAUUUACUUCUUAACGUCUUACUCUAGUUUGGAUUCCCGACCAUGCUGUUAUCCGUCGGGGACUUCACUGAGAGAAGUCACACCUACAAGCUUCUAUGUGAGAAAUUUCAUGUCGAUUUAGUAAUGGCUCGGGACGAACACGCUAAAAUAGCCGAGCAGGUAUUCCAAAUGCGUCACGAUAGUGAGGAAGAACUAGAGAUAAUGACUAAUGAUCAAUUACGCAGGUUUGGCAGAGGCUUAAAAAAUUGGGGAGUUUUAGAAACAAGUAGAUAUAAUUCGAGCAGAGGCUGGGGAGUUCAAGAAAAAUAUGGACAUCUUAGCCUCGAAAAGGGAUGCUGCCCAAACAGAACUAGAGUUGGCCGAGAUCCAGCUCCGAACUACAAGAUAGAAGGCCUCGGUGCAGGCCAAGAAAAUCGAGGAGCUUCAGUCCCAAUUAGCAAAUUUGGCCAAUGACUCGAGGUGACCAAAUCUGAGGUGGCUGUAGCCAACACCAAAGCCCAUGAUAAUGUGACCCAAUACAAGGUUGACGUCGAGGUCACCCAGGCGCAAGCCAAAAUCAUGGUGGAUCAUGCAAGGCGUCAAGCUCAAAGGGAAGCCCUCGAGGGAGUCCAUGCUCAGUGCUUUAAUAUAUUAGCUGAACUCGAGAAUGCCAAAGAAGAGGAAACUAGGGCUCGAAAGCUGGCCUUUCCCGAAGAAGACUCAAAUAGUUUAAGUGAGUCUGAAGGCGGGGAAGAUCCCGAGGGCGGAGAUGUUGCCUCCGAAGAAGACCAGGGAACUUAGGCCUUUGUAUUUUUUUCUUUCCCUUUGAAUCUUUUUAGGCCAUUUCGGCCAUUGUAAAUUUUUCCGAAUUUAGCCAUUUUGGCUUUUGUAAAGACUAUUGUGUAAAUAUAUACAAGGCUUUUUUCCCUAUUGGCUUUCGAAUUUUUCCUUUGCUUUAUUACUUGAAUUCACAAAGGUCGGGAUGCUUUAGCAUAAAAUAGCUUGGAUUGUGUAAGUUCUAACAACCUUGCCUUUACAUUAUUUUUAUUUUUGAGUCACCUUGGAGGUUCGGGGUUACCGGGAACCUUCUCCAAAGGAAGUAACCCAGACCAUAGUUUGCCGAGGGUAGCCUUUAAAACCGGUUAUGAAAAUUUCAAAGACCUAUUUUCUGUUAUGGUUCUUGGAUGUCUCUGAGCCGUGUUAAUGAGAUCGUAUCCUUUUAAUUCAGGCAUAGUCCAGUGAGCUUGCUUUCCCGAGUUAUCCAAGCUUGCCUAAGAUAACAGUCCCCGAGUGGUUAUAGCCAUGACCUUUAAAAUUUAGGGGUUGCCUAAGAGGUCUUAUUCACCCGAUGUUCAAUAGUUCAAUGUAUUCGAGUUUGUUUUUAAGAUGGCAGUCCCCGAGUGUGGGAGUAAUCAUCUGAACUCUGGUUUUAAUCGGCCCUUGAGAUUGUUUCUAUAAGAGAUCAAAAGUAUGAAUUUGUAAAGUGGAUAUUUUUUCUGAGACAUAAGAUAAUUGCAAGGAAAGUACUUCUCUUUAUUCUUGUGAAUAAAUAGUUAUACAUGCGUACAUGUUUUAUGCCAAGGCUCGAGUAACUUAUGUGGGCACGGUUCGUUUUGACUGUUUCCCCUUACAACAAAUCUUACCUAUCUAAACCCUUCUAUUAUGAAGUAAUUUCCUCGCAAAAGGUUGAUAUCCAAGGGUAAUGCCCCCAGUAUUCGAGGUUGAUUGUAGAGGAACCUCGAAAACUGUUAGUGCUAUCUUUGAUGCUGAUUCAUGAUAGGCCUUCGAAUCUAAGUUUGCACGAUCCACUGUUGCCUCGUUAAAAACCUUGUCAAAAAACCCAAUUGGGACAAAAACGGUUCAAGGGAAAAAGAUUGCAACGUGUGCUUUCAGACCUUAAGGCUUCGUGUCGCUCAUUGCCGAUCACUUGCAAGUGUUAGUCCAAAAAUAGAUAGAAUUGAAAUGGGGUCGUACCUUAGCAGUAAUAUCGCUUAAGAUGAGUUACAUUCCAAUUAUUUGGUAUUUGUUCUCCGUUCAUCAUUCUGAGCUUAUAGGACAAUUUCUCUGUGAUCUCAAGAAUCUAGUAUGGCCCUCCUAGUUCGGACUCAAUUUCCCUUUGUUUGGAUUUCGGGUGUUUAAUGUGACCUUCCUUAGCACUAAGUCCUCGACAUUGAAAUAUCAAAGGUUGGCCCUUCGGUUGUAAUACCUUUCGAUCCGUUGCUUUUGGGCAGCCAAUCGAACAAGGGCAGCUUCAUGCCUUUCAUCCAAUAGCUCCAGGCUUGUAUUCAUGGCCUCGUCAUUUGAUUCCUUUGAUACAUAUCAGAAUCUAAUACUCGGCUCCUCGACUUUGAUUGGUAUUAGAGCUCUGGCACCGUAAACUAUUGAGAAUGGGGUGGCCCCGUUACUGGACUUCGAAGUUGUGUGAUAUGCCCAAAGAACAUAGGGCAGGAUCUCUCUCUAUUUCCCCUUGGCAUCAGUCAACCUUUUCUUCAGGUUUGGAUUAUGGUUUUGUUGGUCGAUUCGGCUUGUUCGUUCCCACUAGGGUGAUAACAUGUUGACAAUAUCCUUUUGAUCUUAUGGUCUUCGAUAAAUUUGGUCACUUUACUGCCGAUAAACUAUUUUUUGUUAUCACAUGCAAUUUCGGAUGGUAUCCCAAACCGACAUAUGAUGUGGUUCCAGAUGAAGUCGAUGACUUCCUUCUCCCUGAUCUUCUCGUAUGCAUGUGCUUCAACCCACUUAGAGAAAUAGUUAUUCUUAAAUAAAACAAAUUGAUCCUUACCUGUUGUCAACAGAAGAGUACCGACGAUGUCCAUCCCCCACUUUAUGAACGGCCACGGUGAUAAAACCGAAUACAACAACUCUCCGGGUUGAUGAAUCAUUGGAGCAUGUCUUUGGCACUGAUCACAUUUUUUCAUGAACUCCUUCGCAUCUUUUUCCAUAUCAACACAGUAAUAACUGGCUCUAAUUACCUUUCGAACCAAUCAUUCGGCGUCAUAGUGGUUCUCGCAAGUGCCUUUGUGGACUUCCCUCAAAUGUACUCGGCAUCUCCUAGACCCAAACAUAUUUCUGGCGGACCAUCGAACAUUCACCUGAGCAAGGUUACAUCCUCGUAGAAGAUAAAUCGGGCUACCUUUGUGCUCAGGGUCCUCGAUUCCUUUGGAUCUAAAGGAAGUUUCCCAAUCUUCAAAUAUUAUAUGUAUUUAUUUCUCAAAUCCCAAAUAACCUCGUGGAGUUUAUUUCAGCGUGACCUUUUUCUACUACCGACCUUAUGAGUUGCAAGAUGCCCCCAAGUUGAGCUUGUCAUCUUCGAUCGAUGACCCAAAGUUUGCAAGGGCAUCAACUUCACUGUUUUGAUCUUGGGGCAUGUUCUGUAAAGUCCAUUCUUUGAAAUGAUGCAACGUUACCUGUAGCUUGUCCAAUUACCUUUGCAUUCGCUCUUCCCUGACCUCGAAUAUUCCGUUUACUUGGUUUACUACAAGGAGGGAGUUAUAUUUAGCUUCAAUCACCUCCGUUCUCAAGCCUUUGGCUAGUUCGAGACCUACAAUCAUGGCUUCAUAUUCGGCCUCAUUGUUAGUCAAUUUUACAGCUCUAAUAGAUUGUCUAACUAUAAUACACGUGGGCGGCUUCAGCAUGAUGCCAUGUCUGGAACUUUUUACAUUCGAGGCACCGUCCGUAAAGAGGGUCCAAAUUCUCGAAGACGUUCCCGAGUUUAAUAACAACUCCCUUUCGACUUUGGGUAUUAAGGCUGGUGUAAAGUUGGCUACGAAAUCUGCCAAAAUUUGGGAUUUAAUGGCUGAUUGGGGUUGAUAUUCGAUAUCGUACCCGCUGAUUUCCAUGGCCCAUUUGACCAAUUGCCCCGACAGUUUGGGUUUAUGCAUUAUAUUUUGAAAAGGAUUGGUUGUCACAACACAUAUAGGAUAGCACUAAAAAUAUGGUUUGAGUUUCCUAGAGGCACUUAGCAAGGCGAGGGCCAACUUUUCUAGGUGAGGGUAUCUAGUUUCGGCCUCACCUAAGGUCUUACUGACAUAAUAAAUUGGAAACUGCGUACCUUGUUCUUCUCGAACUAGGACUCCAUUUACCGCUAUUUAUGAUACAUCUAGAUACAAGUAUAGUCGUUCGUCUUCCCUAGGCGUGUGAAGCAAUGGCAGGCUCGAUAAGUAUCGAUUAAGUUCUUCCAAGGCCCGUUGGCAUUCGGGGGUCCAUGUGAAGUUGUUUCUCUUUUUUAGCAAUGAGAAAAAUCGAUGGCUUUUAUCGGAAGACCUCAAGAUGAAUCUCCCCAGGGAUGCAAUGUUCCCAGUUAGCCUUUGUACAACCUUCACAUUAUCCAAUACCGUGUGUCAUGCCCCCUUUUUCUCGCAAAAUCGGGUUUAUGAAAUUUAGAAGGACAACUCGUUCCUUUUGGGAACUAGGUUUGAGUUUUGAAGAGUCGCCACCUAAUGAUUUAAGGUGCAUUAGGACACCAAAAGAUUUUGAUUUGAAUAACCAGAGAUCGGGUAAGGGCUUGAAAUUAUUCUAAGGGGAAGGUGUUAGACACCCCUCAAAAUCCACUAGUGUGGUUCUCGGCUAGACAAUUAUUGUGAAUUUGGUGCAAUUAACAUGUAGACAAAUAAGGCUCAAAUAAGAGGGGAUUUCACAUAAUGGUUUGAAAGUAAACAAAGUUUGAAAGAACAAAUAGAAAAGCUGAUUUUUUAAAACAAAGAAUUGAAAUGCUAAAGAAUAAAAAGAGGGGGGGGGGGGGUCCUAGGUUUAUUAAAAAUAUGGAUCACCCCUCACAAUGUCUGGUAAUCACUCCUUAAUGAGGGGCUACACGUGACUUUAUUGCGUGGUCAUCAUAUACAUAUCUACCCUUCCCACCCCGUUAAGGUAUUAAAAUGCGGAUUGGUCUCGAUUACUUAUUGCAUGCUAUUACCCAUCCCAUUCCUCUCAGUCCUGGAGGACUUAGGACUACUAAUCUUAAAAGGGAGGGAUGUUAGGCUUAUUUGGAGUUUCAAAGGUAAAAAUUCUAAAGCGACAUACAAAACACAUAUUCAUGUUUGGGGGAAACAUAUAAACAAACAGAGGAUCAUGUAUACCUCCUCAAAACACAUAAAAUAGCAUGUCUUGCACGUACUGUUUAGGUCCGAUUUAAAAGAAUUAAAGACGAGGGAGAUGAGAUUGUUGAGACAGUUUUAGUUUAUUGCAUAACUCAGAUAAGAAGUCUGAAUCAGGCCUACCUGCUGGUUCUAAUAAUUAACAGAAGUAGAUUCAAUUUUCAAUUAUUACUCUAAAGAUUGCCUAAGUGUUUAGACGGGGUCCUAUAGGCAUGAUAUCUACUGAAUUUAGAAGGUAAUGAGACAGUAAAACUUGGAAUGAAUUAUUUGAAAUCCUAUAUGCAUACUUAUUAAACCGGCUAAGUGAGGGACUCAGAAUAUUAAAAGAGAUGUUGAACAGACAAUGUUAACUAAAUUGGUUACAGGUUCUGCGGGUGAUAGCAUCUAAUAUUACUGAUUUUAUAGCUAACACCGAGUGAAGCGAAUCAAAUUCAUUUAGAAAUCCUAUGGGCAUGCUUUCUAUGCAUUGCUGAUUUUAAAGCCUUAUAGACGUAGUGUCGAAAUGCAGAAAACCUUGUAGACAUGGUAUCUAUAUGUAGAAGCCUUAUAGACAUGGUAUCUAUAUGUAGUUGGAUAUGUAGAAUUAGAACAGUCCUAUGGGCAUGAUUUCUAUAUGGAGUUGAAUAUGCAGAAUUAGAACAGUCUAUAGGCAUGAUUUCUAUAUGUAGUUGAGUACGCAGAAAUUGAAUCAUCCCUAUAGGCAUGGUUUCUACCCCUUACAUGCAUAUUUACCCACCUUUUUUCACUAGCCAGCCCCAAGUGUUUAUUACAACUUAUUACAAACCAGAAUAAAUUACAUCAGAAAGAAAGUACAACCGGAGGAGGCCUGAUUCUUAACUUCCUCUCUGGCAGUGUGGAAGGGCCAGCCCUCAAGAGUCCAAGUUCAGAGGGAGCUUAGAGGGUCCCAAGGCAAGGCUCACAAAAGGGGGCAGAACUUAAAUCUAAGACAGAGUACUAGUGAAGAAACAGAGUUCUGAGGGAAUAAAGGAGAGGGAAAGAGGUACUGGGAAAUAGACAUAAACAAGUUGAUAAUUUCAUACAAAAGGGAUUCAAGGGUUGGGAACUUCCAGAGAGCCUAUGUACUUAGGCAUUAGUUAAUUCUGGGCAUGCACAAUAAUAAGGAGUGUUGUUAUGCUUACAAAAUCAACCAGAAUACACAACACAUAAUGAUAACAUAAAGGCUAUGAUGCUAGGGGAAUCAAGUUUGAGUCAUAGACAUCAAUACUUAAUAUUGUCAUGCCUCAAACAAGCCAUCAGUAUCAAAAAUAUUGGGGUAGGGGUUUAGGACACAUAAUAGAUUCAAAACAGGUAGAAGGAGAUUACAACAUGCUAAAAUAAGUACUGAAUCGUUCACAAGAAGUAGGUAGACAAGAAGGCAAAAGUAUUAAGUAAACAUAUUGUUGUUUAUGCUGAAAUCUUAAUCAGAACAUACCAGUUUAGAGAAGCAAAAUAGGACUUUGAAGAUAGGCCACAGUACAAGUAGUAAAGAAAGAGAAUGUUUUUGAAUGUAAGUAAUUUCAGAACUAACUGUGUUCGUGUGUGUCUAUGUUAAUGAAAGAGUAGGGUAUUUAUAGUGUGAAAACAAGUAGAAAAAUAAGGCAAGAAAGUAAUUAUGGAACUGUGUACCAAUUAAAAUCAAUCAGUACAAUAGCUUCCUUUAAUUAAGGAGUUAAAAUUAAACGGUAACAUGUAAAUACUAAAUAAGGAAAGCAAUCAUAUAAGGCUAAAUAUGACCAAUAAGGAAGUAACUUCAGCACAGUAUAAGUACACAAUAGGUAAUAGAGACUAGGUUCAUCAGAUUCCAAUCAAGGAAAGGUCUGUAAGAAUCAAAUACCAAUGUAAUCAAGGUAAUGGAAUUAAUCAAAUUGAGUAGAAAAGGUAGGGAUUGAAAGUUCAAAGGAAAGUGUUCAAAUUGGUCCAAGAAAUAGGGAAAUCAGUAAAACAAGGAAAGAAUCAAUCAUAAUUACACAAGGAGGUUUGAAAUUAGUCCACAAUUGAAGGUCAUUUCAGAGGGAAAUUCAGCAUAUAAAGAGUGCAUAAACAUUAGGCAUGCAAGGCUGAAUUUAUGACAAAGAGAAGUGUCACGCAAUCACAAAAUCAGUAAGUAGUGGACUACCGAAACAUAGUAGUCACAUAGGCCAAUUUCAGUAAUUUUAGUAAUAGAGAAAAGAAAGAGUAUCAAAUAGUACGCAAAAGGGGUCAAGUAAAAGACAUUAUAGAGUUUAGCAGGAAGUCAGAAUCAUAUAAAGAAACAAAAGAUUUUGAAAUUCAGUCGAGCAACAGGUGAAGCAACUUUAGAAACUUGAAUAGGUUCAAAGGAAUUAGGGUUUUGAAACCUAUCGAAUUCAGAGUAUGACGAACGAGUAAAUCACAUAGCAAAUAGUUUCAGGACUAGAAUGAACCCCAAAUUUUAGGGGUUUCACCAUCACUCGAGUAUAGAGAUGAAAAACAAGUAAAUCAGGCAAAAAUAUCAACAAAAUAAAAUCAGAAAACUCAAGAAGGAACUAAGACUUUUAAUCAUGCACACUCCAGUAGAAGAACAACAUAAAGAAACACAGUAGAACAUGCUAAAGAUCAGAGAAAGCUUCUAAAUAACUUAACCAAACCCUAAAUCGGAAAAGAUAAAGGUUCUGAAGGUAAAGUUUUGAAAGAAACUUUGAGAAAAUGUUUAGAAGUUUAGAGUAAACACAGAUCUACAACGGAUCUAAAAGAAUCGGAAGAACCUUGAAGGUUAGGGUUUCAGAAGAACCAAGAUAGUGAGAAAGGCUUGGAAAGUCAUUGAUUUAAGUAAGAGAAGUCAAGAUCGGGCUCGAAUAGCCAUGGCUGGCCGGAGCAAGGUCGGAGACAGCCAUAGAACUGAAAUCAACCCAGGUCUAGAACAAAACUUCUUCAAGGUCUGGCCUUGAAAACAUGAUAAUCAGGUAGGUAGAAGUCAUAGGAGGUAGAUACAGGCCUUUAAUGGCUUUGGAAGGCAUUGAUUCAAGCGAUUUUAGGGUGGUGGUUGGAGGUGGCGGCCAGGGUUUGAGAGAGAAUUGGGAGAGAAGGGGGUUCGAAGGCGGCUGAAGAUGAGAAAUGACUAGGGUUUGGGGGUAAUAAGGAAUUAAAAAGGAAAGGUUAAAUGGUGGCCGUUGAUCAUUAUGAUCAACGGCCUAGAUUGAAUGGGGAUUCGGGCGGGUUGUUUAAAAAGGGUCAUGGGUCUGGUAGAUUAGGAUUUGGGUCAGGGUAAUGGGGCCUCAGGUUGGGUUUAAUUGGGAUGCCAAAUCUGGCCAAAAUUGAAAUGAAAAUGGGCUAACAAUUAAAUAGCCACUUUUCCAUUAUUUACUUUAUAAAAAAUAGUAAAAAUAAUUUAUGUAAAUAAAUUAAAAGUACUAAAAUAAUUAAAAAUACAUAAUUAUUAAAUUAAAAAUAUUGUCCCUAAUUUUUAUGGACAUAAACGUAAUUAAAUCUAAAUGGGGCUAAUAUUGCAAUUAUAUGCAAUUUAGCUUUAAGAAAUACUAAAUAAAUUUGUAAUAAUAUGCAAAAAUUAUAUUAGCUAUAUUUUAGUAUAAAUAUAUGAAUCCAAUAAAUGAAUCACCAAAAAAUGAUAAUUUUGGGAAUAAUUAUUGGGUUUUUCUUGGUAAAAAUAGGCAAUAAGUCGAUUUUAAAAUAUCUAAAAAUUAAGGAAAAAUAAUAAAACAUUUGAAUAUGCUUACAUAUACAUAUACAUGCUAUUUUGAAGGUAUUUUUCAUAUGAAAAAAUAUAUAGGGAAAAAUUGGGUAUCAACAGUUGUUCCUCUUUACCCGAGAAGGAUGAAAGAGUUGUCGGGUAAAGAUAUGAUGGCCAAUUUUGACCGAACGAAAUGGUUCGAGGAGACUUAGGCCGUGCUCUAGUUUCUGAGCUGCCUACAUAUCCCUGGUCUUACAGGAAUCAGGCCAUAUGUAGUUCAGGAUCCAUCAGCAGAGUAUGCCGAUGGAGACUUUCAAGAACGGACGCAGUAUUUAGGACGAGGCGAAUGGUUGAAGUCUAAUAGGGUUGCAGGAACUGGAGCAGAAUCGCUCCUGCCGAGAUAGCCGUUACUCGCCGGUUCACCUGCAAAUAAGUAACGCAAGCGUAUAUUGUGCGUAAAUUUAAACAUGAUGCUAAUUCCCGUCGGACCAUGAAUGAUUGUCUUCGGACGGUUAGGAUGACGUCCUUAGACCAUGAUGUCCUGGGCCAUGAAGCAUGUAAUAAAGGAUUCGAAGUCCAUGAAAUGAUGCUCUCGGGCUAUGGGNNNNNNNNNNNNNNNNNNNNNNNNNNNNNNNNNNNNNNNNNNNNNNNNNNNNNNNNNNNNNNNNNNNNNNNNNNNNNNNNNNNNNNNNNNNNNNNNNNNNNNNNNNNNNNNNNNNNNNNNNNNNNNNNNNNNNNNNNNNNNNNNNNNNNNNNNNNNNNNNNNNNNNNNNNNNNNNNNNNNNNNNNNNNNNNNNNNNNNNNNNNNNNNNNNNNNNNNNNNNNNNNNNNNNNNNNNNNNNNNNNNNNNNNNNNNNNNNNNNNNNNNNNNNNNNNNNNNNNNNNNNNNNNNNNNNNNNNNNNNNNNNNNNNNNNNNNNNNNNNNNNNNNNNNNNNNNNNNNNNNNNNNNNNNNNNNNNNNNNNNNNNNNNNNNNNNNNNNNNNNNNNNNNNNNNNNNNNNNNNNNNNNNNNNNNNNNNNNNNNNNNNNNNNNNNNNNNNNNNNNNNNNNNNNNNNNNNNNNNNNNNNNNNNNNNNNNNNNNNNNNNNNNNNNNNNNNNNNNNNNNNNNNNNNNNNNNNNNNNNNNNNNNNNNNNNNNNNNNNNNNNNNNNNNNNNNNNNNNNNNNNNNNNNNNNNNNNNNNAAGUAAAAAUAGCAAAUGGUCAUAAAGCUUUCUUAGCUAAUAGCAGAUUGCGAUAUUGUGACUGCUGGGGACAUCGUGACAUACAGAAUGCCACUGGUGUUUGUAGAUAUCAGCUGUGAGUAAAUGCAGCGGUUCUGAGAGUUGUAUUCCUGAACAAUAUAAGGGUAUAGUAUAUUUGAUGAUUUUGCAACCCAAGUGCCUUUCUUGCUACGGAAUUUUUAAGGUCCUCCUCAAAAUUCUGCCCUAGUUUACUGGGUUGCUGCUUCUGCCCCAAUUUCCAAUCGUAGGGGGAAAUGAAAAUUUUUAUUGAAUAGUGAUCGAACCCAUUGGGCUGCCUAUGUAUCCCCUCUUAAACAGGAAUUAGGUCAGGCGUAGUUCAAUUUACAUCAUAUAGGAAAGAAUAAGAUUACACAUAGUAACGCUUGAGUGCAUCUGAAUUGAUCGGAUCUGGCCAGACUUCUCUGUCCAUUUUUGCAAGUAUGAGGGCUCCUCCUGUCAGGACCAGUGAACCAUGUAUGGACACUGCCAGUUUGGAGAGAACUUCCCUUUGGCUUCAUCUUGAUGCGGGAAAAUUUUCUUUAACACCAGCUGCCCCGGUGUGAACUGUCUUGGCUUGACUCUUUUGUUGAAGGCUUUGGACAUCGUAUUUCUAUAAAGCUAACCGUGGCAAACUACAUUCAUUCUCUUUCCAUCUAUAAGAGCUAGCUGCUCAUAACGACUCUUCACCCAUUCUGCAUCGUCGAGUUCUGCUUCCUGUAUGAUUCUUAAUGAAGGAAUUUCCACCUCGGCGUGAAUGAUGGCUUCUGUACCAUAAACUAGCAUAUAGAGGGUUGCCCCGGUUGAUGUGUGGACUGUGGUGCGAUACCCCAAUAGAGCAAAUGAUAGAUUCUCGUGCCACUGCUUAUAAUUCUCUAUCAUUUUCCUUAGUAUCUUUUUGAUAUUCUUGUUGGAGGCCUCUACAAAUCCAUUCAUCUGCGUCCUAUAGGCUGUGGAAUUCUUGUGUUUGAUUUUGAAGGUUUCACACAUAGCUUCAUCAAGUCACUGUUGAGAUUAGAGCCAUUAUCAGUGAUGAUUGACUCUGGAAUUCCGAAUCGACAAACAAUGUGGUCGUGGACAAAGUCUGCCACGACUUUCUUAGUCAUUGCUCUGUAAGAUGCUGCUUCAACCCAUUUGGUGAAAUAGUCGACGGCUACUAGGAUGAACCUGUGUCUGUUGGAAGCAGCGGGCUCGAUUGGUCCAAUAACAUCCAUUCCCCAAGCGGCGAACGGCCAUGGCGAGCUUGUUGCAUUAAGCUCAUUCGGAGGUACCUUUAUCAUGUCUGCAUGUAUCUGGUAGCGGUGGCAUUUCCAGACAUACUGUAUGCAGUUUGUCUCUAUAGUCAUGCAAAAGUAACUAGCUCGGAGUAUCUUCUUUGCUAAGACAAAGACAUUCAUAUGUGGACCGCAGGUCCCAGCGUGAAUUUCCUCUAGUAGCCUGGAUGCUUCUUUUGCGUCGACACACCUUAGUAAUCCCAAAUCAUGAGUCCUCUUAUAUAGGAUUCCUCCGCUAUAAAAGAAAUUAUUGGACAACCUCCGAAGUGUGCAUUUCUGAGUAGGAUUUGCAAGUUCUGGGUAUUCGCCUUUUGCCAAAUAUUCCUAAAUAUCAUGAGGCCAAGGCUUUCCGUCUGCUUCUUCUUCAACAUGGGCACAAUAAGAUGGUUGAUCAUGGAUCUUUACUGGAAUGGGAUCAAUGAAGUUCUUGUAUGGAUGUUGUAUCAUGGAUGAUAGGGUAGCCAAUGAAUCGGCGAACUCAUUCUGGACUCUGGGAACAUGUUGGAAUUCCAUCUUUGUGAACCUCUUUCUCAAUUCCUGUACAUGAUGCAAAUACGGGAGUAUCUUGGAGUUCUUGGUUGCCCACUCUUCUAGGACCUGAUGUAUAAGCAAGUCUGAAUCUCCAAUCACUAGCAAUUCUUGAAUUUUCAUGUCGAUGGCCAUCUUGAGCCCUAAGAUGCAAGAUUCAUAAUUGCGCGGGAAUCUGAGUUUGGCAGACACUGGGUAAUGUUGACCGGUUUCUGAUACUAGGACUAUCCUAUGCCAACUCCUUUGAAAUUUGCUGCUCCAUCGAAAACCAUUCUCCAACCAUCAUAGAAUUCUGCAAUGUCUUCUCCUUUGAACGAUACCUCUUCGUCAGGAAAAUACAUUUUUAGGGGUUCGUACUCUCCAUCCACGAGAUUUUCAGCAAGGUGAUCUGCUAGUUCCUGUCCCUUGAUUUCCUUCUGAGUCACAUAGACAAUGUCAAAUACACUCAAUAGGACUUGUUACUUGGCUAGCUUGCCAAUGGGCAUGAGCUUCUGAAAGAUGUACUUCAAAGGAUCCAUCCUUGAUAUGAGAUAUGUAGUGUAAGUAUAGAAGUAGUGCCUCAACUUCUGAGCUACCCAAGUCAAAGCACAACAGAUGCGCUAUAAAAGAGUAUACCAGGACUCGUACGGGGUGAACUUCUUGUUGAGAUAAUAGAUGGACUGCUCCUUCGUCCCCGUCUCAUCAUGCUGCCCUAGAACGCAACCGAAAGCUUCAUCCAAUACUGCAAGGUAGAGUAAUAGAGGUCUUCCUAGCUCGGGUGGGACCAAAACCGGUGGUGUUGACAGGUACUCCUUGAUUCUAUCGAAAGCUUUCUGGCAUUCAUCAGUCCAUUUGGUAGCGGCGUCUUUCUUUAACAUCUUAAAGAUUAGAUCACAGAUAACUGUAGACUGUGCUAUGAACCGGCUAAUGUAAUUGAGUCUCCCCAAGAAACUCAUCACGUCCUUCUUAUUUUUUGGCGGUGGCAAUUCUUGAAUAGCUUUGACCUUUGAUGGAUCUAGUUCUAUUCAUUGGCCACUCACAAUAAACCCAAGUAGUUUUUCGGCAGGAACCCCAAAUGCACAUUUUGCGGGAUUCAGUUUCAGGUUGUACCUUCACAGUCUGUUGAAAAAUUUCCUCAAAUAUUCCAUGUGAUCAGUGGCUUUCUGGGACUUGAUAAUAACAUCAUCUACGUACACCUAUAUCUCCUUGUGUAUCAUAUCAUGGAAAAUGGUAGUUAUGGCCCUCAUGUAGGUGGCCUACACAUUCUUUAACCCAAACAACAUCAUCUUGUAAUAGUACAUUCCCCACGGCGUAAUGACAACCAUUUUCUCAGCAUCUUNNNNNNNNNNNGAAACAAUCUACAAAUGAUUGCAACUCAUGCUUAGCAUAAUUAUCAAUCAGGAUGUGUAUGUUUGGUAAGAGGAAGUCGUCUUUCGGACUGGCCCGAUUGAGAUCCCGGUAGUCGACAUAGACUCUGACCUUCCCGUCCUUCUUUGGUACUAGCAUGAUGUUGGCUAACCAUAUCGGGUAUUCUACUACCCUAAGAACCUUAGCUAUGACCUGCUUAGUGACCUCUUCCUUGAUUUUCAGACUCAUAUCAGGCUUGAAUUUCCUGAGCUUUUGCUUUACUGGCGGACAUGUUGGAUCAGUUGGCAGUUUGUGAGCCACAAUAGAUGUACUUAGACCAGUCAUGUCAUCAUACGACCAGGCGAAUAUGUCCUCAUAUUCCUUUAGAAAUUCCGUGUAUUCCUUCUUUUCUGACGGUGAUAAGUGGACGCUGAUUCGUGUUUCUUUGACGUUUUCUGCAUCUCCUAGGUUAAUAACUUCUGUUUUGUCCAGGUUGUACUUAGGCCUGUUCUCAAAGCUCUCAACAUCCUUAACAAUCUCUUAUGGUGUGUCAUCCUCCUCUGUAUCAUGUCCGUUUGUUGCGUUGUCUCGUUGCAUGUCACAGUCAUUGGUUCAUCAAGAUAAGUAAUAGUAAUGCUGUAUAAGUAAAGUUAUAAGAGAAAACAAUAGUAAUAAGCAUCGUAAUGUAAGAAAAUUCAAAAUGCUUUGAUAAAUUGCAUAAUUGUUUUGAACACUGGCGAUCUUAUUGUAGGAAUUGAAAACAUGCGAGAGAAAAAUAACAAUCUUUUAGUAAAUCAAAACAGUGCUUGUUUUAGCCUUGCUACCCCGAGGCUCAUCAGGCUUUGGUUGUCCUGAUGGUCUAGUUAUUGAGGUGGUCCCCUCUGCUUACGGCCUGUAUGGAAGGGCAUUCCUCCCCCUCCUCCUCGAGAACAACACAACAAUCCAUGUUAUUAUCCUCUAAUAACAAGUUUCUCAUAGCUGCCAGUGCUUCUUAUUCUUCUGACCCGUAGAUAACAUCGGCCGGUUGGAAAGUCUGCUCCAAUGUGGUAUUGGCUUCUCCAGUGGAUAGUAAGGACCGCGCCAUGGUGGCAACCAGCUAUUGAAUUCUUCCUAGGUGUACUCAUAUCCCAGACCGAAAGUGGUUCCAUGUUUCUUGAGUUUUAUAGGCUUAGUGAUUCCUUGGAGGUUCUUGCCAAGCCCCUUGCUAGGUUCGUACCCACUCCAAUUCAGUAUACUCUCGAUCUUGUUAUCCCACCAUUUUUCUUUGUCAACAGCAUUCACCCGUUCAAUGUGAUGGUAAGUCUCUCUACCUAGCUUCUUUCUCCCUUCGAUUGAUGGAAUGGUCUGGUGACUGUAUAUGGGGUUGCUACCGUCGCCGUGAAUGAUCACCUCCUGGUGAUUCCAUUCAAACUUUACUGCCUGAUGUAGUGUCGAUGCUAUGACCUGGCAGCAUGAAUCCAUGGCCGUCCCAAUAGCAGAUUGUAAGAUGUUAGCACGUCUAUCACAUGAAAAUCAACAUCGAACCAAGUUGGUCCCAUUUGUAAGCACGGACUAAUUUCCCCAAUGGUGGACCUUUUGGAACCGUCGAAAGCUUUCACGUUGAUAGCUCCAUCCUUAUCUCGUGCAAUCCCUUACCCAAUUUCUUGAGUGUUACCAGUGGACAAACAUUAAGACUAGAAACCCUGUCGAUCAAGAUCCUAGUGAUAAAGUAGUCCUCGCAUUGCAUAGUGAUGUACAAUGCCUUGUUGUAACCCAACCGUUCAGGCGGUAGCUCAUCCUCAUGAAAAGUAAUUUUGUGACUUUCCUGUACCUGUCCGACCAUGUUGGCCAUUUCUCCACCAAUAAUGUUGCUUAGCACGUAUGCUUCACUUAGAACCCUCAACAAAACAUUCUUGUGUGCCUCAGAAUUUUGUAGCAAAGCAAGUAUGGAGACCCGCUAGUGUUUUGUUCAACUGGUCAAUGAUUGAGUAUUCCUUGGCCCGUAUCUUUCUCCAAAGAUCGUUUGGUCUCAUCUCAAUGAUGGGCGACCGAUUAGAGGCCUGCUUGCUUGACUCAGCUAGGUGUUCCAGGGUAUAGACCCUACCAGUUCAUGUCAUACCUUGUGCGGCAAUAGUUUCCUCUAACCUAACCUUGCCUUUCCUCCUUCCCUCAGCUGUAUAGUCCUAUGGUAUAGCUUUUGUGUGAAAUGGUAUCAUGGUCGACAUCGCCAUUGGGAUCAACGCUACUAUAUUUACUCCGAAUGGAGCAUGGGCCUUGGGUGGAAAAACUACAACUUCGAAUGGCGUAGGUACGUGCUGGAGACACGAAUUCGACCUCAAUUGGCACUGGUUUCUUUGCAGAUGACGUGGUUUCAAAAUCAAGUGGCACAGACAUAUUUAUCUCAAUGUUCCCCGAGGGGUGAAUCAGGACUAAUAUCGGUUUAAGAGUAAUUAUCGGCUUCUUUGGGUCAUCACCUUCUGCGAUCAAUCUGAUAGACCGCUCAGGAUCCCAAUCAUCCUCUAUUUCAAUCAUGUGAAUGCUUCUACCCUUAUGGUUUGGCAGAGGGUUGUUGCAGACAUUCGGAGCGGGUUCCUUUGCCCCAAUAAUUUUGUUGUCAAUCAGAGCCUGGAUCUUGUCUUUCAAAGAACGACAUUCGUCGAUGGUGUGUCCCUUCAUGACGGAAUGGUAUGCACAAGAUUUGUUUGGAUUAACCCACUGAGAAGGGUUCUCAGGGGUUAUAGAAGGGAUAGGGGUGACAUAACCAGCAGCUUUGAGUCUCUCGUACAAUUGGUCAAUGGGUUCGGCAAUGGCUGUAUACUGUUUAGGAGGUCUGCGAUCAAAAUUUAGUCGAGGUCUAGGAAUGUUUUGGCGUGUAGGAGGUGAUUGAUGGUGGGAUGGUUGAGCAUUGUAGGCUUGGUAAACAUGUGCGGGUUGGGAAUAUCUGGGUGAACUAAGUUGAUAUAUGGGUGGUGGAGAUGAUUGAUAAGUGGGUGGUGGAGUUUGGUAAGAGGGUGAGGGUGCUUGGUAGUUUGGAGUAGGCUGAUAUGUGAGUGAAGUAAUUGGAUAGGUUUGGUAUUUGAUGGGAGAUUUGGUUCUCUGUGCCACCAUUACGGCUCCUACAUUCCUUUUCUUGGAUAUACCACCGGACUGUAAGGCUUUAUUUGUAUCUUGCAAGGCCUCGAGGUUCGUAACCAUACCACUUUUGAUGCCUUCUUCAAUCCUUUCACCCAGCUUGAUAAUGCCAGAAAAUUUGUGGCUCUCAAUCAUCAUCAGUCUUUCAUAAUACUGCAGGACCUGAGCCCGGACAACGGAUUUGUUCAUCUGUUCCUCUUCUAAGGUAGGUCUGACCUUAGCAGUUUCGGACCUCCAGCGAGUAGCAUACUCGCAAAAUGUUUUUGUAGGUUUUUUCUUUAGAUUCUGAAUGUGGAACACAUCCAACGCAUUCUUCGUGUUGAACCUGAACCUAUCCAUAAAAUCGGACUCCAUGCCUACCCAACUUGACCAAUUCUUCGGAUCUUGGCUAAUGUACCAAGAUAGAGCAUCUCCUUUCAGACUCCUCAUGAAAAGCUUCAUGCAGAUUCUCUCGUCUUUCCCUACUCCAACCAGCUUGUCACAGUACGUUCUCAAAUGGACCCUUAGAUCCCCUGUACCAUCAAACAUCUCGAACUUAGGAGGUUUGUACCCCUCGGGUAGUUUGACAUCGGUCUGUAUGCAAAUAUCUUCAUAAUUUAGCCCUUUAAUUCCCUUGCUUCCUUCAACGCCUUGAAUCCGGCUAGUCAAUUUCUUAAGUUCUUCGUCCAGAUUCCUGAUGAGUGAGUCUUUAUCAUCAGACUCGGGUGUACUUGAGAUAGGUUGGGUGGAGUGUGACAUGGUCUCCACAUAGAUGGGGGUGUUGUGAUGGGUGUGGAAGUGGUCAUUUGUGGAGUUUUGAGGUUCCGGGAUGAGCAAUAGGGUAUUGUUGGAAGUAUGGCAGGUGUUGCAGUGGUGGUGAGGAGCGGGAGGGUUUUGCGGCUUUGGGAUAUUUUGUGGAGGUGUGGGGUUCUUAGAAUUUGGGAAAUUGACAUUGGGAGUGGUGAGGUCAAAUGACAGGUUUGCCGGACUCCAAACCUGAUCAAGUUCUUCUUAGAAUUUUAGCAUAUUUUGUUCAAGUUGGGAUGCAUUUUCCUUAGGAACCAGAGUGCCAUGACCAUAAGUGACAUCUACCCGUUCAGUUGAGUUCUCCUUUUUGGCGUUGUUCAAAUCUUCCAUUUUUCCUUUGUUCUUGUUUUUGAUAGGACUAAGAGGAGGAGCGGGUGGAGGAUGUUGCCAGAAUGCAUGAACUAACUUUUGGGGAGGGGAAUAGAUAAACAAAAAGUAAAAACAAAAAGGUAACAAGUUAGUGAGGAUCAUAAAAAAUAUUGCGAUAUUUAAACACAUAGUGUGGGAUGUAAAACGUGUCCUAAUUUGGGAACCUCUUUGUGCUCGAGGUAGGGCUAGCGACAAAUUAAUUUGGAGCAUUUAGAAUGCUAAAUGCCUCAUUUUAUUGAUAGAAAAUAGGACGAAUCCCAAAUCGACACUAAACAAACAGGAAGUGAAAAUCACUAAUGGCCAUUGACCUUAUUACAUUUUAUAAAGUGAAAAGAAAAACUCCUAUCUACUUGGUCCCAGAAAGACCUUCCUCGGGUUGAAUGCUCUCAUUGAUCUAAUCCUCCAGUUCGCAUAGGUUCAGCAAUAAAAAUGCCUUGGCCAGGUGCUCUUCUUCAUUUCCCUCAGCGUUCUGGCAGUUGGUGACUCUCUUCCUUACUUUUCCUUCUAAUUCCAGCAGACUGUAUUCCAGAUAUUCCAACUUGUUGCUAGCUCUGGCGGACCUCUCUUUUCACUCAUUGAUUUGGUCAUCUGAUGGAAGACUCCUCCACCAGUCUAGCAAGAGUGGGGGCGUACUAAUCAUCCCGAAACUGGGGACCUCGUGCCUCAUAUUCCUGCAAGACAAAUAAGGUUAUGCCCUUACCCCCACCAGACUCGGCUAUUUAAUAUCAACAAUCGGCAUAAAAACAUUUAGUUCUCCAAAUUAAUGCUCCGAACGUGGUAGUAUUCUGAGCGGACAACUCAAGGCGGAAAGGCACAGAAUCAUCGACUACAUCGUUGAUCGACUAGUUUUACCGUAAAUAAGCCUUUUCCGGAUUUAGGGGGUGGUGAUAAUAUCGAAAGAGCGCAACCACUCAUUAUAAGCAUUGCUAUAGGAUUUUUUUGGCAUCAGUGGAAUAUGAUGUUGAGCAUGAUUAUGCAACAAUUAAAGGCAUAUUGUCACGUAUUUGCACGUUUAAGAAAGCAAUAAAUACAACAAUUUCAUAAUUUAAAGCGGUAAUGAAGGAAAGCAGUAAGUGAAAGAAACAGAAAGACAAGUCAGUUUUGCAAUCAAAAAGUAAAUUUAAUGCUUAAAAGAAAUAAACAAAUAAUUGCGCAUAAAGAAGCAUAAAUUCACAAUAAUAGUCUGAAAUGGUAAAAGCCUAAAAUUCCCCAGCAGAGUCGCCACGCUGUCGCGCCCUUUUUUUCUCACGAAAUCAGGUUUAUGACAUUUGGAAGGACAACUCGUUCCUUUUGGGAACUGAGUUUGAAUUUUGAAGAGUCACCACCUAAUGAUUUAAGGUGAAUUAGGACACCAAAAGAGUUUGAUUUGAAUAACCAGAGAGAGGAUAAGGGCUUGAAAUUAUUUUAAUGGCAAGGUGUUAGGCACCCCUUAGAAUCCACUAGUGUAGUUCCCGACAAGACAAUUAAUGUGAAUUUGUUGCAAUUAACAUGUAGACAAAUAAGGCUCAAAUAAGAGGGGAUUUCACAUAAUAGUUUUAAAGUAAACAAAGUUUGAAAGAACAAAUAGAAAAGCUGAUUUUUUAAAAGAAGGAAUUGAAAUGCUAAAGAAUAAAGAGAGGAGGGGUGUCCUAGGUUUAUUAAAAAUAUGGAUCACCCCACAUAAUGUCCGGUAAUCACUCCUUAAUGAGGGGCUACACGUGACAUUAUCACGUGGUCAUCAUAUCCAUAUCUAAACUUCCCACCCCGUUAAAGUAUUAAAGCGCGGAUUGGUCUCGAUUACUUAUUGCAUGUUAUUACCCAUCCCAUUCCUAUCAGUCCCGGAGGCACUUAGGACUACUAAUCCUAAAAGGGAGGGAUGUUAGGCUUAUUUGGAGUUUCAAAGGUAAAAAUUCUAAAGCGACAUACAAAACACAUAUGCAUGUUUGGGGGAAAUAUAUAAACAAACAGAGGCUCAUGUAUACCUCCUCAAAACACAUAAAAUAGCAUGCCUUGCACAUACUGUUUAGGUAUGAUUUAAAAGCAUUAAAGACGAGGGAGAUGAAACUGUUGAGGCAGUUUUAGUUUAUUGCAUAACUCAGAUAAAAAGCCCAAAUCAAGCUUGUUUGCUGGUUGUAAUGAUUAACAGAAGCAGAUUCAGUUUUCAAUUAUUGCUCUAAGGAUUGCGUAAGUGUUAGCCAGGGUCCUAUAGGCAUGAUAUCUACUGAAUUCAAAAGGUAAUGAGACAGUAAAACUUGGAAUGAUUUAUUUGAAAUCCUAUUUGCAUACUUGUUAAACCGGCUAAGUGAGGGACUUAGAAUAUUAAAAGAGAUGCUGAACAAACAAUGUUAACUAAAUUGGUUACAGGUUCUGCGGGUGAUAGCAUCUAAUAUUACUAAUUUUAUAGCUAACACCGAGUGAAGCGAAUCAGAUUCAUUUAGAAAUCCUAUGGGCAUGCUUUCUAUGCAUUGCUGAUUUUAAAGCCUUAUAGACGUAGUGUCGAAAUGCAGAAAACCUUGUAGACAUGAUAUCUAUAUGUAGAAGCCAUAUAGACAUGGUAUCUAUAUGUAGUUGAAUAUGCAGAAUUAGAACAGUCCUACAGGCAUGAUUUCUAUAUGGAGUUGAAUAUGCAGAAUUAGAACAGUCUAUAGGCAUGAUUUCUAUAUUUAGUUGAGUAUGCAAAAAUUAAAACAUUCCUAUAGGCAUGGUUUCUACCCCUUGCAUGCAUAUUUACCCACCUUUUUUCACUAGCCAGCCCCAAUUGUUUAUUACAACUUAUUACAAACCAGAAUAAAUUACAUCAGAAAGAAAGUACAACCGGAAGAGGCCUGAUUCUUGACUUCCUCUCUGAGUUACAAGAUAAACCAACUCAAAGACCAUUGAUCCAAAGUCUUUCUCCAAUUUGAGUGUGUCAGAGUUCCCUAAGAGCCUCAAUGGGACUCCGGGCAGUGCUCACACCCAAACUGUAUUACCAGAAUAGGGACAAGUGUAGUGUGAAAGGGCCAGCCCUCAAGUAUCCAAGUUCAGAGAGAGCUUAGAGGGUCCCAAGGUAAGGCUCACAAGAGGGGGCAGAACUUAAAUCUAAGAGAGAGUGCAAGUGAAGAAAUAGAGUUCUGAGGGAAUAAAGGAGAGGGAAAGAGGUGUUGGGGAACAGACAUAGACAAGUUGAUAAUUUCAUACAAAAGGAAUUCAGGGGUUGGGAACUUAUAAAGAGCCUAUGUACUUAGGAAUUAGUUAAUUCUGGGCAUGCACAACAAUAAGCAGUGUUGUUAUGCUUACAAAAUCAACCAGAAUACACAACACAUAAUGAUAACAUAGAGGCUAUGAUGCCUGGGGAAUCAAGUUUGAGUCAUAGACAACAUUACUUUAUAUUGUCAUGCCUCAAACAAGCCAUCAGUAUCAAACAUAUUGGGGUAGGGGUUUACGACACAUAAUAGAUUCAAAACAGGUAGAAGGAGAUUACAACAUGCUAAAAUAAGUACUAAAUUGAUCACAAGCAGUAGACAGAUAAGAAGGCAAAAGUAUUAAGUAAACAUAUUGUUGUUGAUGCUGAAAUCUUAAUCAGAACAUACCAGUUUAGAGAAGCAAAAUAAAGUAAAAGCAGGUAGCAGGACUUUGAAGGCAGGCCACAGUACAAGUAGUAAAGCAAGAGAAUGUUUUUGAAUGUAAGUAAUUUUAGAACUAAGUGUGUUUGUGUAUGUCUAUGUUAAUGAAAGAGCAGGGUAUUUAUACUAUGGAAACAGGCAAAACAAUAAUUAUGGAACUGUGUACCAAUUAAAAUCAAUCAGUAUAAGAGCUUCCUUUAAUUAAGGAGUUAAAAUUAAACGAUAACAUUUAAAUACUAAAUAAGGAAAACAAUCACAUAAGGCUGAAUAUGACUAAUAAGGAAGUAACUUCAGCACAGUAUAAGUACACAAUAGGUAAUAGAGACUAGGUUCAUCAGAUUCCAAUCAAGGAAAGGUCUGUAAGAAUCAAAUACCAAUAUAAUCAAGGUAAGGGAAUUAAUCAAAUUGAGUAGAAAAGGUAGGGAUCAAAAAUUCAAAGGAAAGUGUUCAAAUUGGUCCAAGAAACAGGGAAAUCAGUAAAACAAGGAAAGAAUCAAUCAGAAUUACACAAGGAGGUUUGAAAUCAGUCCACAAUUGAAGGUCAUUUUAGAGGGAAAUUCAGCAUAUAAAGAGUGGAUAAACAUUAGCCAUGCAAGGUUGAAUCUUUGACAAAGAGAAGUGUCACGCAAUCACAAAAUCAGUAAGUAAUGGACUACCGAAACAUGGUAGUCACAUAGGCCAAUUUCAGUAAUUUAGUAAUAGAGAAAAGAGAGAGUAUAAAAUAGCAUGCAAAAAGGGUCAAUUAAAAGACCUUAUAGAGUUUAGCAAGAAGUCAGAAUCAUAUAAAGAAACAAAAGAUUUUGAAAUUCAGUCGAGCAACAGGUGAAGCAACUUCAGAAACUUGAAUAGGUUCAAAGGAAUUAGGGUUUUGAAACCCAUCGAAUUCAAAGUACGACGAACGAGUAAAUCAUAUAGCAAAUAGUCUCAUGACUCGAAUGAACCCCAAAUUUUAGGGUUUUCACCAUCACUCGAGUAUAGAGAUGAAAAACAAGUAAAUCAGGCAAAAAUAUCAACAAAAUAAAAUCAGAAAACUCAAGAAGGAACUAAAACUUUUAAUCAUGCACACUCCAGUAGGAGAGCAACAUAAAGAAACAUAGUAGAACAUGCUAAAGAUCAGAUAAAGCUUCUAAAUAACUUAACCAAACCCUAAAUCGGAAAAGAUAAAGGUUCUGAAGGUAAAAUUUUGAAAGAAACUUUGAGAAAAUGUUUAGAAGUUUAGAGUAAACACAAAUCUACAACGGAUCUAAAAGAAUCGGAAGAACCUCGAAGGUUAGGGUUUCAGAAGAACCCAGAUGGUGAGAAAGGCUUGGAAAGUCAUUGAUCUAAGCAAGAGAAGUCAAGAUCAGGCUCGAAUAGCCAUGGCUGGCCGGAGCAAGGUCGGAGACAGCCAUAGAACUGAAAUCAACCAAGGUCUGGACCAAAAUUUCUUCAAGGUCUGGCCUUGAAAACAUGAUAAUCAGGUCAGUAGAAGUCAUAGGAGGUAGAUACAGGCCUUUAAUGGCUUUGGAAGCCAUUGAUUCAGGCGAUUUUAGGGUGGUGGUUGAAGGUGGCGGCCAGGGUUUGAGAGGGAGUUUGAGAGAGAAUUGGGAGAGAAGGGGGUUUGAAAGGCAGCUGAAGAUGAGAAAUGACUAGGGUUUGGGGUAAUGGGGAAUUAAAAAGGAAAGGUUAAAUGGUGGUUGUUGAUCAUUUUGAUCAACGGCUUGGAUUAAAUGGGGAUUCGGGCGGGUUGUUUAAAAUGGUUCGUGGGUCUGGUUGAUUAGGAUUUGGGUCAGGGUAAUUGGGCCUCAGGUUGGGUUUAAUUGGGAUGCCAAAUCCGGCCAAAAUUGAAAUGAAAAUGGGCUAACAUUUAAAUAGCCAUUUUUCCCUUAUUUACUUUAUAAAAAAUAGUAAAAAUAAUUUCUUGAAAUAAAUUAAAAGUACUAAAAUGAUUAAAAAUACAUAAUUAUUAAAUUAAAAUAUUGGCUCUAAUAAUUAUGGACAUAAUCGUAAUUAAAUCUAAAUGGGGCUAAUAUUGCAAUUAUAUGCACUUUAGCUUUAAAAAAUACUAAAUAAAUUUGUAAAAAUAUGUAAGAAUUAUCUUAGCUAUAUUUUAGUAUAAAUAUGCGAAUCCAAUAAAUGAAUCACCAAAAAUGAUAAUUUUGAAAAUAAUUAUUGGGUUUUUCUUGGUAAAAAUAGGCAAUAAAUCGAUUUAAAAAUAUCUAAAGAUUAAGGAAAAAUAAUAAAACACUUGAAUAUGCUUACAUAUACAUAUACAUUAUAUUUUGAAGGUAUUUUUCAUAUGAUAAAAUAUACAGGGAAAAAUUGGGUAUCAACACCGUGAUGUCCUCGAUAGCUUUGAUCUAGUCGGGGUUGAUCUUGAUCCCUCGGUUGGAUACCAUGAAUCUGAGAAAUUUACCAGACCCGACCCCGAACGCACACUUUUCUAGAUUUAGCUUCAUGUUGUAUUUCUUCAAUAUACUAAAGGUUUCCUGCAAAUGCCUUAAAUGGUCAUCUGCUCGCAGGGACUUAACUAACAUAUCGUCAAUAUAUACUUCCAUGGUUUUCCCUAUUUGUUCUUCAAACAUUCGGUUUACUAGUCGUUGGUAAGUGGCACCGACAUUUUUUAAUCCAAAUGGCAUUAUGUUAUAGUAGUAUGUGCCAUACUUAGUGAUGAAAGAGGUUUUUUCUUGGUCACCCGGGUUCAUCCGUAUUUGGUUGUACCCGGAAUUAGCAUCGAGAAAUUGAGAAUCUUAUGGCCACCUAUAGCAUCGAUCAUGCGAUCGCUGUUAGGCAAAGGGAAAGAAUCUUUGGGGCAUGCUUUAUUUGCAUCUUUAUAAUCUACACACAUUCUUAGUUUGUUCCCUUUCUUAGGAACUACUACUACGUUCGCUAACCAUUCUGGGUAUUUAACCUCCUAGAUGGACCCUAUUUGAAGGAGUUUAGCUGCCUCGUCCUUGAUGAAGGCAUGCUUGAUCUCGGAUCGAGGUCUCCUUUUUUGCUUUACUGGAUGGAACUCCGGGUCCAAGCUUAGUUUGUGAGUAGUGAUCUCCAGUGGGAUCCCUGUCAUAUUGAGAUGAGACCAAGCAAAACAAUCCAUAUUAGUUGUAACAAAUUGAACGAGUUCUUUCCUGAGCCCGAGAGUUAACCUCGUGCCUAGGUAUACCUUUCAAUAGGGCAGAUGUUCGAUCAGCACGACCUAUUCUAGCUCUUCGACCAUUGAUUUGGUAGCAUCAGAAUCAUCGGGGGCGACAAAAGGAUCGAGGAACCCCAUAGUCAUCAUCUUCAUCAAUCUCUUGCUUGUCCGAUUAGGUCGAGGCUGAAAUCGAUAAUUGCUAUUUGGCCUCCUGUUUCGCUUUCAAACCUGAGUCCUUUGUCAAUAAGAGUGUUGAAAUUGGAGUUACUUUAUCGAUGGUAAACAUCUCCAUUGCGGCGGGUUGUUCCCUAUAAACCAUCUUUAUCCCCUCUAGUGUUGGAAAUUUUAAUACCUGGUGAAGGGUCGAGGGCACGACCCUCAAAUUGUGGAUCCAUGGUCUUCCGAAUAGGGCAUUGUAUCUCAUGUCCCCCUCGAUUACGUAAAACUUGGUCUCCUGGUGGUACCGACUAUGUUUACAGGCAACGCUAUUUCUCCUUUAGUAGUUUUGCAAGCCAUGUUGAAUUGGUUUAGCACUCGGGCCGCAAGUACGAUCUGGUCCUAUAGUCCGAGUUGUUAUACGACCCUAGAUCAAAUGAUAUUGGCCGAGCUACCUAGAUCAAUUAGCACAUAUUUAACUCGAGUUUUAUUCAUAAGUACAUAAAUUACUAGUGUAUCAUUAUGGGGUUGCAUUAUUUCUUCUGCAUCCUUGUUGUUGAAAGAUAGAGUCCCUUUUGGCAGGUACUCACAAGUCUGGCUUUCUCUUGUGAUUGACACUUUGGUGCAUUUCAUCACCAGACAUUAAGGAACAUCAACCCCUCCAAUGAUCAUAUGGAUGACGUGCUGAGAUUCAUCUUGCUCAUUUUAUUUGUUAGAGUCCCUAUUUCUGAAGUGAUUCUUAGCUCGGUCACUAAGAAAUUCUCGAAGAUGACCGUUGUUGACAAAUCGGGCCACUUCUUCCCUCAAUUGCCGACAAUCCUUUGUCCUAUGGCCAUGUGUGCCAUAUUAUUUGCAUAUUUGGUUGGGAUCCCUUUGUGUUGGAUCAGUUGCAAAGGUCGAGGCCACUUUGUUUCUUUGAUGUGCCCGAUAGCCGAUACGAUGGAAGCCGCAUCAACAUUAAAGUUAUACUCUGACAAUUGUGGCGCCUCUUUAGUUCCAAUAGAACUAUCAAAGCCGUUCUUGCUCAUGAGUCCCCGUUAGCUUGAACCUAGAUCAUUUCUUCUUUCAUUUUGUGUAGAGUAUCGCCUAUAUUUGCUGCUCCUGUGGUUUCCAUUAUAUGGUUGAUAUCAAUCUCUAUUAGACCUUGGUUCUCGGUCAAUAUCCCUCUUGAUUCUAUUACCAGGUCUGAUAGGAUAAACGAACCUAGAAGGAACCCCAAGUUGAUCGUCCUCGACCCUGAUCUUUGAUUGAUACCGAUUGUGCACAUCGACCCAAGUGACAGCUGUGUAUUCUAUUAAAUUCUGCUUCAGCUAUUGUGAAGCCACUAAACUUCGAACGUUGAGACCUUGAGUGAAAUCUUGAACAGCUCAAUCAUCGAUGACCAGUGGGAAGUCCAUCCGUUCCAUUUAGAAUCGAGACACGAAUUCUUUGAGCAUCUCAUUGUCUUUCUGCCUUACCUUGAAAAGGUUCGACUUCCUGGUUUCAACCUUGAUGGCCCCGACGUGUGCCUUUACGAAAGAAUCUGCAAGCAUAGCAAACGAGUCAAUUGAAUUAGGCGGUUAAUUAUGGUACCAUAUCAUAGCACCAUUUGUCAAGGUUUCCCCGAAUUUCUUCAGCAAGACGGAUUCGACAUCGUCAUUUUCUAUGUCAUUCCCUUAAAUAGCACAUGUGUAGGAGGUGAUAUGUUCGUUUGGAUCAGUCGUCCCAUUAUACUCAGGAAUCUCGGACAUGCAAAACUUCUUGAGGAUUGGCUAUAGAGCCGCUCUCGGGGGGAAAGGUUUUUGUACGAACCUUUUGGAAUCCAAUCACUUCAAUAUUGGCGAUGCCCCUGGGAUCUGAUCAACCCUGUAGUUAUAGGUUUCCACCUUCUUGUCAUUUUCCUUGAUCAUCUUUUCCCUAGUCUCGAGUAGUUUUGUCAGUUCUUUGAGCAUCUUCAUGAUAGAGAUUUGUCUCCGAUUCUUUCUCGUUCGAUUUCUUUGAAACUGAUUCAACCCUGUGUACAAUUUACUAGGAUGGCUCGAGUUCGACCCUGCUCGGUGUGUGAUUCUGAUUUUGGAGCUGGGCUAUUGCUGCUUGCUGAGCAUACAACAUUUCGAAGAUCACCCGCCGGCUGAUCCCCCCCAUCUUCACCGCUACGUGUGCUCUGAGCAGCUGAUCGGGCAUCCCCGCGGAUGCUACUCUCGGAAUUGACGGCCAAAUUUCCGUUGACGGCUACAUGUGAACUGACGUCGAUUGGAUCUACAGCCGGGACUCCAUCGAGGACAACCGGGGGUACAUUGUUCCCUGGUACUAUGUUAUCAUUUUCGCCGUUGUGGCCAAAAUCGUUUUAAAUGUGUCGGGCUGCUUACUGAGAGUUCGCAUUUUUUAGUCUGAUAAUCAAAGAUACUUCAAAGAACAAGUGUAAAAUAGUGCGUGUCACGAAAGUUUGUACCAGGUAAUCACUAUUAUCCUUAGACCCACGGUGGGCGCCAAACUGUUUACCCUAAAAUCGGAUAACAAUUGAAUUUAUACGCAGUUUUAAGGACACGAGAUAUAACAUGGUACAAAUUAAGAAGAAUAAAUUAAUAUUGAUAUUGACGACGAAAGAAUAAAUGCAAACCACACAAAUUGAACAACCUUGGCCAUUGAGUUCAGUUACCCUUGAACCAAAUAUGUUUCAAAUAGCUUAUGAAGAAUAACAAGAUAAUGAAAGCUAGAACAUGACAGUAUAUUGCUUUGUAUUGCAUGAAUAUGAUGAUGUUUACAAAUGAUCAGACCCCCUGUAUAUAGUAGGGGAGUCCUACUCUUGUCACAAUCCUGUAUGAGAUAAGAAAUCCCAUGGUUAGCUAAUUAUAAUCGGCCUCUUCUUGAUACGUGUCAGGAUUCCCGCCGUGGUCUUUGCCCGAUUGCGGAUAUUUUGGCUUUCCGUUAUUUGUCUCGGUAAUCUUCCUUCGAUCUCGCUCGAUCUACAUCUUGCUCGGUCUCGAUCCUGACGGGGCACUGGGUCACGAGCUCGGCAUCCUAACAUAACAUCAUGGUUCGAUAUAACACGAGGCUGAACCUUGGCCUAUCAUGUUCUGGUCACGAUAAGUCACACAAAAAGGACAAACUCGAUUUUAACCGUAUACAAGCUUCGGUAAAAAUCUUUGAAAAAUUAAUCCUACAUACGUAUAGACAUAUUUUAAACCUAACGUAAGUUGGUUUUGCAGCCAUGCUUCGGAUCCGCCAUUAUUCUUACAUCUACUGUUUCGACCCAAGAUACCAAAUUACCAAGUUUUGGCACCCAAACAGAGAAAUUGAGAAACAAGAUUUUAGCUAUUCGGCAAUUAUUAAUAGUUUUAAGAGGAUCUUCGUUACUUCAUAUAGAAAUCUAAUAACAGCAAAACUUCCAACAUUGACCAUAUUUCUCUUAUAUAGAAAUUACUCGUUCUACAUGUUCACAUAACCCACAGAAAAAUCUCAUGGUCUUGACGUGACUUGAUUAAAGCCCAGCAACGUAACGAAUAAUUGAUUUUUUCCUGGGGAGGGGGGGGGGGGGGGUUAAGAAUAUCCAAUUGGGAUCUCAAAAUAAAAACGAACUAGAAGGCCAUAAAAAAAUACAAGUAAAAGUACGGGGUGGUCCCUUUGAUUCUCAAUAUGUGCUUAUCUAUCAAUUCAAAGUAAUGGGUUUCUCUUGGGCGUUUGCAGCUUAUAGCCAUGGAAAAAGUUACAUUUCCCAUGCCCAUAGCCUUUUUAUUUAUUUUUUUGCUUUAGAGAUUCGACAAAUGAAACUUAUUAAUUCAAUUAAUUUGAAUUUGUGUCGGAUAGACCCACUAAAGAGGAUAAGCCUUCGUACUUAUAGCCCUUUUGGCCAAACUACAAAAAUCAGCUUAUUUUGAGAAGUGUUUUUUUUCAAAAGUGCUUUUCUCAAAAGUACUUUUGGUGAGAAGCAGUUUGUGUUUGGCUCAUUAGUUUGAAAAACACUUCUGAGCAGCAAUUAGUGUUUGACCAAGCUUUUAAAAACUGUUUCUAAGUGUAUUUUUCUCAAAAGUGCUUCUCAAAAAAUUGUUUUUGGAGAGAAUCUACUUUUUUCUGCUUCUCCAAAACUGUGCUUCUCCUCAAAAGCACUUUUUUUUUCCUCACAAAAGCUUAGCCAAACACUUCAAUUUUUGGUCAAAAGUGCUUUUGACAAAAAAAAAA